rnacentral:lncRNA from 1 species
UGGAGGACAAAGAAUGAGAACCAAGGAUCGAUCGCUGAGCUGCUUUGCUUUCCUUGCCUUUCCAUGUUAGAAAUCAUGGGCUGCCCAGACUUAACCUCAAUGCCGCUGUUUCCAUCUCUCGACCAAAAUUUGACUUUGGCAGAUGCUAGUAUAAGGCCUUUGCAACAAACAUUGAAGAUGACGAUGACCGAGGCUAACAUGACAUUAGAAGAAGCAUCAUCAUCAUCAAUGAGCACAUGUCAUUCAUAUUCUUCGGCUACGUUUCCUCUCUCCAAUUUGAAGCGUCUGAGACUUGAAGGCAUUAAGGAUUUAGAAGUUCUGCUAGAAGAGUUCCUGCUGCCGUAUUGCCCCAAAUUGGAAUCACUACUGCCGCAAAAGAUGAGUUGCCUCACCUCUUUACAACAAUUGUGGGUUCAAAAUUGCCCUAAUCUGAAGGAUUUGCCCGACUGGAUACUCAAUCUCACUUCCCUUAGAAGUCUUCAAAUCAAUGAGUGCCUUGAAUUACAGUCCAUUCCAGAAGGGACGCCUCAGCUUACAUCUUUAGAAGAAUUAUCUGUUCAGAAUUGUCAUAAUUUGAGGGCUUUGCCAGAGUGGAUACUCAAUCUCACUUCCCUUAAAACACUUCGAAUUUGGGAGUGCCUUGAAUUACAGUACAUGCCAAAAGGGACACAUCAGCUUACCUCUUUAAAAGAAUUGUUCGUAGGGAAAUGCCCUAAUCUGAGGGCUUUGCCAGAUUGGAUACUCAAUCUCACUUCCCUUAAAACACUUCGAAUUUGGGAGUGCCUUGAAUUACAGUACAUGCCAAAAGGGACACAUCAGCUUACUUCUUUAAAAGAAUUGUUAGUAGGGAAAUGCCCUAAUCUGAGGGCUUUGCCUGACUGGAUACUCAAUCUCACUUCCCUUACAAAACUUCAUAUUCAGGAGUGCCUUGAAUUACAGUACAUGCCAGAAGGGACGCAUCAGCUUACCUCUUUGAAAGAAUUGUCCAUUGAAAAUUGCCCUCAUCUUAGGGCUUUGCCUGACUGGAUACUCAAUCUCACUUCUCUUGAAACACUUCAAAUUUGGAAUUGCCUUGAAUUACAGUACAUGCCAGUAGGGAUUUCUCGGCUUACAUUCUUAGAAGAAUUAUAUGCUGACCGCCAUAAUUUGAGGGCUUUGCAAGACUGGAUACUCAAUCUCACUUCCCUCAAAGAUCUUUAUAUUUGCGAGUGCCUUGCAUCACCGUACUUGCAAGAAAGGAUGCAUAACCUCACCUCUUUACAACGAAUGAUAGUUGAAUCUUGCCCUAAUCUAAGUUCUUCUAGACAUUCUCUCAAAACACUUCUAAUUCGGGGGUGCCCUGAUAUAUACUCCUGGAGAAUGAGGCAUUCUUUGUCCUCUUUAGAAGAAUUGAAUGUUCAAAAUUGCCCUAAUCUGGGGAAAUUGUUGUAUCGCAUAUCAUUUUUAAUCACUUGCCUCAAAACACUUACGAUUUGUAAGUGCCCUGAAUUACAAAACUUGCAAAUGGUGGAUCGCCUUACCUCUUUACAAGUAUUGUCAAUCAGUGAAUGUCCAAAAUUGUCGGAAAGAUGUGAAAAGGAAACCGGAAUCUUGUGGCCUCACAUUGCUCACAUCCCAUCUAUUAUAAUUGAUGGGCAACAGAUUCAGUGAUGAUCAUACAAUAUAUAGGUAACAAUAUUUUUCUGCACCUCUAUUUAUAUUUUCUCCCUGUACCUGAUAAUUCUUUUUUUUUCUUCCUGGAUUUGGAUGAUUCGUAAUUUGUUGUAUGCAUGUAAUCCAAGUUGACUAUGCGUGUAAUUUGUUUACUCUGCUACUUCUUUCUAAGUGGACUAACAAUAUUGAUUUUUUCUUAUAUAGACAAAUUUAAAAAAAUUACAGCAGUAUGAAUCUACUGAAGUUAUCAAAUUAUUCUGAUUUUUCACUUUGUUAUAUCUAAAUGUCUAUUUUCACCUUUUUCAAUGAUGUUAAUCUGUGUUCAGAGGAUAUUGUUUAGGUUGACCAAAAGUUUGGGUUUUCUGUAAGAGGUUGUCAACAGCUUUUUGUGCAGUGUUGAUGUAAUUGUUCAGUUAUCUUAUCACUAAAGUUAGAAUGCCAAAAGGAGUCUUUAACAUAAGCAUAAAAGGGAGUUGUGGACAGAUUAUUGUCAGUUGUUUCACUUCCCCUGUUUUUAUUCAUUGAUCAAUGCAAAAUUAUCUUUUAUACAAUGAGGCAGCCUUGGAUGUUUGUGUCAUAUCUUUUUAGAAGCAAAACCAAAAUUUAAUGUGAAACACUGGUGAAAUAAGCUGAGAUUUUAUAGGCACUUGCUUUUGUAAGGAAUAUGUUAACAUUAUUUCUUUAUUUUUUACUACGUGUUUAUAAUGGGAUGAUGACAUUUUUUCCAUUGUUUGAAGCAGGAAGAUUUCAUCUUGCCAAUUUCCUUCCAAAGCAGACUGUUGUUGAAUUGAAACCAAGAGAAAUUUCUAUUGGUAAACUUUACCACUUAUUUGGUUUGUUUUACCAAUUUCAUUUACUUUCUAUAAGGAAUCCAUUAACACCCAACUUCUUACUUCUUUCUGCGUGUCUUUAUUGGGAUUAUGGACUUUUUCUGAUAGAUUGAGAGAGUACGAAUUGAUUUCAACUUGCCAAUGCCAUUGUGAAGAAGAGUACUACAAUCCAUGGAUUGGAAGCUUUACUCUCAACAGCGCCAUCACUAUCUAUGUUACAGUUUGAUGGCAAUUCUAUGUGAGAGUUAAAUUUUACUUUUGAGUGUUUGAAUUCAAUAAAGGCUAGCUCGUGAAAAUAAUUUAACAACUUGACCUCUGGUGGCUUUGUAGAUGACAGAAAUUGCACAGCAUGCAACUCUUUCACCUUUUCUUCCCAAGAAGUAAGUGAUCUUGAAUUUAAGGUAAAUUAGCUUAUCACUUAAUGCUCUAUAGAAUUUACUGUGCAUAGAAUGUUGAAUAUUUUUUCAUUGCUAUAACGUUAUAAAAUUUUCAUUUUCUAUAGAAAAAUAAGAGGUAUCAUGACUAGCUCACCAACUCCCUUUCGAGGCAUUCUUGAAAUGCAGGUAUAUUCCCAAAGCAUAUCUAUUGCAGAAGUGAUGACUCCAUAUUAUAGUUUCUUUAGUUUUUGUUCUUGAUCUUUUGCAUAUCUUUAGUUUUUUAGACUAGUUAUUUGUGAAUGAAGGCAAACAACACUUGCUAAGUAGCGGCUCGAGUGAUUGGGAGAAUAGUAUGGAGUUGAGCUGUUUGGAAAACCCCUUUGCUUCUUUCAAAAUCAAUGUCAAUAGUUCCAUAUUGGCCGUUCUUUGAGGUCUUUGAACAGUGGCUUCAAUUCUAGUCUGUAGGCCUUUACUUAAUUAACCCAAACUGUUAAGGGGACCUAAAUACAAAUGUUCUUUCCAAUGUAUAUGGAGAAGACUUUUGGGAUACUGUUCUGGGAUUUACUAUUUGCUACAUUUGGGUGCUGCAAAGUGUCAAAGAAUUGUCAAUCAAAGAAUGUCCCCAAUUGUUGAAAAAAUGUAAAAAAGAGACUGAAAUCUAGUGGCCUCACAUUGCUCUCAUCCUGUCUAUUUAUAUUGAUGGCCAACAGAUUCAAUGAUGAUCAUACAGUACAGGUAACCAUAUUUUUCUUCUCCUCUGUUUAUAUUUUCUCUCUUUAUCUUUUAUUUCCUUCUUUUUUUCUUCCUGGAUUUGAAUGAUUUGUACUUUGUUCUAUACAUGUAAUCCAAGUUGGUAUACCGAUUGCCUAUACUUUGUACAGAUAGCAUACUUAUUGUGAAAGCAUUAAAUUUCAUACUCUUGUACGGAUAAAUUUAAAAAAACAGUAUUAUAAACGUACUUAAGUUACUUAAUUAUUCUGAUUUUUAGUUGUUAUAUCAAUUCCCAACUUCUUCUGUUUAACAUAAACAUAAAAUGGAGUUAUGGACAGAUUAUUGUCAGUUGUUUCACUUUCCCUGUUUUGUGCAUUGAUCAAUGCAAAAUCAUCUCUUAUACAAUGAGGCAACGUUGGAUGUUUGUGUCGUAUCUUUUCAGAAGCAAAACCAAAAUUAAAUAGAAAAGGAUCGCAGGACAGAUAGCUUCUAUCAUAGAGAUUCUAAAUAAUUGAAUAACUGAUGAAAUAAGCUGAGAUGUGAGAGUGAGUAUUCCUGAAAAUUUCAACUAAAAGUUUGUUAGAAUAUCCAGUCAAGACUCCGGAGCUGAAAGCUAGUAAUAAUAGAAACAAAUGUGAAAGUCUGCUUGUACAUUUCCUGCCAUAUUUGUUGUGAUGAGGAGAUAUUGCUAUAGGUAAUAUUUUCGCCUCUUCUUCUUGAUGUUGGCACUUGCUUUUGUAAAGAAUAUAUUAACAUCAGUUCUUUCUUUUUGUAUGUGUUAAUAAUGGGAUGAUGACAUGUUUUCAUUGUUUGAAGUAGGACGAUUUUAUCUUGCUAAUUUCCUUCCAGAGCAAACAGUUGUUGAAAUUUCUAUUGGUAAACUUUACCACUUAUUCGGUUUGUCUUACCAAUUUUAUAUGCUUUCUAUAAGGAAUCUAUUAACACCUAACUUCAUACUUCUUUUUGCAUGUCUUUAUUAGGAUUAUAGACUUUUUCUGAUAGUUUGAGAGAGAACAUGCGGAUUUCAACAUGCCGAUGCCAUUGUGAAGUAGAGUACUAGAAUCGGUAGAUCGAAGGCUUUACUCUCAACAGUGUUAUCACUAUCUAUGUUACAGUUUGAUGGCAAGUCUAUGUGAGAGUUAAAUUUUGCUUUGGGUGUUCAAAUUCAAUAAAGACUAACUGAUGAAAAUAAUUGAAUAGCUUGACGUCUGGUUUCCUUUUAGGUAAAAAAGACUGCACAACAUGCAACUCUUUCACCUUCUUUUCUCAAGAAGUGAGCCUUGGUCUAAUGAUCUUGAAUUCAAGGUUAAUUGGCUUUUCAUUUAUUGCUAUGUUAUAUAUGAGGAAUGUGCUUUGUAUAGAAUCCUCAAUAUUUUUGCAUUGCUCUAACAUUUAAGAUUUUUGUUUUCUAUAGAAAAGAAAGAGAUGCCAAUGACUUGCCUGCCAACUCCCUUCCGGCCAUUUUUGAAAUACAGGUAUUCUCAAAGCAUUUUUUAUGAGGAAUGACUUGCUUUUGUAAAGAAUAUAUUAACAUCGGUUCUUUCUUGUUUGUACGUUAAUGGGAUGAUGACAUUUUUCAUUAUUUGAAGCAGGAUGAUUAUAUCAUGCUAAUUUCCUUCCAGAGCAGACUGUUGUUAAAUUGAAACCAAGAGAAAUUUCUAUUGGUAAAAUUUACCACUUAUUUGGUUUGUUUUAUCAAUUUUAUUUACUUUCUAUAAGGUAUCCAUUAACACCCAACUUCUUACUUCUUUCUGCAUGUCUUUAUUGGGAUUAUGGACUUUUUCUGAUAGAUUGAGAGAGUAAAUAUUGAUUUCAACUUACAAAUGCCAUUGUGAAGAAGAGUGCUACAAUCCAUGGAUUGGAAGCUUUACUCUCAACAGCGUCAUCACUAUCUAUGUUACAGUUUGAUGGAAAUUCUAUGUGAGAGUUAAAUCUACAUUGAGUAUUUGAAUUCAAUAAAGGAUAACUCAUGAAAAUAAUUUAACAGCUUAACCUCUGGUGUCCUUUUAGAUUACAACGAUUGCACAGCAUGCAACUCUUUCACCUUUUCUUCCCAAGAAGUGAGCCUUGGUCUAACGAGCUUGAAUUUAAGGUAAAUUAACUUAUCACUUAUUGCUCUAUAUAAUUUACUGUGCAUAGAAUGUUGAAUAUUUUUUCGCUGCUAUAACGUUAUAAGAUUUUCAUUUUCCAUAGAAAAAUAAGAGGUGUCAUGACUUGGUCACCAACUCCCUUUUAAGGCAUUCUUGAAAUGCAGGUAUAUUCUUGAAGCAUAUCUAUUGCAAAAGUGAUGACUAUAUAUUAUAGUUUCUUUAGUUUUUGUUCUUGAUUUUUUGCAUAUCUUGUUCCUUAAUGCUUGCUUAUAACAAUGGAUUUUUGGACUAGUUAUCUGUGAAUGAUGGCAAACAACACUUGCUAAGUAGUGGCUUGAGUGAUUGGGAGAAUAGUCUGGAGCCGAUCUGGUUGGAAACCCCCUUUGCUUCUUUCAAAAUCAAUGUCAAUAGUUCCAUAUUGGCCAUUCUUGGAGGUCUUUAAACAGUGGCUUCAAUUCUAGUCUGUGGGCCUCUACUCAAUUAACCCAAACUAUUAAGGGGACCUAAAUAGAAAUGUUCUUUCCAAUGUAUAUAGAGAAGACUUUUGCGAUACUGUUCUGGGAUUUACUAUUUGCUACAUUUGGGUGCUGUUAAGUGUCAAAGAAUUCUCAAUCAAAGAACGUUCCCAAUUGCAGGAAAGAUGUAAAAAGAAGACCAGAAUCCAGUGGCCUCAUAUUGCUCUCAUCCUGACUAUUUAUAUUGAUGGCCAACAGAUUCAAUGAUGAUCACACAAUGCAGGUAACCAUAUUUUUCUUUACCUCUGUUUAUAUUUUCUCCCUUUAUUUGAUAAUUCCUUUUUUUUUUCUUCUUGGAUUUGAAUGAUUCGUUCUUUGUUCAAUACAUGGAAUCCAAGUUGGUAUACUGAUUCGCCUACACUGUGUACAGAUAGCAUACUUAUUGUGAAAGCAUUAAUUUCCUUCCAGAGCAGACAGUUGUUGAAUUGAAACCAAGAGAAAUUUUUAAAUAUAUUUAUCUGAAAUAUGUUUAAUGUUUGUUUAACAUUAAAUUGAAAUUUAAUGUUGAAUUGAAAUUUCUAAAUAAAUUUAACAGCAUUAAUUUGACUUUGGAAGAUGCUAGUAUAAGGCCUUUGCAACAAACAUUGAAGAUGACGAUGACCGAGGCUAACAAGACAUCAGAAGAAGCAUCAUCAUCAUCAAGGAGCACAUGUCAUUCAUAUUCUUCGGCUACCCUUCCUCUCUCCAUUUUGAAGCGUCUGAGACUUAAAGGCAUUAAGGAUUUAGAAGAUCUGCUAGAAGAGUUCCUACUGCCGUAUUGCCCUAAAUUGGAAUUGUUACUGCCGCAAAAGAUGAGUUGCCUCACCUUUUUACAACAAUUAUGGGUUGAAAAUUGCCCUAAUUUGAGGGCUUUGCCCGACUGGAUACUCAAUCUCACUUCCCUUAGCAGUCUUCGAAUUAAGGAGUGCCUUGAAUUACAGUCCAUUUCGGAAGGGACGCCUCAGCUUACAUCUUUAGAAGAAUUAUCUGUUCAGAAUUGUCAUAAUUUGAGGGCUUUGCCAGAGUGGAUACUCAAUCUCACUUCCCUUAAAACACUUCAAAUUUGGGGGUGCGUUGAAUUACAGCACAUGCCAAAAGGGACGCAUCAGCUUACCUCUUUAAAAGAAUUGUGGGUAGGGAAAUGCCUUAAUCUGAGGGCUUUGCCAAGCUGGAUACUUAAUCUCACUUCCCUUAAAACACUUGGAAUUUAGGAGUGCCUUGAAUUACAGUACAUGCCAGAAGGGACGCAUCAGCUUACCUCUUUAAAAGAAUUGUCCGUAGGCAAUUGCCCUAAUUUGAGGGCUUUGCCGGAUUGGAUACUCAAUCUCACUUCCCUUACAAACCUUCUAAUUAAGGGGUGCUUUGAAUUACAGUCCACGCCAAAAGGGACGCAUCAGCUUACCUCUUUAAAAGAAUUGUCCAUUGAAAAUUGCCCUCAUCUUAGGGCUUUGCCUGACUGGAUACUCAAUCUCACUUCUCUUGAAACACUUCAAAUUUGGAAUUGCCUUGAAUUACAGUACAUGCCAGAAGGGACGCAUUGGCUUGCAUCUUUAGAAGAAUUAAUUGUUUACUGCCAUAAUUUGAGGGCUUUUCCAGACUGGAUACUUGAAUCUCACUUCCCCAAAGAUCUUUAUAUUUGCGAGUGCCUUGAAUCACCGUACUUGCAAGAAAGGAUGCAUAACCUCACCUCUUUACAACGAAUGAUAGUGGAAUCUUGCCCUAAUCUGAGUUCUUCUAGACAUUCUCUCAAAACACUUCUAAGUCGGGGGUGCCCUGAUUUAUACUCCUGGAGAAUGACGCAUUCUUGGUCCUCUUUAGAAGAAUUGAAUGUUCAAAAUUGCCCUAAUCUAAGGAAAUUGUUGGAUCGCAUACCAUUUUUAAUCCCUUGCCUCAAAACACUUAAGAUUUGUAAGUGCCCUGAAUUACAAGAAUUGCAAAGGAUGGAUCGCCUUACCUCUUUACAAGUAUUGUCAAUCAGUGAAUGUCCAAAAUUGUCGGAAAGAUGUGAAAAGGAAACCGGAAUCCUGUGGCAUCACAUUGCUCACAUCCCAUCUAUUAUAAUUGAUGGGCAACAGAUUCAAUGAUGAUCAUACAAUAUAUAGGUAACUAUAUUUUUCCUCACCUCUAUUUAUAUUUUCUCCCUGUACUUGAUAAUUCUCUUCUUUUCUUCCUGGAUUUGGAUGAUUCGUAAUUUUUUGUAUGCAUGUAAUCCAAGUCGACUAUGCAGAAGUGGAUUUAAUCUACUUCUUUCUAAGUGGACUAACAAUAUUGAUUUUUUUUUCUUUUCUUACUUUGAAUUUUAUUUUUGUUAAGUUAAAUAUUACUACUAUGAAAUGUGACCAAAACUUGAUGUCAAAACUCUGCCAGUAUUUCACUGCCAUUAGGAACUUUUUUCUUGUUUUAAUCUCUCAUUCUUCAAUUAUAAUCCUAAGCAUUUAGGAUCUCACUAGCUCUAGCUGGAACCCUUGUACAGAAAAUCAUAUUUAUAGUCAAAGCAAUAAAUUUUAUACUCUUAUAUAGACAAAUUUUAAAAAAUUACAGCAGUAUGAAUGUACUCAAGUUAUCAAAUUAUUCUGAUUUUUCACUUGUUAAACCUAAAUGUCUAUUUUCACCUAUUUCAAUGAUGUUAAUCUGUGUUUGGAGGAUAUUGUUUAGGUUGACCAAAAGUUUGGGUUUUCUGUAAGAGCUUGUCAAAAGCUUUUUGUGAAGUGUUGAUGUAAUUGUUCAGUUAUCUUAUCACUAGAGUUAGAAUGCCAAAAAGAGUCUUUAACAUAGGCAUAAAAUGGAGUUGGGGACAGAUUAUUGUCAGUUGUUUCACUUCCCCUGUUUUUAUUCAUUGAUCAAUGCAAAACCAUCUCUUAUACAAUGAGGCAAUCUUGGAUGUUUUUGUCAUAUCUUUCAGAAGCAAAACCAAAAUUUAAUGUGAAACACUGGUAAAAUAAGAUGAGAUUUUGUAGGCACUUGCUUUUGUAAGGAAUAUGUUAACAUUAUUUCUUUCUUUUUUUCUACGUGUUUAUAGGGGGAUGAUGACAUGUUUUCAUUAUUUGAAGCAGGACGAUUCAUCUUGCUAAUUUCCUUCCAGAGCAGACAGUUGUUGAAUUGAAACCAAGAGAAAUUUCUAUUGGUAAAAUUUACCACUUUUUCGGUUUGUCUUACCAAUUUCAUAUGCUUUCUAUAAGGAAUCUAUUAACACAUAACUUCAUACUUCCUUUUGCAUGUCUUUAUUAGGAUUAUGGACUUUUUCUGAUAGUUUUAGAGAGAACAUACGGUUUUCAACGUGCCGAUGCCAUUGUGAAGUAGAGUUCUAGAAUCGGUGGAUCGGAGGCUUUACUCUCAACAGUGUCAUCACUAUCUAUGUUACAGUUUGAUGGCAAUUCUAUGUGAGAGUUAAAUUUUGCUUUGAGUGUUCAAAUUCAAUAAAGACUAACUGAUGAAAAUAAUUGAACAGCUUGACCUCUGGUUUCUUUCUAGGUAAAAAAGACUGCACAACAUGCAACUCUUUCACCUUCUUUUCUCAAGAAGUGAACCUUGGUCUAAUGAUCUUGAAUUCGGUUAAUUGGGUUUUCAUUUAUUGCUUGUUAUAUAUGAGGAAUGUGCUUUGUAUAGAAUCCUCAAUAUUUUUGCAUUGCUCUAACAUUUAAGAUUUUUGUUUUCCAUAGAGAAAGAAGAGAUGCCAAUGACUUGCCUGCCAACUCCCUUCCAGCCAUUUUUGAAAUGCAGGUAUUCUCAAAGCAUUAUCCAUUGCAUACAUGAUUCUAUAGGUUAAAGUUUCUUUAGUUUUUGUUCUUAUUUUUUUGCAUAUCUUUAUCCUCAGUGCUUCUUUAUAACAAUGGGUUUUUUGACUAGUUAGCUGUGAAUGGAGUCAACCAACACUUGCUAAGUAGUGGUUCGAGUGAUUGGGAAAACUGCCUGGAGAGCUGAGCUGGUUGGAAAACCCUUUUGCUUCUUUCAAAAUCAAUGUCAAAGUUCCAUCUUGGCCAUUCUUGGAGGUCUUUGAGCAGUGGCUUGAAUUCUAGUCUUUAGGCCUUUACUUAAUUAACCCAAACCGUUAAAGGGACCUAAACACAAAGGUUCUUUCAUAAUGUAGAUAUGGAGAAGACUUUUGGGAUACUACUAUGGGAUUUAAUAUUUGCCACGUUUGGGUGCUGCAACUACUGUAACCUCCUGCAUCAUAGUAAAAUCUCUUUCACCUUCGACCGUGGAUGUAGGUUAUUAAGCCGAACCACGUAAUUUUUCGUGUGUUUUAUUAUGUUAGAUUGUUUGCUUGUUAUUUAUCAUAAAAUUUGGUUCCACAUCUAUAUUUUUUACUAUGUUAUUCAUCAAAGGUAUUGCUUUUUUGACAAGAUAAUGUUAAAGAGUUGUCUUAAAAUCUCUUCAAUCCACCAACAAUGAAUAUAGGUUCAGAUAAAUCACGUAAAUUUUUUAUGUUUUUAUUAUACGUGAUUGUUUAUUUUGUUAUUUACUAUCAAAUUUGGGUUGCUUCGUUCACUAUGACAUUGUAAAAGGCAUUGGUUUAUCCCAAAAUGUAUUAAGUGAAGCUAUCAUAAAUGUUUCAAUUUUAAUUGAUUAAGAAAAGUUAUAAGUUUGAAGUUUCUCAUUUCCAAAAUGGAUUAAUUUUUUGAUAAAUGUCACUACAACUUUGUAAUUGGUAUUAAUUAAAAAUAUUUCCUACCUAAAAUUUGCCAUUAAUUAUAAAUGUUUUGUUUUAAUAAAACACAAAAAGUAAAUAAUCCUCAAUCAUACUUUAUAUUAUAUAACUCGACAUAAGCCAAGGAUCCAUAAAUAUAAUUUUAUAUAAACAGUAAUUUAAUUGUCACUGCAAUAAAAACAUAUAGAAACAGUAAUUCAUCCCUUCAAACGUAUGGUGGUGAAUGCCUUGCUGUCCAACUACUAUAAAGUAAAAGUAGUGGAGUAAUGGAGAUGGAGAUUCCAUAAUAAAGUGUGUUAUCCCCAGAUUUUCUUUUUUAUAAUUUUUUUGAGCUUAGCUUUUCUAAAUGCUGAUGAUCAUUUUUUUAAAGUGGAUUUUUCUCCUUGAAAUGAUGGAUUUAAUUACUUGUUUCCUCCUAAUAAUCACCUCUGAAUAGUAGCUAAAUUUUAUAAUGUAAUUAAUGAUAGUUAUACCGUACCUUUAAUCAAAACGAGAGUGGUGCCCGUAACUACGCUAUGAAAAAGCUUACAGGAAAUAUAAAUUAUGUUAGAAUGGACUUCAAUUUAGUAUCUUCAAAAGAGUUUAUAGAAAAAGCUAUAUUAUAUUAGUCAAUUAUAUAAAUGUAUGGUUUUUGCUGGUAGAAGAAAAGAUAAACCGAUAUUAAUUGAAGAUAAUUAUUUACUUUGGUUUCAAUCACUAAAAGUUGCUCCUAAAUAUAUGGUUUUAAAACAGUACUUAACCAAAGAAGAUAAUAAUCCUAUCAAACAUCCAAUAUUUUUUUCCAUUAAAAAUAUAUUGUUUAAACAAAAUGAAUAGCAUUUGUGAGUUGAAGGUUUUCAUUUUUGUUAGAUGAUAUAUAUCAACUUUCUAGAUACAGGACUUGCACUUUGUUACAUGUUAAGGGAAUAUAAAUUGUUAUACAAUUAUCAUAUAUGUUUAACUAUGGUGACAAUUUGCUCUUCCUUUUGCCGUAUACAUUUGUUUCCAUUUCUUUGAUUUCUGUUGUUGUAUUAUAUUGUAUAAAUUGCAUGGUAGAGGAAAAUAUAAACUAUAAUUAAUUAAAAAUAGUUAUUUGCUUUGGUUUCAAUUACCGAAAACCUGCACUUACAUAUAUAGUUAUAAAACAGUACUUAUCCAAAGAAGACAAUAAUUCUAUCAAAAAUUAUUAAAUGUAUAAUUAAAUAUUAAGAAAUGAGAGAGUAUAUAACCUUCACUAUUGGCAUAUUAAGAUAAAUAGUUGUAGAAUAUAUGACAACACUAUAAUGUAAAAAUCUUAUCAAUAUAAAAUAGUUACUAAAUUCUGGUAGUAUCUAUUUUUUAUAUCUAAAAUAAAUGGUUAAAGGUUAUCAAAUUCAAUUGAUUUAUUUAUUCAAUGAUGACCGUGUGCUAUGUAUAUUGAGAAAUGAGUAGACCUUCUUGGUUUUUAUGUUUUGUUCAAUGGAUUUGAUGGAUAUUUAUUGAAAUUUAAACAUUAAUGUACAAAAGAAAUGUCUAAAUACUAUAGAUUUUCAUUCAUGCAGAAUAAGAGAAUAUAAACAAAAAAUAAUAUUAAAUUGCAAUUGAUAAAUAUUAAAUGAAUCUAUCCUCUAAGCAUUAAAAGUUAAAAAUUAUUGUUUUCAAGUAUUUCUACUAAAAUAAAUAAAAGUAAAAAAAAAAAAACCUUUCAAAUGUAAAAAAUAAUGUAGUUUUGACAUAAAGUAUACAAAAAAAAAUUAAUUCAAUUGAGAAUGAUAGGUGUCAAUCAAUUGACUCAAUCAGAUAUCCUACUUAAAAUAGUACUUAUUUAAAGAAGACAAUAAUCAUAUCAAAGAUUGUUAGAUGCAUAAUAAAAUAUUAAGAAAUGAAAGAAUAUAUAACCUAUAUUAUUAGUAGAUUAAGAUAAACCGUUGUAGAAUAUAGAACAACAGUAUAAUGUAAAAAUCCUUUCAAUAUAAAAUAAUUACUAAUUUCUAAUAGUAUCUAUCUUUUAUAUAUAAAAUGAAUGGCUAAAGGUUGUUAAAUUCAAUUGAUUUGUUUAUUAAAUGAUAACUAUGUGCUAUGUAUAUUUAGAAAUGAAUAGACCUUGACUUUUUUAUUUUGUUUAAUGGAUUGAAUGGAUAUUUAUUUGAAUUUAAACAUUCAUGUAUAAAAGAGAUAUGUAAAUACUCUGGAUUCAGGUUUAUACAAAAUAAGAGAAUAUAAAAAAAAUAAUAUUAAAUUACAAUUGAUAAAUAAUAAAUGAAUCUAUCCGCUAAACAUUAGAAGUUUAAAAUUACUUUUUUCUAGUAUUUUUUACUGAAAUAAAUAAAAAAAACUUUUCAAAUGUCAAAAAAAGAGUAGUUUUGACAUAAGGUGUGCAAAAAAAAAAUUAGUUCAAUUAAGAAUGACAGGUGUCAACCAAUUGAUCCAAUUAGUUACCUUACUUUUAUAUAUAUUAUAGAUAUAUAACAUGUUCUAAUAAUUUAAGGUUUUGGAGUCUGAGAUAUUAAUAUUACUUGUUAAAUACAGUAAUUCUUUUUUAGAAAAAAAAGAAAAGAAAGAAAAGAUGAGGCCAAUAGUUCCAUAAGGCCAAUAAUUCCUUUUUUUUUCUUCCUGCAUUUGGAUGAUUCAUAUUUUGUUCUACGCAUGUAAUCCAAGUCGGUAAAAUGAUUCGCCUAUAUAGAAGUGGAUUUAAUCCAAACUCUGCUACUUCUUGCUAAUUAAGUGGACUAACAAUAUUGAUUUUUUUUCUUUGAAUUGCCCUUUUGUAAGUUAAAUAUUACUAAUAGUUGUGUGAAAUGACUGUGAAAUCUCACCAAAACUUGAUGUCAAAACUCUGUCAAUAUUUCACAGCAAUUGGAAACUUUUUCCUUGUUUUAAUCUCCCAUUCUUCAAUUACAAUCUUCAAUUUUAAGCAUUUAGGAUCUCACUUGCUCUAGAUGGAACCCUUGACAGAUAGCAUACUUUGUAGUCGAAGCAUAAAAUUUUAUACUCUUGUACAUAUCUCCAUUCAAUACUCUUGAGCUGAAAGCUAGUAAUAAUAGAAAAUAAAGUAAAAAGUCUGCCCGUACACUCCUGGUGAUUUUUUUUUCUCAGCCAAAAGCGAAAGGAUAUAUUAAUGAUUGAUAAAUGUACAAAAUGGUGAGCAAAGAGACGGCUCAAAGCAGCAACAAAACAAAAAAAGCUGUAACAAAAUAGCUGGAGAACAGAAUAGACUCAGGGCAAAUAAAGAUGAAACAUGAAUUCAAAAAGUGACGAGAGAGGGCAGAAAAAUGCUGGUAGGAUCUCAAGCAUCAGUCUGCGAUCAAGCAGCAGUGACAUACAGUGCAUAACAGAGCAGUAUUACUACAUAGCACACGGGCAAAGGAGGAGAUUAAAGAGACGAGGAGAAAUUGCUGUAGGUAAAAUUUCCUCCCCUUCUUCUCAAAGUAUAACUAUUGCCAUGAUGAAUGUAGACUUUUGAGAUACUGUUCUAGGAUUUACUAUUUGCUACAUUUGGGUGCUACAACUACUGUAACCUCAUCUUCCUACAUUGUAGUAAAAUCUCUUCUACUCUUUAUAUCUAUGGAUGUAAGUAAUUAAGUCGAACGACGUAAAUUUUUGUGUAUUUGAUUAUGUUGAAUUGUUGGCUUGCUAGUUAACAUCAAAUUUGGUUUUCUUUAGUAUUUUAUAGUUUUUACUUGGUUAUUUGUCAAAGGUAUAACUAUUAGGUAGAACCUAUUUUCAUAUUUUAGCUAACAAAUAUUCUAAAAAAAACUUAUCAAAUUUACCAUAUUAAAUAAUAUUUUCAAUCAAUAUGUUGAAAAUCUUAUAUUGAAAUAGUAUCUUGACAAGUAUUUUUAAGACAAUAGUUAAUAAAAUAUAUUUUAUACUUAUUUAUUUGGAAGAUACAACUCUAAUUGUUAGUAUUUCAACCCUGACUCACUGCAAAAUUUUGGCACUUUCACUCAAUGUUUUCCAGUCGCUAGAUUUGCAAGUCUAAGAUUAAUUAUGAACACACACCUUUGCAUUUUGCAUUGCACAUUCCUACCAAAAUUAUGAAGUACCAUAAUUUGAGGGUUUUGUUAGACUGGAUACCCAAUCUCAUCACUUCCCUCAUAGGUCUUCACAUUUGCGAGUGCCUUGAAUUACCGGACUUGCAAGAAGGGAUGCAUAGCCUUACCUCUUUAAAAUGGUUGUUGAUUUACAAUUGCACUAAACUAAGUUCUUCGGGAUUGGGUUAUGUCACUUCUAAUUCAUGUGCGCCAUGAUUUGCAUUCCUUGCAACUAAUGCAAUGGAUGGACAUCAUACCUAGUUUCACUUCUCUCAAAACACUUAAGAUUUGUAAGUGCCCUGAAUUACAAGACUUGCAAGGGAUGGAUCAUCUUACCUCUUUACAAGUAUUGUCAAUCAAUGAAUGUCCCCAAUUGUUGGAAAUAUGUCAAAAGCAGACCCGAAUCCUUUGGCCUCACAUCGCUCACAUCCCAUCUAUUAUAAUUGACGGGCAAUAGGGUCAAUGGUGAUCAUACAAUGUAGGUAACUAUAUUUUUCUUCACCUCUAUUAUAUUUUCUCCCUUUACCUGAUAAUUCUUUUUUUUUCUUUUUUUCCUGAAUUUGGGUUUGGACUAAUAAUAUUGAUAUUUUUUUCUUUUCAUACUUUGAAUUUUUAAAUAUUAAUAAAUAUUUAAACUGCCAGCAUAACUUGAUGUCAAGGCUCUGCCAGUAUUUAACAGCAAUUGGGAACUCUUUCCUUGUUUCAAUCUCACAUUCUUCAUUUAUAAUCUUAAGUCUUAAGCAUUUUGGAUCUUACUAGCUCUAUAUGGAACCCUUAUACAGAUAGCAUACUUAUAGUAGUCAAAGCAUUAAAUUCUAUACUCUUAUACAGACAAUAUUUUUAGAAAAAAAAUACAGUAGUAUAAAUGUAGCUAAGUAAUCAAAUUAUUCUGUUUCUCACCUUUCGAUAUCAAUUCCUAACAAUCUUUUAGAUGUUUCCUCUCACCUUUUUCAGUACUGUUAAUCUGUGUCUGGAGGAGAUUGAUGCAACUCAGAUAUUCUUAAUAGUUAAACUUCUUCUAUUUAACAUAUGCAAAAAAUGGAGUUCAUGAACAAAUUAUUGUAAGUAGUUUCACUUCCCCCGUUUUUAUAUGUUUGUGUUUUUCAUUGAAAAUUACCGUUUUUAUAACUUUGGAUGUUCUUGCCAUACCCUUUCAGAAGCAAAACCAGAAUUAAAUGGACAAGGAUCAUGAGACAAAUUACUUCUAUCACAGAGAUUCGAAGUAACUGAAACACUGGUGAAAUGAACUGAGAUGUGAGAGUGAGAAUCGUUCUUCUUUUUACAGAUUUAUAUAUAUAUCUUCUUUUUUGUCUAUCUUCUCUUCAAGGAAAUGACUAAUAUUAUAACCUCUUCCUUUCAUCAAGCAGACGGAAUGAAGUAUUAACCAAUAUUGUUUUUUCCCAAGUAUCCCUGAGGAUUUGCAACUACAAGUUUGUUGGGAAACCCCUUUGCUUCUUUCAAAAUCAAUAAUGCUUCCAUGUUGGCCAUUCUUGGAGGUCUGUGUGCAUUGGCUUCAAUCCUAGUCUUUAGACUUUCACUACAAUAACGCAAACUGCUAAGGGGACCUAAAAACAAAGGUUCUUUCAUAGUGUACAUGGGGAAUACCUUUGGGAUACUGUUCCGAGAUUUCCUUUGGCUACAUUUGGGUGCUGCAACUACUGCAACCUCAUCUUCCCACAUGGUAAUAAAAUCCUUCUACUCUUAUGUCCAUGGAUGUAGGCAAUUAAGCUGAACCACGUAAAUUCUUGUGAGUUUUAUUAUGCUGGAUUAAUUGUUUGCUUGCUUUUUGUCAUCAAAUUUAAUUUGCUUUGGUAUUUAUAUUUUUCAGUAGGUUGUUUGUCAAAGGUAUAGUAUAACCCAUUUUCAUAUUCCAGCUAACAAAGUAGUCUAAAAUAAUUUAUCAAACUUUUUUUUUUGCAGCAAUUUUAUCAAACUUAUCUUAUUAAGUAAUAUGUUCAAUCAAUAUAUCGAAAAUCUUAUAUUAAAAUAAUAUCUUAACAAGUGUUCUUAAGACACUCGAUAAUAAAAUAUUUCAUUUGGAAGAUGAAACUCUAAUUGUUAGUAUUUCAACCUUGACUCAAUCCAAACCUUGGGCACUUUCACUCAUUGUCUUCCACUAGCUAGAUUUCACUCAUUGAAUUUUUGUAUUAUUACUUUUAUUGCUAUUCAAUUCAUGUAAGCAAGCUUUCAACUGUAUUUUGGACUAGAAGGAGACAUGAAGUAUAAAGGCCUACUUUUUCUCAAGAAGCUUCUCUAACAACUCCGGUAUCACUUCAAAAAUAUCUCCCUCAAUAAAUUGAACCAUCAAGAUGAAGCAAAAUAUAAUUGUACAUGUUCCUUUUGCAUUAAGACUUAUUUUGUAUUGAAUUCUCAGUUUUUGUUUUUUUUUUCCCUUGGAUUCUAAGUUUUCAAACAGUGCAGAAAGUGCCAUGCAUGAAGAUUAUUAGAAAGAAAAAUCAAACAAUGCCUCCAAGUGUAGAUUGUAAAGCUAGAAUCUUUCAGACUUAAAACCUACACUUGCCUUGAGUUCCCUGGUCUGUGUUUGAACCCACAGAAGAAGCUGCAGAGUUUCAUGUCUUCCAUUUUUUGCUGAAAGCAUAUGGCUGAGAAUAUAAUGUUCAAAGAAAUUAAAUUCACAUUGGUCUAUUUGUUUCCUAGCAGGCUCCUUUAGAUAAGAUCUCUUUGGUGGUCAAUAAAGUAUAGCAGGAUGAAAGUUAUUGGAAAAGAGUUAAUAUGAAAACAAGAAUCUAAUCAGUCAUAAAAUUAAUAAAAACUCUGUUCCUAAAAUUAAAAAUCAAAAUUUGGGGAAUACUACUAGAAUUCCAUUUUCCACUAGUUUUUAUUUGAGUUCAACAAUAUAAAUAUAUUUUCUCUGCUUUGUUAAUUAACUACUUUUCCUUACUUUUGUUUGAUCUCUUAAAUUACUUUUGUUUGAUCCUUGUUAGCUACUUUUCCUUUCCUUAAAUUGAGAUAAGCUUCAAUAAAACAUAUUAUAUUCUCCAUAUAUAAUUUUUUUAUAUGCUCAAUUUGUAUUAACAUUUAUGAAUUUGACUUCUUAUUUGUUAAGAUGGCAAAUAAAAUUAAUUAAUUUGUACUUUACUUCUUUCUCAAGUUGGGAGUCAUAAAGAAGUUUUUCAGGUUCACAGUGAGUAUUCUUUCUCAAGUAUAAAGAAAUUCCACCUGGAGGAUUUAUCUAAAGUGCGGAUUAUAUGGAAGGAUGUCACCCAAGUUGUAACUCUUGAAAACUUUACAAUUCCGAAAGUGAUAGAUUGCAUGAGGUUAAUUCAUACAUUUUCACUUAUGACUGCUCGAAGUUUAUCAUAGUUGGUCUCGCUAAUUAUAAAAAAAAUGUGAUGCAUUGGACCAAAUCAUUACUGAGGAUCAACUUUGUUCAUCAUCAAAUGGUGAUCUCCAACCUAUAAGGUUUCCUAAUUUGACCAGAAUUUUAGUUUAAUAUUGCAAAGAGUUGAAAGUCUCUUUCUUCUUGGAUCUGCUUAUUGUCUUCCAAAACAUGAAUAUUUAACAGAUGAAGGGAACUCUAAAUUGGAGCAAGUAUUUGAACUAGAAGAUGAAGCAAAAGCGAUAGCUGAAAAGGAGAUAAAGUUUGAUCAAUUAAAAUGGUUAUCACUUGAAGAACUGUCAGGCCUCAUUGACUUAUGCCCAAGGGGAUAUCGCUUUGUAUAAUCGGCUUUGUGGUCUUUAACAGCAAAAGAAUGUCCCAAGAUGACUACAGGUUUCUUCAUUGAUUCAAAGAGAUAUGUGCACGCCAAAACAGAGGUGUACACCCUGAAAACUUUAAUCCUAUCUAUUUUUUUAUUUGGUAUUUAUUAUUGAUUAGUGAAUUAAGUACAAGCUUUUAUUUGGUAUGUGUAAAGGCAAUUCGAGUCUUUAAUGAUAUUAUAGGCAUAAUCUUCAAAAUCUUUACUUAAAUUAAUUAAAUGAUUGAGUAGUACACUGCAAUCAAAAAGUUGGUCUAGAAUAUCACUUUUAGUGAAUGAUUCCAUCACCUUUUAUGAAUUUUUGACCUAAAAUUGCUUAUAAAUUGUAAUAUGCCUUUUUCUUCUUUUGUCCUCAUAACAUGAGACAUCAAUGCUUUUGUUUUACAUUUCACUGCUUCAAUUUUUUCAAAAGACACUGCAAUUGGUUGAGCAAGUUGUCACUAAGGGUCUACCACUGCUCAGAAUGUAGUUCACACUAAGUCCAAUAUUUACUUAAAGAAAAAACAGGAGGUUUGAUAUAUGUGCUCUUCCCUGGUGAAGGUGUUUGCUUAAUGAGUUGUCAAGCGAAGGGAUCCCAUGCUUUGAAUAAUUUACCCAAUCAAUGUUAUGUUGCUGCUCUCUGUGUUUACAAUAAGUAGAAGAACAAGAGUGAAAUUCCUCUGUUUUUUAUCCUUAUGUUUGUAUUUUAAAAUAUUUAGUGAGUAAGUUGUGCAAGUAUGUUAUGCAGCAAUCAAUACAUGGGAUAUUAAACCUUAAUUUCCAUGUACAAACCAGGCAGAUUUUUAUUUUGUAAAGGUUCCAAGUGAUUUAUCGAAAUAUUGAGAGUUUGAUUUAUUGAAAUAUUGAGGUAUAAUUAUUUUUUUUAAAUAAUAACAGUCUACCAUUUGACUCAAUAAUGGUUGCCUGUUUUUCCCUAGCCUCAUAACAAGAAAAUAUAAAAAAAACUGAUAAUAGAUUUACUUUAUGGCACUUGUGGAUAAGGUGGACGAAACAGAGGAUAAUGUUGUUACAUAAUUACUGAACAAAUGAGGAUAAUGUGAAAUUUAACAGCUGGUUUGUUUGAGUGAAAUUGAACUAGUCUAAGAAAACAUGGUUUUUCUGUGUGUUAAGUUGAUUUGCAGUUAGUUGGGGUUGGGAUUAUUGAAAGAAUCAAUUUAGUGUUGGUUACUGGUUACGGAUAUAAAAUGAAAGUAUUCUCAUUUCUGAAAUUUGCUAGCUACUGCUGCUGCUACAUGUUAGCAACAUACAAGUAUUCUCAUUUCUUUCCUUCAUCUUUCAUCUACUUUAAUUGUUCUUGGGUGGUUCAUUCUCAUUACUACUCCAAGGCCAUCACCUCAAAGACUAUGUGAUAAAAGUUGGAAGGAGCAUCAACUAUAAUAAUGGUAAAAGGCUUUGGCCCCUGUUUUUAAUGAUAUUUUCUUUUGGUUUUUAAUUAUUUGAUUUCCAUCAAGUUGGCUAACAAUCAAUUAAUUAACCAAGUAAAUGCCUUCGUUAUAUUUUACUCAUGUAUAUGGCUGAGAUUAGGCUACUACUUCGUAGACAAAGUGUCAAAUGAAAUCAAAUUUAAUAUAAAAGGAGAUUGCAUUUCCAUAGACAAAAAGUGAACCAUGACUUAGGCCAGGAAUUGUACUGCUAGCUGCUUUGUCCCUUGCAUACUUUCUUUCAAGCGAGCUGCUGAUUUUUCAUAAGGAAAAAAGAGUAACUACUUGAAGAAAGGAAGGUUUAUUAAGGGGAUAAUGAUGUUCUUCAUCUGCUGAGCUUUUGUUUCAUACGGAAGUUGUCGAAUUAAAGAAAGGGCCAACAUAUAACUUUACUUGUGAAUUUCUUAUGAUAACAAUGUUUUGGACGAGUCAAAUAUAUACAAAAAGAAUUAGCCCCAUUAGUUCAAGGUUUACGAUAAGUGCUUCUUUUUCUUGAAAAAGAAAAAAGAUUACUGAUCUCAUUGGUUCAACGUUUUACAAAACCAUAUAGAGAUUUCCAGUGUUUCUCAUACUCUUUUUCACAUCUCUACAAUUCUGUGAAACUUUUACAAAAAUUUCGGAUUUCAAAAAAAUUAUCUCUUACAUAAGAUCAUAUAAAGAUUGCAUCUCUAUCUUAAUUUUAAAAGUUAAGACCCAUUCCAUAUCUAUAAAACCAUAUUACUUUGUCACUAUGAAUUCCAACCCAUUAAAAACUCUUAAUCAUUAAGUAUAUUUGCCCAUUAAAUAAACUUAAUCAUCAAAUAAUUUUUGACUAAUGAAAUUUUACUGAUUGCAAAUUAAAAUUUGAAUAAAAUAUCUAACACAUUCACAUGCAAUUGUCCCUAGCAGUAAACAAAAAUCCUCAAAUCUGUAAACAUUAUAUAAUAAUGUUGAUAGCACAUGCUGGUCAAAGAGCUUUUAGCUCGAGGGAGCAAUAAACAUUGGAGUCUCGAGCACCACCCACAACCAAGGAAGGAAAAAACAAGGGGGACAGACCAACUAUUGAAAAGCCAACUGAAAAACAAUAAACAAAACAAAUUAGCUUUCUCAAUGUAUAGCAUUAGCUUUCGCAUAUCAAAGAAAAGAGAAUCUUACAUGGAUAGUGUGAGUCAAGUUGCUAAUAUUGUUCCAUUGUUCGUAAUAUGAAUAUUAGUGUUCCAAAUUUCCUACACCUACUCUUACUACUUUGUCUUCAUAGAGUUUCUGAAGGGAUCUCUUGCUGUCAAUAGUUUAGCCAACUAAUGUUAUGUUGCUUUCUAUUGCACUUUUAUUGUACAAUAAUUAAAAGAACAAGAGUGAAAUUCCUCUGUACCUUAAUUUUUAAUUUUGUAUUUUAAAUCCUCAGUGAAUAAGUUGUGCAAAUGUGUUAUGCUGGAAUAAAGAUAUGGAAAAUUAAACUUUAAUGUACAAACCACACAAAUUUUUAUUUUAUGAAGGUUCCCAACUAUUUAUUGAAAUAUUGAGAGUUUGAUUGCUACUCCAACUAUAAGAUCUAUAAACUUAACAAUAGCAUCAUUUUCUUUCCAUGCACAUUUGAUUUGCAAGCAUUACCAAACAAGCUUCCCAAGCAUGCAUGAAUGACAUCGAUCUUCUUAGAAUCUCUCAUUCGAUAAACAAAAUACUAUAAUCUGAACUGAAACUUUCUUUUUUAUUCUCUUUCGUUGAUCAAGCUGAAGCGAAUUUGAAUAGCACAUUCUUUUUUAUAUCGACCCUUUAAAUAAACUUAACCAUCUAAUAAUUUUUAACCAAUAAAAUUUUAGCAAUGUUCAGUUAAAAUUUGGAUAAAAUAACUAUCACAUUCACAUGCAAUUGUCCCUAGUAAACAAAUAUCCUCAUAUCUAUAAAAAUUAUAUGCAAUGUUGAUAGCACAUGCUGGCCACAGUGCUUUUAGAGGGAGCAUUUAACUUUUGUCUCAAGCACCACCCACAUCCAAGGAAGAAAACCGUAAAUAAAACAAACUUUCUCAACGUAUAGCAUUGGCUUUCGCAUUUUAGCUGGAUUAUCAAAGAAAAGAGACUCUUAAAUGGGAACUGUGAGCCAAGUUACCACUAUUUUUCCAUUGAUCCUAAUUUGAAUAUUAGUGUUCCAAAUUUCCUGUACCUACUCUUACUACAUUGUCGUCAUAGAGUUUCUGAAGGGAUCUCAUGCUUCCAAUAGUUUAGCCAAUUAAUGUUAUGUUGCUCUACCCCAACCGAAUUUGCUUAUGUUAUGGGAGUCUAUUGCGAUCUAAGCAAGAGACUCCAACUGACAUUAUGAUUGUGAGGUUAAUAAAUUUUCUUUUCAAAAAAAAAAAUUAUGUUACUCUCUAUUACAAGUAAUGCUUAAUUGCAAAAGAAUCAUAAUUAAAUGAGGAUCCAGUGUUUAUUCUUAAGAACAUUUACAAAAUAAUAAUAGUAAUUUUUACUAACAAAGAGAGUCAAAUGUUUUCUUAUAAACCAAUCAAGUAGAUGAUAAAUAAAUGCUGAAAAUAAUUGAAAAAAUGACAAAAAGAAAGGGAUCAAUAAUUCAAAAGUGCAUCAAUGAUUCCAUGUCCCAUUUGCAUAGAGUACAAAGAAAAAAUUAAAGGUGUGAAUUUAAUUACCUUUCGAAUAAUGGUAAUUUUUUUUAGGGAAAAUUUGUACUUAUUAUGUUUAAGAUAUCAAACAUGAAGCCAAUUUUACAUUAGUUAAAAUUUCCUUUAGUAAAAUAUUUUCAUCUUUUUUUUUUCUUUGAGAGAGAAUUAGUUGAUAAUGAUUCUUCAAUGACAUUAAACUCUUCACUAAUGGAGACAGCAAUAUUGUAUUCAAUUCAAACAUGAAUCAGAAAACUUUGGAAAAGCUCGGAGAAUUUCCCUUUUACUUUACUAAAGUUGGUUUCCACAUUAAACUUAAUUCUUUGAAGGCAAGAACCAAGAAAAGUCCUACUUCCACAUUGAUGUUUCUUUGUUAACUUUAAAAAGGAGACAUUUUUUUGUCAUCACAAGGAAAAAACAAAUGACGGCACUUUCUCCAACAUUUUUUAGCUUAGUUUUUCCAAUGCUGGUGUUUUUUUAAUUGAAAUUUCUCCUUGAGAAUACCAAGUCCUUGCUGCAACUUUUCUCGAAAAAGAAAAUAAAAUGAUUCCAUGUCCAGUAGCAAAAGCUUUACUUGGGGUUUCGGAUUAUUGAAAGAAGCAAUUUAGUGUUGGUCGCUGGUUUGAUGAGAUGGAAUAUUGCAUUACAAAAGGAAAACAAACUGUCUGAUUAAACAACAGGAAAGUGCUGCCUAGAUUUGAUAGAAUUUAGAAUCAAAAGUAGUGGAAAACAAGAGGCAUUUCAGGUCAAGGGUCUUCCAUUUUUCAACUAAAACCCAAGAACGUAGGAAGAAUAUAUUUGACUUAUUUGAGUCCUAAAAGGGUCUUGCUCAAAUUUAAGUUAAUUUGGAGAAGUUUUUGAAGUUAAGUAAUAAUUGGAUGGAAACAACUUAAAGCGGUCACUCAAUGUGAAUAAAGCUUAUUUAAAAUUAAUGAAGAAAUCAACUACGAAGGAAAUCACUACAUCGAGUUGACUAACAAUCAAUUCACCAAGUAAAUGGCCUUGUUUUAUUUCACUUAUCAUGCAUAUGGGUGAGAUUAGGCUACUACUUGUUAAAGAAAGUGUUGAAUGAAAUCAAUUGAUUAUUAAUCUAUUUAUUCGUAAAAAGAUAAUGCAUUUCCAUAGACAAAAAGCGAACCAUGCUUCACGCCUGGAAGGAAAAAGAGUAAGUAAUUGACGAAAUGAGGAUAAAACAUAGAAAAGCUUCACUGUCCCACAUCUAGAAAACCUUCUCUUAUUACUUUCUCGUCAUAGAGUUUUCAUUUGAGCAUCUUCUUCUAUCAUCUCCACAUCUACGAGCUACACUGUCCCAAGAAUUUGUAUGAUUUCUGCAUUCUCUUCUUUUAACUCGACAAAACCUAUUCUUCCACUUUAUUUUCCUUCACUUUCCCACUUUUCUUUCAACUCAAAGAACAAAAGUAUCUCUGUAGUGUGUUGUUUAACUCUGCAAAAAAAAAAAAAAAACAAAACAAAACAGUUGAUCUCUUGAAUUACUUUUGCUUGAUCCUUGUUAGCUACUUUUCCUUUUCUUAAUUUUGGUUUCCCAAUCUCCGGAGUUGGUGAAGUAAUUCCAUUACAAUUGAGGUAAGCUUCUGUUAAACAUAUUAUAUUCUCCAUAUUUAAUUUUUUUAUGGGCUCAAUUUCUCUUAUCAUUCAUGAAUUUGACUUCUUAUUUUUGUAGUUUGCAAGUAAAAUUAAGUAAUUUGUACUUUUCUUCUUUACUUCAUAAUCCUAUGAUAUUUAGUAAUAUACUUUGUGCAGCAUUUUAGCAUGAAAUAGUUUUAAUAUUAUGACUUUAAAAUAUGGAAAAUAUAUCAAUAAACCUAUGCUGAAAUUUCAUUCUAAAUUUUUUACUUUAUUAUAAAUUUUCAUAUUUUUUCCAUUUUUUACCGACGUUUAUGGAUAUUUUGGAAAAUAUUUUAUGGAAUAAUGAUACUAUGCUUUUACUUUAAUAUGAAAAUAUAUUUUUAAUUGAUAUACACAUGACCAGUGACAAGAAUUUCUACAACUGAAGCAUUUUUAAUUUCCAAGUUGGUCCGUAAACAAUUGGUUCCCUUGUGAUCCACAUUUUCAUAAAGGUAAGGUACUUUGCAAACAUUUGGUAAUUGUUUUUGUCUCUCUGUAAAACUUUUUACUCAUUAAAAUUAAAACUAGGUAGAUUUUUAUUUUGUGAAAGUGCCAAGUGAUCAUUAAAACAUUUGUCAAUUUAAACAUACCCAAUUAUGAUUAAUGGUGUUCAAUCAGUUUGAUUAAAGUUUUAGUUCAAUAAGUUAUGGAUAUAUUUAGAUUCAAUUUAGCUUAUUGAUGGAUAAGUGAGGGUAACAGAACAUUUAACCCAGUUAAUUUUUUUAUUUAUUAAUUUAGAUCACAUCUUUUAAUUUAUUUUGAUCCAAUUAGAUUCUCCUUUUGAUCUACUUGUCUCUAUCUUUGGGUCUUAAUAAUUUACACAAUUGAAUUUUCAUUUUUUUUUAUGGUUGCAAUUGCACCUUUUAUUUUUUGGUAAAAAAGGGAUAGUGCGAACCGUGACUUCAGGUGUCUUGGGCAUAACCUCAAGCCACCCCUAUAUUCCCACUUGAAAGACAGAGGAAAAAACAAAGCUUAGAAAUGGAAGAAUCAUUUCCCAUGACCGGUGGAGAUGGCCCCAACAGUUAUGCAAAGAAUUCCAAACGUCAGGUACUUCUUUAGUUACCCUGUAUAUCCUUAUUUGUUGUAAAUCCUUACUUGGCCACCUCUUAUAAGUUUUACAAACUUUUCAUUUGAUCCUUAACUACUUUAUUUAUUUUUAUAUAUAUAAAUUUUUUGAGCACAUUUCUAAUUACCCAUUACAUAAGUAUACACUACGAAAAAUUCAAUAAGCUAUUUUUAUUAGUUUUAAUUUUGGAAAUGGUGGAAAUGAAAUCUUAAUUUCUUUUGGUUUUUGGCAUGAUUGUUCUUUACUUUGGCUAUCUAGAACAAAAUUAAAUAUUAUAAAACACUAAUUUCUAUGCAAAUAAGUUUUAAUUCAAUUUAUUUAUUUUAAAAAUAUAAGCAUAAAAGUGAAAUAAAGAUAAUAAAUUUUAAUAUAAACUAUACCAAAAUAUUUUUUUAUUUAAUAAAAAAUUUAAAAAUUUUAGUAUAAAAUAUAAAUUUUCUUUUUUAAAUUCCGUGAAAGUGAAAUAGAAAUAAUAAAAAUUGGACAAAAAGAGUAUUAUCAUCAGUUUUGAAACUUGUAUUCUUUUAAAUAUGUAUAUCUGUGUUCAAUGAAUGUUCUCUUUAAUUCAAAUUAGUAAAUGACAAACAAAGAGAAUUAUAAUUGUCUGAAAUUGUACAAGAGACAAUCUUAUUUUCUUUAGCUCCUCAGGUUUGGAGUCGAUUACAUUGUUUUUAGUCUGUUGAUUACCUCAAAAUUUUGGGAGUGUCAAUCCUCAUUGGUUAGCAACAGUGUUGAAAGAAUUAGACCAGAUUGACCAAUCAGACUGGUUGAACCAGUAGUUUACCUGGUCUGAUUAGAGGGCUCAAACUGCUAAAACUUCAGUUUCUAUCUUCAAAAGUUCUUGUCUUACCUUGAUUGUUAAUUAAAAACUCUAAUCAUUUAGUAACAUGUCAUUUUUUUUUUCAUAUUUAACAUACAUUUAAUGUUAAAAUUCUAUUUUUUUUUUUUAAAAAAAAAAAGUUGUANUUUCAUUUAUUUUUUUUUUUUUUUAAAAAAAGGGGGUUGGAUUGAACUGGCUAAAUCAAUUGAAAUAAGAAUCAAUGGCACCAUUGGUGUAAUUCUCGAUCUGAGUUUUUAAACAUUGGUUAGAAAUAUUUGGCCUGUAAUUAGCAUUGUAAUUAAUAUAAUACAAAAUUAUAGUACCGAAUUGUUGAUUUUAAUUUGUGGGAAUUAGAAAACAUGUAUGAUGUGACUUUUUCUUUAUUGUGCAACUCCUUUGAUAUACAUUAUUAUAAGAUAAUCUCUUCUCAUAUCUAGUAAAUCUCCUCUUAAUUUGUAAUAUCUGAUUUCAAAAUUUUUAAGUUGAAAUUUUUUUUAUUAAAAUGUCUUUCGAGAGGCUAAACAUGUAAUAUGAUAUUGUCAAAAUGGAUUAUUUUGGGAACCUAGCUAACUCCUUUCAAUUUUUUUUUCUUUUCAUAUUCUUCUUAAAUUUAGAAAGGAGCAGCAGAUAAGGCGAAAUCAGUAUUAGUUGAAGCAAUUAUUGAAAAGCUUGAAGUAGAAGAUACACCUUCCAUUGCAAGCACAUUUCGAAUUGCCGAUUUAGGCUGUUCAACGGGACCUAACACAUUCUUUUCCGUGAAUACAAUUAUAGAAGCCGUAACCCACAAGUACAAAACCAAAGGGCAUACUAGCCUGCCUGACUUCCAAGUACACUUCAAUGAUCAUGUUUCCAAUGAUUUCAACAUGCUUUUUAACAGUCUUCCUCCAGGCCGUCAGUACUUUGUAUCGGGAGUUCCAGGUUCCUUUCAUAGCAGAUUGUUUCCAAAAGCAAGUCUCCAUUUUGUCUACUCUGCCUAUGCUCUUCAAUGGCUUUCAAGGGUACCGCAGGAGUUAAGUGACAUUAAUUCACCUGCAUAUAAUCGUGGGAGGAUAUUUUAUUCAAAUGCACCAAACGAAGUUGGCAAGGCUUAUACAGCUCAGUAUGUAAUGGACAUGGAGCGUUUCUUAGCUGCUCGAGCAAAAGAGAUAGUCCCUGGAGGAUUAAUGGCCCUUCUGAUUCCAGGACGCCCAGAUGGGACACUUCCAGCAGAAUCAUCAAUCGGCCCCUUCUUCCAGCCCCUGGAAUCUUGCCUCGUGGAUAUGGCAAAUGAGGUAAUUAGUACAAGCACAAUAUUGAAACAUCAUGAAGAUAGAUCAAAUUUUCAUUCUGCAACUACACGCGAAAUGCUAUAAAGCAAUAUAUAUAUAUAUAUUAAAAGAUAAAAAGAAGUAUUUUAAUAUAUAUUAAAAGAACCAAUAAUUAAAAUAUGUACGUCCAUUAUAACAUAAUUGGUCUAAAGAGAAGUAAAAUCAUCCAUUUUGUUAUUUAUAAAAAUUAAAUAUUUUAUAUAUAAUCUUUCAAAAAUAUUAUUUGUUUUUGUUUUCCAAUGAUUUUUUUUUUAUUUUUCUUCUAGAUUACCAAAAAGUAAAUAGCAAAAACACCAACCCAACUUCUAGUACUUUCUAGAAUAGGCGAAUAUUUACACUUUUUUACAGCAUCGUUGAGUUAGAGCUAUGAAUUUUUGUCGUGCGCUAUUAAAAAUGCUUUUAACAACAUUUUUUGCAUACUUUUAUUAAUAUUUUUUUUAUAAAUUUAUGACUAUACUAUACAAGUUUCUAACAGUAUUAUUAAUAAUAAAUAUAGUUAUAGACAUCGUAUAAACUAGUAGACGGUACAUUUUUAUUAUUAUUGUUGAAAAUAAGAAAAAUAAAGUAAAAAAUUUAUAUAAUUACACUUUUUAAAUUUUUGUUAUGUAAAAAAGAUAUGUUAGUUCAGAGGAAUGUAAUUAAAGUAUAAAUUUAUUGUAGUAACUCAAGCAAUGGUUGUCCUAUGCAGGGAAUAAUUAAUAAAGCUAAAAUCGAUUCAUUCAACUUGCCUAUGUACAGCCCAUCCCCUGAAGAGCUAAGACAACUCAUACAGAAAAAUGGGAGUUUUAGCAUAGCGAGAUUGGAAAGCAACACAGAUGCGGGGAGCAAACGGUUGUGUGGAGCAGGUGAGUGUAGAUCUGGGUUAGAGAACAUCAUCGCAGGACACUUUGGGAGUAAUAUAGUAGAAGAAUUAUUUGAGCGAUACGCCAAGAAAAUUGCAGGAUGCCCUCCCCUUGACACUGGUGACACAAGUGGAAUUGGAUUAUGCAUCAUCCUCAAACGCAACCACUGAUGAGAAAUCUGCUCUCUGCUUGCUUCAUCUAUUUCACUUCUAUGCACGAUUGAUUUAAUUCAAGCUGCUCCUUUGGGCCAUAUUCAUACAUCCUUUGCCUUGUUUUUUUUUUUUUCUCGUUUCUGGUUUUUCUUUUGUUGCAACUUUGCUAAGACAAGCACACAAUAUUAGAGAUGUACUGUACUUCUGUGAUUUAUAAUAUAGGCUUCUUUUUCUUAUACUUUUCUGCAAUUUACUUGUUAUUCAUUUGCUAUUUACUUUUUUAACAAAUAAUUAGAUUAAUAGUCAUAUAAAUAUGGGUAAAGAAUUUUUUUUUAACAUAUGAUCUUUAGCUUAUAUAAUGAGAGAUAAUUCUCUCCCGUAUAACUUAUUGCUCUAACUGCUUUAUUCUCAGGUUUCAUUUCAUGUUCUUAAUUUUUAAGAUAUCUCGAACCACAUAGAGAGCUAUAAGUGUUACAUCUUAGGUUUAUCUUUCAAGCACAUUUUCAGAGAGGUUAAUUUUAUUGCAAAUGAAUUUGCAAAAGUAGGAAUUUUCUGAAUUUAUCAGAAUUAUUAAUUUGUUUCCAAUUUAAGUUUAAGUUAUAUCUGUAAGAUUUAAGCAAUAAUACCACUGUUCCUAGACAAAUGAAACAUAUCUGAAGCCACAUGGAGAGCUAUAAUUGCUACAUCUCAAGUCUAUCUUUCAAGCACAUUCUUAGAGAGAUUAAUUUUCUUGCAAUUGGAUUUACAUAAGUAGAAAUUUCUUGAAUUAGAAAUUUCUACGAUAUUUUAUAACUGAUAGAUUAUCGCAUUUUUUUUCGUGUUUUCUCUUGUUUCAGUUUGUACAACUUUAACUCUCCAUCCUAUAUAUUUCCAAUAUAAUUAUCUUACUUACCUUUAAAAAAAAUUGUUAUUUUGACAUUCCGGCCACUCAUCUUUUAUGUUUUAAGCAUCAUUACAAUUUCAAAAGAAUCUUUGGUCAUAGACAUACUCUCAAGGCCAAAAUCAACUAAGUCAAUCUACCUAGAGUGCCCCUCAAUUUGGGUAUAUCCUACGAGCCUUCUAGCUUUUAACUGUAGAGGGCACUGUUGUCGCACUUUGCUAGCAUGUCUGGUAGAAUUAGUGUGGUAAAUGCCAGAAAUUUCAGGUAUGAAAGAUGAAGAAAAACGGCUCAAGGGUUAAAGGAAUUUGUCUGGUCAUAUUUGUAUUGAUAGUCAGAGUAUUACAAGGCAAUAUAUAUAUAUAUAUGUGUGUACAGGUAUUGAAUUGAUUGUGGAAAAGCAUAAAGUUAGUCUCUAACUAACUAAUAAUUACAAUCUAACUAAUUUUUAAAAAACUUAAAUCAAACUACUGCGUUUUGAACUCUCCUGGCCUUUUAUUGAGACGGGGAGUUUUGGUCCUCUAUUUCUACCUUCUUUUUCCCAGUCAAGGACUUCAGUCUUCUUCUUCAUUUCUUGUCUGUGUUUCUAUCUCUUGGGAAAGCUUAUUUCACACUGCUGAUUCAAUCAAUGUUUGAUACUCCCCCUCAAGAUGAACUGUCUAUGUUAUGAACAUUCAUCUUGCUCAUCAAGAAGUGGAAUUGUCUCCGUUGGGGUGCCUUGGUGAAGAUGUCAGAUAGUUGUGACUGUGUUGAGAUGUAUAGGGGAUUAAUUAAUCCUGUCAUUACCUGUCAUUACCUUUUUUUGUAACAUUUUUAUGGUUUGCUUAUGUGAUUGGAUCUUGUCUUCUACUGUCAACAGACAUAUUGAGGUUUUUUAGUCUGAUAUGAUAAUGUAGAACUCUGCUAUUAUCUUCUAAAGAGAUUUUACAUAUUGUAGUUUUAAUAUGGAUGUUUAACUCAUUGAGCAAGAUCUGGUUUUAUCAAAUUAUUUUGUGAGUUGAAAUUAUGGAUUAGAAGCACAUAAUGCUGUCAGUUUGUUUACAGAACUUGGUUUCUGUUUGAUAAACUAAAAUUUUAAUGGUGAAAAAUUAUGUAAUAUUCAAUUACUUUACUUUUCUUUAUACUCUAUUCUGCGUAAUUGUACACUAAUUUCUAAUUAGGCUUCAACUACUUAAAUGCUUGAUAUUUGAAUUGUUGAUCUAUCUUGCUCCUUGCAUGGUAUAAAUCUUAAUAGGAUCAGAUGAUGAUAGCAUGCUGCUUUAUGUUAGUAAAGUUUAUAUUGCCAUGUUAGAAUCUUGCUUAAUUUGCCGAGCAUAUAAUUUACACUUUAAAACCAGUUAUAUUUUAUUGUUUAUUUUUGCCUGAACCUGCAGAUGUUCAGUUCCUACCAAUAUCUGGUCUUGUUGGUACUAACAUGAAAACAAGAGUAGAUAAGAGUACAUGUCCUUGGUGGAAUGGUCCCUGCCCAUUUGAAGCCCUCGAUUCUGCUGAAGUUCCUCUCAGAGAUCCAAAAGGUCCAUUUAGGUAGUAGUCCGGAGCCUAUCUUACAUAACAGGAUUCACUGCCCACACAACUUUUAUGUUUGAUUCUAGUUCCUGCCAUGUACUAGUAGCGUGUAAAUUUUAAUUCUUGGUCACUUAUAUGACACAUCUAAUGAUUUGUUAUUGACUCUAUAGGAUGCCUAUAAUUGACAAAUUCAAAGACAUGGGAACUGUUGUUAUGGGAAAGGUAGAAUCUGGAAGUGUGCGUGAGGGUGAUUCAUCAUUGGUUAUGCCAAACAAGGUGCUUGAUCUUCACAAUUUUUCCAUUUUAUUUAUGCGUAUAUGGUUUUUUAUUUUUAAUUUAUGGGGUCUGAGGAUUUUAUGCAUGGAUUGCGGGCUCAGGUGAAAGUUCUAGCUGUGUAUUGUGAUGAAAAUAAGGUUAGGUGUGCAGGACCUGGUGAAAGCUUACGGGUUAGAUUAUCUGGGAUUGAAGAAGAGGACAUAUUAUCGGGUUUUAUCUUGUCAAGUGUUGGUAAGUUUUUCUCAAUGGAGUUCUUCAUUAACCUUUACAAUCCUUUUUUCUAAUUCUACUUGUUUGUCUUUUAUAUUAAUAGUAAAUUGUAUUAGUUUUGCCUUAUUUUCGGGGUUUAAUGUUUGUUUUUCCUGCUUGCAGUAAAACCGAUAGCUGCUGUCACUGAAUUUACAGCCCAGCUGUAGAUCCUUGAGUUGCUUGAAAAUGUAUGCAUGAAUGUCAUUUUCAGUUAUCCUUAUUUAAUAAAAUCUAUACAUUUAAAGUAUAAUGUCCUAAUUAUUUGCUGUCUUGUUGAAUGUUGUUUAGGCUAUUUUUACAGCUGGAUAUAAGGCUGUGUUGCAUAUUCAUUCUGUUGUUGAGGAGUGCGAGAUAGUGGAGCUACUACAGCAGAUUGAUCCAAAGACAAAGAAACCCAUGAAAAAGAAAGUUCUUUUUGUGAAGAAUGGUGCUGUUGUUGUGUGUCGCAUUCAGGUUCGGACUCUUACUUUCUUUUAAAUAAACCAAAUUGGGGGUAUUGCUUUUUUGUACAGUUCAAUGCACUAAGUUAAACAUGUUUAGUAGCUCUGAGGGAGAUAUAAUUUUUUAGGGUACGAUCUGGAAAAUUGGCUGCAUUGUUGUAGGUAGUUUGAAAUCAAACUGAAUAAAUUGCUAGAUUGACCAAGGUGAGAAAGCAGUUGGAAAGCACUUGUUGGUGAGUUGUUUUAUCACAGGAGUAGAAGUGGAAAUAGUGGGAUAGCACUAUAAACUAAUGGUGAACCACUAACACCUCCUUUUUUGGGGCUCCACAUAUGGGAAAAAUUCUCUGAUAAAUCAGAAACAGGUAGCUGGAGCUAUGUUUCUGAGUUGGUUGAACUUGUACUUAUAACGUGGUUGUCUACUCUCUCCGAUGUGAGCACAUGUGCAUGCACAUUCUGUUUUCAGUGUAUGUUGUCUGUGUAGUGGAGAGGAGGCUGGAAAGGCCAAUCCGUAUGUUACAUACGUCAAUCAAUUAUUAACUGAAGUAAAAGAUGUUUCAGAAUGGAAGACAAUGGCUGAAUUAGUCUCUGUUUUUUCGGGGUUGAGAAAAUACUGUGUUCUUUUGCUUCUCAGGUGAACAACUUGAUUUGCAUUGAGAAGUUCUCAGAUUUUCCACAACUUGGGAGAUUCACUCUUCGUACUGAAGGUAAUGGAGACAGGCUCUUUUCAUUGCCAAUAAAUUAUUGUUCUUAAUGGCUGUGGGUCACAUGAAUUGUCAUGUCUGCAGGAAAAACCGUUGCAGUUGGAAAAGUCACUGAUCUUUCUUCAAGUAGUGGUGCUUAAUACAAUUUUGUUCUUAGAGGUGAGAAUUUAAACAUUGAAGGUUAUUUCUGCUCCUCUAUGUGAAGUUCCUUUUGGGAUCGCUGUUAUUCUCCUGCACCAUAUAUUUAAUGCAAGAGAUAACAAACCACCGAGAACAGUAUGAAAAGAGAAACAGAGUUUUGAGUUGAUCAUCAAUUGGUGAUCUUUCAAUUUAGUCUUCUAACAUAAAAUUGUAGUUGAAUAACAUUUGGUCCUUUUGGGGAUGGAGGGUUGGGAUUUUUCACCAAAAUAUUGCCUUAUUGUUGCAUCACGUACUUUUAUUGUUGUUGGAGAAUGGCUUUUGUUAUCGCUAUGCUAGUUGGUAGCACCUUUGAAGAGUUGGGGGGAUUUUGUUGUGGAAGCAUUACGCGGUUGAAAGUAGUUUACUCACAGUAUACCAUGCCAUCCGAUUCCUUUUCUCUUUUUUUUUUUUCUCUGCUAUGGUAAUAGAGGUUAAGCAGGAAAUGGGACUAGACUUUGUUUUAGGUAAUAGAGAGAGGCUGGACGCGGUUGCAGCAGAUAUUUCUAAGUUUAACUUGAGUCUGAGAGUUGUAGAAGAUAAGAAAGUUAAUUGUACUAACAGGCAGACUGCCUCGAAGGUGAGAUCGGAAAUAAUAGGGAGAGAGAAAGAUAUAAAUGACAUUAUAAAAUCAUUGUUGCACGAUCAAAAUGAUAAUCAUGGUGACAGCAUCUCCCUUGUUGCCAUUGUUGGAUUCGGAGGAUACUUGUACAGAAAUUUUUUUACUUUUAAAAAUACAACAGUAUAAAUGUACCCAAGUUAUCAAAUUUUUCUGAUUUUUCACCUUGUUAUAUCAAUUCCCAACAAUCUUUUAGAUGUUUCCUCUCUACUUUUUCAGUGAUGCUAAUGUGUGCUUGGAGGAGAUUCAUGCGACUAAGAUAUUCUCAAUAGUUAAAUUUCUUCUAUUACCAUAUGCAAAAAAUGGAGUUCAUGAACAAAUUAUUGUAAGUAGCUUCGCGUCCCCCGUUUUUAUAGGUUGAUGAAUACAAUAUCAUCUCUUAUACAAUGGGACAACUUUGGACGUUCUUGUCAUACCCUUUCAGAUGCAAAACCAGAAUUAAAUGGACAAGGAUCAUGAGCUAGAUUGCUUCUAUUACAGAGAUUCUAAGUAACUGAAACACUGGUGAAAUGAGCUGAGAUGUGAGAGUGAGAAUGCUUCUUCUUUUUACAGAUUAAUAUAUAUCUUCUUUUUUCUAUCUUCUCUUCAAGGAAAUGACUAAUAUUACAACCUCUUCCUUUCAACAAGCAGAUGGAAUGAAGUAUUAACCUUAUAAUAUUGUUUUUUCCCGAGUAUCCCUGAGGAUUUGCAACUACAAGUUUGUUAAAGGGCCUAUCUCCACAAGACUCUUGAGCUAGAAGCUAGUAAUAAUAGAAAAUAAUGUGAAAGUCUGCUUGUACAUUUCCUGCUUUUGUGAAGAAGAGAUAUUGUUACAGGUAAUGUUUCCUCCUUUUCUAGCUGUAGGAACUAGCUUUUGUAAGGAUUAUAUUAACAUAAUUUCUUUUAAUUUUUUUACGUGUUUAUAAUGGUGAUGACAUUUUUUCUUUGUUUGAAAGAGGACGAUUUCAUCUUGCUAAUUUCCUUCCAAAGUAGAACAGCUGUCGAAUUGAAACCAAGAGAAGUUUUAAUUGGUAAAAAUUUACCACUUAUUCAUUUUGUCUUACCAAUUUCAUUUGCUGGCUAUAAGAAAUUCAUACUUCUUUCUGCAUGUCUUUUUUUGGAUUAUAGAUUUUUUCUGAUAGAUCGAGAGAGUAAGAAUUGAUUUCACCUUGCCAAUGCCAUUGUGAGGAAGAGUAUUACAAUCGAUGGAUGGAAGCUUUUACUCCCAACAACGUCAUCACAUAAUAAUUUGAAGGCGUGAGUAUCUAUGUUACAGUUUGAUGGCAAUUCUAUGUGAGAUAUAAAUUUUGCUUUGAGUAUUAAUAUUUUUUUUUUGAAAGGUGAUUUUAUUCAUCCUCUGUACCGGAAUCGCAUUUCAAAUCUCUUGCCUGAUAGACCAAAGACUCCCUUGGCAUUAAGAACCCGGUAAGGGUAAAAGUAGUACAAAAACACAGAAAACACCAUCCAAGACUUGAUGGCAGCUCCAAGAGAUCAAAAGACAAGAGUCACAAAGCCCUGAAACAAAAAGAAGGGCAGCACAAUAGGUCUCUAACCUAAAAAAAGAAAAGGGCUAGAUCCUAAUCAAAAUGAUUUUUUGAUAACCUGCAACAUGUAUUCAAUGUUAUGAAUAUUAGAUAGUAGUAAAAUUUGAGACACUGUUGGUCACUUUCAUCAACUUGCAAGACAGCCUAAGACCUAAUUAAGGAAUAUGGCAUAAAAAAUUGGCUCCACGAACUCAACUUCUCCGGACCCAGCAACUUAAUAACUAAGUCCUAAUAUAUUCAAAGUGCAUUUGCUGUCAUUUUAGAACUGUACAAAAAUAAAACAUAAAUAACUUUUGAGUAUUUAAAUUCAAUAAAGGCUAGCUCAUGAAAAUAAUUGAACAGCUUAACCUCUGGUUUCUUUUUAGAUAACAUUGAGUACACAGCAUGCAACUCUUUCACCUUUUCUUCCCAAGAAGUGAGCCUCGGUCUAACGAUCUUGAAUUCAAGGUGAAUUGGCUUUUCAUUUUUUGCUCUAUUAUAUAUGAGGAAUUUGCUGUGUAUGGAAUCUUCAAUAUUUUUUCAUUGCUCUAACGUUUAAGAUUUUCAUUUUCCAUAUAUAGAAAAAGAAGAGGUGCCAAUGACUUGCCCACCAACUCCCUUCUGAGCAUUUUUGAAAAGCAGGUAUUCUCAAAAGCAUAUCUAUUGCAAAAAUGAUGACUAUAUAUUAUAGCUUCUUUAGUUUUUGUUCUUGACUUUUUGCAUAUCUUUGUCCUCAAUGCUUCUUUAUAACAACGGUUUUUUUUACUAGUUAUCUGUGAGUGGAGUCAAACAACACUUGCUAAGUAAUGGCUCGAGUGAUCGGAAGAAGUGCGUUGAGCUAAGCUCGUUGUAAAACCCCUUUGCUUCUUUCAAAAUAUCAAUAAUGCUUCCAUCUUGGCCAUUCUUGGAGGUAUUUGUGUAGUGGCUUCAAUCCUAGUCUUUAGACCUUGACUAUAGUAACCUAAACUGUGAAGGGACCUAAAUACAAAGGUUCUUCCAUAAUGUAUAUGGAGAAGACUUUUGGGAUAUUGUUCCGAGAUUUCCUAUAUGCUACAUUUGGGUGUUGCAACUAUGUAAAUUCAUGUGCGUUUUAUUAUACUAGAUUGUUUGCUUACUUUUUAUCAUCAAAUUUAAUUUGCUAUGGUAUCGAUGUUUUACACUAGGUUAUUUGCCAAAGGAAUGGUAUAACCUGUUUUCAUAUUCCAAUUAACAAAUUGUCAAAAAUAAUUUGUCAAUUUUUUUUUGCUUCAGCAAGUUCAUCAAACUUAUCUUAUAAGUAAUAUGUUCAAUCAUUAUAUUGAAAAUCUUAUAUUAAAAUAAUAUCUUAACAAGUUUUCUGAAGACACUCAUGAAUAAAAUAUAUCCUUUAUUUAUUCAUUAGAAAGAUCUCCUACAAGUCCAUAAACAGCUACCUCAAUAAAUUGAACCAUCAAGAUGAAGCAAAAUGUAAUUGUACAUGUUCCUUUUGCAUUAAGGAUUAAUUUGCUAUAAAUUCUCAGUUUUUUUUUUUUUCCUUGAAUUCUAAGUUUUCAGACAGUGCAAAAAGUGGGAUGGAUGAAGAUUAUUGAAAAGAAAAAUCACUCCAAGUGUAGAUUAUAAAGCUAGAAUCUUUCAGACUUGAAACCUACCCUUGCCUGGCGUUCUCAGGUCUAUUUGUUUCCUAGCAGGCUGCAUUAGGUAAGAUCUCCUUGGUGGGCAAUAAACUAUAGCAGGAUGAAAGUUAUUGGAGAAGAGUUAACCAAGUUGGCUACAAAAACAAGAAUCGCUGAGGAAAAAAAAAUUCUAAUCAGUCAUAAAACUAAUAAAACUCUGUUCCUAGAAUUAAAAAUCAAAAGUUGGGGAAUAUUAGUAGAAUUCCGUGUUCCACUAGUUUUUAUUUGAUUUCAACAAUAUAAAUAUAUUUUCUCUGCUUUGUUAAUUAAUUGACUAUUAUUCAUUCUUUUUUUUUUAAAUCAAAAAGAAUGUUAUUGCAUAAUUAGGAUUAUCCAAAAGGAUAAGUCUCAAAUCAAAUAAGUACGUAAGAAAACAGAGCCCUGUACGUAAGAAAAACAAUAAAGCAGGACCCAACAAGAAAACAGAAGAAAAGGACGAUUAUUCAUACACCUACUCUUAUUAAUAAUCAAUUGAUUAUAAUAAUUACCAAGUUGCCAAUAAUUUUGGCUUUGUAGCUUUGGCAUUUUACCUUUCUCAAUGCGACGACGUUGAGCCAAGUUGCCUAUAAUUUUUCCAUCUGUCCUACACCGACUCUUAUUACUUUGACGUCAUAUAUAGAGUUUACAUUUAAGCAUCGUCUUCUAUCAUCUCCACAUCUGCGAGCUGCACUGCCCCCAAAGACUUUGAUUUCUGCCUUACUCUUCCAUUUCAUUUUCCUUCAUUUUUCCACUUUUCUCUCAGCUCAAAAGAAAGAAAAAAAAAAGCAUCUCUGUUGGUUUAUUUUCGUUGGCUUCUACUUUCCUAAUCUUCUUUUAUCUCAGAAAAAAAAACAAAAAAAUUGUUCUCUUAAAUUACUUGUUUUAUCCCUGCUACUCUUCCUUUCCUUAAUUUUGGUUUCCCCAUCUCCGGAGUUGGUGAAGUAAUUCCAUAAGAAUUAAGAUCCAUCUGAAUUAAGGUAAGCUUCAAUAAAAUAUAUUAUAUUUUCGGUAAUAUAAUUUUUUUAUAUGCUCAAUUUCUCUUAUUAUUUAUUUGGCUUCUUGAUUUAUUCAAUGGAUAGAUAAAAUUGAGAGUUUAUCUUUGAUGCAUCGACAAUAUAUAAUUUUUAUACAAUAUCAAUUCACCACAAUGCAGCAUCUCGUUAAGAAGUAAAAAUAGUAGAAUCAAAUUAAAAGAUAAUUGACAUAAUACCUAAAAAAGCCUUGAAACUAUUUUAAAAAAUUCAACUAAUUUUUUUUUUUUUUUGCCUAUGAUCUAGACUUUAUAUUAUAAUUAAUAGUUGAUUAAUUAUUUUUAAUUAAAAUGUCAAUUGUAAUGCUAAGUGAAAAGAUAUAAUAAAAUAUAAAUAGAUAUUUAAAAUUUUGAAAAAUAUUUUAUAGGUGGAUAUAUUAUCUUUUUACCCUAUCAUGUUAGAUAUAUGAGUGUGAUUAAUUUCAGAGGAAUUGAUAUGACCUUCCAGAAAUUGAACUACACAAUUAUGAAUGUGGCUCCCAAGCUUAUGCCAAUAUUUCUGGUAGACUUACGCAAGUAUCCCAUUUGGUCCAGAAGCCUUUGUAGAGUGCAUUAGGAACAAAGCACUCUUCAGUUCCUCCACUGAAAUACUAGCAUUUAAAUCAACAUUCAUCUAGUCCGUUAUUUUUUACCGUAUUCCAAACAAGGCUGCGUCUAUCUGUAAUUGACCUGAAGAAAAAAACAAGCCAAUGAAAAAGUCAUUAAUAAUCGAACUCAAUUCACUUGCGAAAUCUGUCCAUUCAUCAUUCUCUUUCUUCAAAGCUCAAAUGGUGUUUUUCCUCCUCCUCUCCUUUGCUGUUCCAAGGAAGAACUUGGUGUUCUUGUCACCUUUUUUCAACCAUGUUACCCUAGAUCUCUGUUUCCACAUCAUCUCUUCCACUUUUACCAAUUGAUUGAUCUAAUUUUGAACAAUUUUAAUUUUUAAAGAGUAGCCAGUUCUUUCAUAAAACUGUUGUAGUUCUAUUCUUUUUCACUUCAUUUGCUUCUCAUCUCCUGUAUAGAUUUAGUUUAUUUUAGUUAUUAUUUUUUGCAAUAUUUUUAUCAUAAAUUUUACUUAAUAUGAUUCAUGUGCAUAUUGGACAUUCCAUAGUAUAAAUGUGUUGUGAAAAUUGCCCAAGAAUCAACAAAGAUAAAACUCAGAGAAAUUAAGUAAACAGAAAAAUAUAAGAAUUUAUGUGGUUCGACCUCUUGUCUACGUCCACGGAAUAAAACUGUUCUUCUAUUAUUGAGAAUUUAAAGUACAAUAAAUUCAUCUUUAUGGUUCCCCAAACCAACCCAAGAUUCCUUGCACACUCUUCUUCAAUAACCUCACAAGAACACUCACCCAAACCACUUUCGCUCCACCUAGAGCAAAAGACAGAAUUACAAAAUGUUUCCUCUCUAGAGCUCUCAAAGCACUACUUGCAAUUCUAAAGCCUAAAAAUCUACUUUUAUAGUAUAAAAGUUCAAAGUAGAAUGUGAUUAGGAUUCGAUGUGGAAUAAAAAGUUUAAAACUAUACAACUACUCAAUGUUAUACACAAACAAAAAAUCCUAAACAAAUAAGAUUUAGAAUUCUAGUCAACCUGAAACUCAACAAAUCUUCACAUUUGACUUGAAUUCAAACUUCUUAAACCUCUUCCACUAGUCGCACCUAAUUGCAACUUCCUAACUCCACUUACUUUCCAACACCUUGGACAACUCUCCAAGCAUAAGACUUUUUAAAUCAUUAGCCUUUAUAAUUACCACGACUUCACAUACUGAAUCAAGUAUGGUCCAACACUGGAUUCUACAAAACAGCCAAUGCACCUGUGUAGCCGUCAAGUCAAUGGCACUAAUUAACUUCGGAAAGGGACCUUGACGACCCUUCCAAUUCACUACUGGUAAGAUUUUUCAUCCUUUCACCAUCAUCUACACCAUGGGAAUCUUUCAUCACCUCUUCGGCAAAUGAAAUCUCACUUUGAUAGCUACCAUCCCUAGUGCAUUGUUCCCAUCUUUUCGAGGCCUCACAUUCUAGACGAUACAAGUCAUUAUGCAAAUUCUCCCUCAUCAGGACCAUGUCGCCUUGUGUGACUUUUACCACUCCAUCACAAGCAGAAUAUCCAUACCUUUUGGAGUCUAACAGGCUCAAUGAUAUUAGAUUCUUACGCAUCUUUGGGACAUAGGCCACACCAUCCAAAGAGCGCACAACCCCAUCAAACAUUUUGAUUUUCACCACUCCAAGACCCAUGAUCUUCACUAUUGACUUAUUACCCAAAGUCAAAUUCCCAGCCACCCCUUCUUGAAGUAAAUCAAAAUAAUCUUUUUGAUAACAUAUGUGAGUAGCAAAAGCAGAAUCUAAAUACCAAUCAGAAUUUGCAUCCAUAUUUUCUGAGAUUGUAAGGACAUCACAAUCAUCACCUUCAGCAACGAAAGCACACUCACCUUUAUUCUCAUUACUUUCAUCCCAUUUUGUAGGACAAUCCUUUUUAAUAUGCCUAUACCUUUUGCAUUUAAAGCAUUGAACAUUGUUAGAUCUAGACUUGUCACCCUUAGAUCCCUUACCAGUUGACUUCCUCCUAUUAGCCUCAAUUACCAAUGCCAAGCCAUUUGGAUCUCUAUCCCCUUCUUUACUUUUCUUUCGGGCUUCAUGAGACAUUAACGUUGUUUGUACUUGUUCUAACAUUAUUGUAUCGAUUUCACAUAUAAGAGAUUCCACAAAUACCUUAUAGGAGUCUGAAAGCGAAGCCAGGAGCAAUAGUGUCUUUUCCUCUUCCUCCACCUUGACAUCAACCUUCUUCAACUGAUCAAAGAUUCCAUCGAAUUCAUUCAUAUGCUUCAUGAGGUCUCCAUUCUCUUCCAUCUUUAAGCGAUACAACUUUCGCCUAAGCUGCAACUUGUUAGAAAGACUUUUCGCCAAGUAAAUUUUUUUUAACUUUGUCCAUAAUCUUGAAGUAGAAUCCUCAUCAAUAACAUGGUUAAACACAUUAUCUCCAAUGCAAAGUCGAAUAAUGCUCACACACCUUUGCUCCAACUCUGCCCAUUCAACAUCUUUCAUGUCAUCUGGUUGCCCUUCCUCUUUUCCUAGCAAAAGACGCAUUAAACCUUGCUGCACAAGGAGAUCUUUCAUCCUUCUCUACCACUGCGUGAAACUAGUCUUACCAUCAAACUUCUCAAUUGAAAAAUUCGUAGAACUAGUAACUUUCGACAUCCUUAUUGAAUCUUGAAUUUACAGAACCCGAAGCUCUGAUACCAGUUUGUUGUGGAAAUUACCCAAGAAUCAACAAAGAUAAAACCCAGAAAAAUUAAGUAAAUAGAAAAACACAAGAAUUUACGUGGUUCGGCCUCUUGCCUACGUCCACGGAGUGAAACUGUUCUUCUAUUAUUGAAAAUUUAAAGUACAAUAAAUUCAUCUUUAUGGUUCCUCAAACCAACUCAAGAUCCCUUGCACACUUUUCUUCAAUAACCUCCCAAGAACACUCACCCAAACCACUCUCGCUCCACCUAGAGCAAAAGACAGAAUUAUAAGGUGUUCCCUCUCUAGAGCUCUCAAAGCACUACUUGCAAUUCUAAAGCUUAGAAAUCUAUUUUUAUAGUAUAAAAGUAAAAAAUAGAAUGUAAUUAAGAUUCAAUGUGGAAUAAAAAAUUUAAAACUAUACAACUAUUUAAUAUUGUACACAAACAAAAAAUCUUAAUCAAAUAAGAUUUAGAAUUCUAGUUAAUCUAAAACUCAACAAAAUAUAUAUAUAUGUAUAUCUUCAUUAGAUAUGUAACAUUAAUUGGUAAACAAACUGGCUGAGAACUUUCUCUCUAAAAUCAAAUCAUGCAUGAAUAGAGAGGGUAGAAUCUUAGUAAAAAUACUAGUAUUAAUUUUGAAAUUAACUCAAACUCAAAGUAAUUGUUUAAAAGGGCAACCUGAAUGCGACGUGAUGUGUGCAGUCAUUACAGCUGGAAGAGAGGUAUGGGUUUGAAUCAGGUAAAGAAGCCAAAGAGGGGUGCUCCUACAUUUUUCUACUUUUUGUUUAUGAUCAGAAGAACCUGAGGUAACAUAUAAAUAUGCAUUGAUAAUCCAACUAGAUCUGCGGCUGUUGUUUGGACAACAAGAGAAAAGGGUAGCUCGGGAACUGAGCAUGCCACUGCCAUGGCCCCUCUCUUAUUAACUCUUUCAACCACGUUCAUUCAAAGUCUAUCCCUAAGCUGUCCUGUCACUGGUGACGGACCCUAUAAUCAACUCACCUCCAAUUGAACCAACUGCACAUGAUUUCUUCCUUACAAUGUCUAGAAAUUUCAUAAACAAUAAAAACAAAACGAAGUUAAUUUAAUAUAUUAUCAACAUUUAUCUAUAUAAAAGUUGAUUUUAUUCGAUUUUUUAUUGCCUCACACGUGUAUAUAGAUAACGAUUGCAUGAUGUGAUAUCAGGAUCACUAGCAGAGACCAUUGCUGCUAACUGAAACACACUAAGCAACUUGAAGAAAGUUGAUGCCAUGCCAUGAUUGGUAGCACUACACUUUUACGUGAAGCUGGUUGAGAAAAGAUUGUGUUUUUGCUUACACAAAUCUUCCUGGAGCAAGUACUUAUAGAGUAAUCAGCUGAGAAUUCUAUGUCAAAAUUGAGAAUAUCCUAUAUGAUCAAAUUCAUGGGCAACAAGAACACUGUAUUUUCCAUUGGCCAGCAUUACAUGAAUAUCUUUUAUAUUAACAAUCAAAUAUAAAUUUUUUCUCAAAAAACGAAAAAGAAAAAAAUCAAAUACCAACCGAAAAUUUUAACAAGUCUUCUUAAAACACUCCUAAUAAAAUAUAUCUUUUAUUUAUUUCUUUGAAAAAAAAAUUCUAAUUAUUGAUAUUCACUUUUUUUUUUUGUAUGAAGACUUUUCCAGUAGCUAAGUUUCCAAGUCUGAGAUUAGUAAUGAAUACACACCUUUGCAAUUGCAUUGCAGAUUCUUAUCAAAAAAUUAAUAAUAAUAAUAAAAAUUAUUCUUAAGCAUCCUUUCAUUGUUCUUUUUUGUUUUUUGUUAUUACUUUUUUUUAUACAACUGUUUGUCUUUUACUUCUUAAAAUUUUACUAUUAGUUAUAAAUUAUUAAAUGAAAAAUAAACGAUAAAAAGGUUAAAUCAAUAUUAAUUAAGAAUGAAUAAAUGAUUAAGAUAUAACUAUCAAUAAAUGUUGGUAAAUACUUUUACUUUUUAAUUUUUAGUCAUAAUUUCAAGUGAGUGUAUUAAUUUUUAAAUAAACAGCUGAUUCCAAACAUAAAAAUGACGUUAACGAGCAAAUGUGAAAUGUCAAAAAUAAUCUUAUUCUUUCUACCUCUUUUUCUUUUUUUUUUAAGAUUAGUUGACGGUGCUCUUUAUGCCGAUCGACCACCCUCGCAUCCCCCUUACCCUCAUGCCACCCCCACCCCACCCCUCUUCUAAGGAGCACAGAUCUGACACUCUCCAGGGAAGCUCCCCCCCGCCCCUCCUUUGGUGCUCGUCGAGGGUGGGGGGGCGCGACUCCUCUAGGGAACGUUGGAACAAUGGCGGGGGGAAAGUGGAGCGCAAGGGAAGGGAGAUCCAGUUGGAACCAAAUCUAGUGCUCCGACUACUAGAAAAGGUGGGAGAUUUUUUUUUAAUAGGAAAUACUAUAAUAAAUUUGACUUAAGACAAUACAUUUUUAAAAUAUGUUAUUAAAAAAAUUUUAAUAAUAUUUUUUUAUAUUUUUUAAAAUAUUUUUAUAGAUCUAAUUUUAAUAUAUAAAAUUUUAAAUAUAUUAUUAAUAAAAUAUGAAGAUAGAAAUUACAUACACCAGUAAAGAUUGUACUUUUUAUAUUACUAUUAAAUUUGACAAAAAUGAAGUUAAAAAUUUAAAUAAUUACACUUUUUAAAAUUUUACUACACAAAAAAAUAUAUCGUCCAAAGAAAUGUAAUUAAAAUUCAAAAUUUUUAUAGUUAAAAAAAUUAAAAAUUAUAGUUUAUAUAGUAUGAUAGUUUUUAAAAUUAAUAAAAAGUAAAAUUAUAUUUUUAAUAUUACCACUUUAUCAACUUAAUGGAAAUAUUAAAAGUUUGAUUAAGAGCUGGAUUUAUGCAUUGAGCGAAAGAUAUUCUUUUAAGACAAACUGUCUAUUUCAAAAAUUAAUGAAUUAGUGUGAAUUUAUAAUUAAACGUUAAAAGGUAAAAGUAUUUUAUCCAUAAAUGUUUUAUUUAAACAUGCUCAUUAGGUCAAGUCUACUAAAUCUUUCAUUAUUAUAUAAUUAGGAAAAAUGUGUUAAACAAAGGUAAGUCAGAAUUUAAUUUUAGUGUUAUCUUAGUAAAUUUCAUUUUAGAUAGCCAUUAAACUAUGUUUUACUUCGAGUGAUUUUGGGUUCCAAUAAUUAUGCCUUAUAGUUGCUUAUUCACUCGAAAUUUUUUUUAUGAAAAGAAAACAAUUGUCAAAUAAAAUGAAAUAAUUAUUGAAUUUUUUUAAAUCUCUUAUGCAUAAUCAUAGUACUUAUGGUGUAAUAUUAAUUGGUCAAAUGAUGGUGAGAAUUACAAGCAUCAAAAGGUUAUGAAAGGAAUGAAGGCAAGUUAAAUUUAUCAUAGUAAUGAAAAAAUAAAUAAAUAAAGAGAAGCUCAGGUUUUCCAUUGAUAUAUAAGCAAGGAACUUGGAAAAUAAACUGGCUGAGAACUCUCUCUAAAAUCAAAUCAUUCAUGAACAGAGAGGAUAGAAUCUUAGUAAAAAUAUUAGUAUUAAUUUUGAAAUAAACUCAAACUCAAAGUAAUUGUCGGCAAGGGAAAGCUGAAUGCAACGUGAUGUGUGCAGUCAUUACAGUUGGUAGCGGGGUCUGGGUUCAGACUUCAGACCAAACUUUGCAGUCAUGUCAGUGGUGAGAGAUCCAAUAAUUCAACUCUCCUUCAAUUGAACCAACUUUUUCUUUGUGCACAUCAGCACAUGUAAUCAUAAACUCAACUUUUUCAUUUGAAGCUCAGCAGAACGACGGUGGAUGUGAGGUGGGUUGAGGGUGCCUGCCGCAGGGCACUCCAAAGUGGCGAAGGGACACCAUGGCCAUUGAGGCCAGAGAACUCCAUCAUGCUAGCUUUGGUAACCUAACACUAUGACUUUUUCCAAGUCAGUUUAGGUUUUAUAUAUUUUAAUUAUUCUUUUCCCCUUUGGAUAAUGCCUUGGACUGUUGUAAUUAUGGCCACCAUCAAAUGUGAUUUUGAAUCGGGUAAAGAAGGCAAAGGAGGGAUUGUCCUGCAUUUUUCUACUUUUUAUGAUCAGAAGAGCCUGCUUGCAUUAGAGCUGUCAAUAUGGGCUGACCCAGCUCAGCCCAGCUCAAGAUUUUGUGGAUUAAGAAAAAAUAGAUCAGAUCGGAUCAGUCUAUUUUUAUAUGGAUCAUGAAAAUCUCAAUCCAACCCAUCUUUUGUUAGUCUAUGUGUUGGGUUGGGUCAAUUUAUUUUUUAUUUUUUUUAAAAAAUUAUUUUUAUAAUUUUAUAAUAAAAUUAUUUUAUAAUUUAAUUUAUAAAUUAAAUAUUAAUAAUUAAAUUAUAAAAAUAUUAAAAUAUAAANAUAAAAUAAAUAAUAUUAUUAAUAAUUAAAUUAUUAAUUUUAUAUAAUUAAAUAUAUAAAAUUAUUAAAUUAAUUAAAAUUAUUUAUUUUUUUUAACUCACAAAACUAGCCUGCCUCAGUCCAUCUUAAUUCACUGAUUUGAUAAACUGAUUUAUUUAAAUUCGAUUUAAAUAUAAAUAUAAAUUUUUAAAUUUAAUUUAUUUUAUAUUUAAUAAAAAAUAAAUUGACCCAGUUUAGGAAUAGCUUGCAUUGAUAAUUAAAGUAGAUCGCUGUCGCUUGGACAGCAAGAGAAAAGGGCAGCUCACUGAGUAUGCCACUUGCAUGGGCCCCUCUUAUUAACUCUUUCAACUACAGUCAUUCAAAGUCUAUCCCUAAGCUGUCCUGUCAGUGGGGACAGACCCAAUAAUUCAACUCUCCUUCAAUUGAACCAACUUUUUACCUUGUGCACAUGUAUCCUUCUUUACUUCCAAUGUCUAGAAAUUUCAUAAACAAUAAAAAUAAAACGAAAUUAAUUUAUCAACAUUCAUCUUUAUAGACUUAAGUUUUUGAUUACCAUGUUAAGUUUGCUUGCGCUCCUGUUAUCUGCUUUAGAUUCAUUUUCAACUAAGUUGUAGAUCCAUGGCGGAAGUAAUUCCAUUCGGGGCAGUAAGUAAUAUCGUGUUGAGUUUCCUAGCAAGUCCCAUCCUCUUGUCAUAACACUUCCUGGAAAGCCAAGCAAGGUCCUUGAUAGAACAUCCGAGAGAGAAUCAGUCAAAGUUUAUUAAUUAUCUAUACCAACUCUCGUCCUAUUGUAGCUGGGACUCAAUCAAAGGAAAGAGAAUAAAUUUAAUUGGUUAAAAUAUGAAGUUAAUUUGAUAUAAUUAGUUAGAAUUUUCUUAAUUCUAUUAGACUUAAUUCGAUUUUUGUAUUAAACUGAAUUCUAUCAAGUAAGGGUCAUGGAGCAAAAGAUGUUUGGAUCGUUGUUAUUUGAAUAAAAGAAAGUGACAGUAAAAAUCGAGAUUGAGAAAUAAACCAAUAAUUCAAAAGUGCUCAUGAUUCAGUGUUCCACUGGUGGAAAAAGAGCGAAAAGCAGUGUUUGGGUGCUGACAAUUUUCAAAGUGUGGACCCACUAUCACGUGUUCUCUCCGGAAGAAGAGAAAGAGGUGGAAAAGGGGGGAUUCAUUUCCAAAAGUUUCCUACACACUGCCAUCACGCGACCCCCAUCCUCUUUCCAUGACACUUCCUGGAAACAAAAGCAGAACAUCUGAGACAGAACCAUCAAAGUUUAAUAAUUUUCUAUACCCACUUUUAAUACUUCAUCCUCAUACGGUUCCCAUUCAAGCAUCUUGUUCUAUCAUCUGCACUAUCCCAAGAGUUUGUUUGAUUUCUGCAUGCCUUGCUCUUCUUUUUACUCAACAAGACCUACCCUUCCAUUUUAUUGUCCUUCAUUUUCCCACUUUUCUUUGAACUCCGAGAACAAAAACAUCUUUGUUGUUUAACUCUAACAAAAAAAAAAAACAAAAAAAAAGUUAAUCUCUUAAAUUACUUUAGUUUGAUCCUUGUUACCUACUUUUCCUUUCCUUAAUUUUGAUUUCCCUAUCUCCGGAGUUGGUGAAGUCAUUCCAUCCCAAUUGAGGUAAGCUUCAAUAAAAUAUAUUACAUUCUUCAUAUUUUAUUUUUUUAUAUGUUCAAUUUCUCUUUCACUUCUGAAUUUGACUUUUUAUUAUAAAUUUUUUAUUUAUUAUAAAUUUUCAUUUUUUUUCCAUUUUUACGGACAUAUAUGGAUAUUUUCGAAAAGCAUUUUAUAGAAUGAUGACACUAUGCUUUUAGUUUAAUAUAAAAAAAUAUUUUUAAUUAAUAUACACAUGAUUAGUGACAAGAAUUUUUAUUUCUGCAGUAUUUUCGAUUCCAAGUUGGUCAGUCAGCAAUCUAUUCUCUGGUGAUUCACAUUUUCAUAAAGGUAAAGUGCUUUACAAACAUUUUUUCUCUCUGCAAAACUUUUUACUCUCUAAAAUUAAAACCAAGCAUAUUUUUAUUUUAUGAAAGUUUCAACUGAUCUUUAAUUAAAAUAUAUAACACGUUUUAAUAACUUAAAAUUUUGAAGCUUGAAAUAUUAAUAUUACUUAUUAAUAACAAUAAUUUUUUUAUAUAAAAAAUGGAAAAGGGGCGAAGUCAGUAGUUUCCUAAGACAAACGAUUUGAGCACUUGUCUUCCGCUAAAAUUUUGAAAUUGAAUAAGAAAAAGUAUUUAUAUUUAUGUACUAACCGUAUAUAGUUUUAAAAUAAAUAUUAAAAAAAUUUUAAUAACUAAUUAGAGAAAUAUUGUGGAGGCAUAAUCUAAUAAAAAUAUGAAUUAUUGCAAUGGUAGCCCAUUUUUGGUACUUCAAUUUUUGGCCUUGAUCUUCUGAACAAAACAUAUUCCAGUGGAUAGAUUUCCAAGUCUAAGAUUAACUAUGAACACACCUUCGCAAUUUGCAUUGCACAUUCCUACCAAAAAUAUUAAAAAAUAUUCUUAAGCUUCCUUUUAUAGUUUGAUUUUUUUUUUACAAUUACUUUUUUAUUUCUUAAAAAGUUAAGUGAGAAAUAAAUGACAAAAAAGUGAAAUGACAAAUUAAUUAAAAAUGAGUAAAAGAUUAGGGUAAAAAUAAAUAAAUAAAUGAUAAAAUUGUAUUAAAACUAAAGAGAUCUAUUUCAUUAUUUAGAAUAUUAUAUNCAAAAAAGUGAAAUGAUAAUUAAUUAAAAAAGAGAAAAUGACUAGGGUAAAAAUAAAUGAAUAAAUGGUAAAAUUGUAUUAAAACUAAAGAGAUCUAUUUCAUUAUUUAGAAUAUUAUAUAUAUACAUUUAAUUUAUCAAAACUUAUUUUGAUUUAUUCAAACAUGCUUAUCAGGUGAAGUCCGUUAAGUCUUUCAUUACCGUGUUAGUUUGCUUGCAUUUCCCUGUCAUCUGCUUUAGAUUCAUUUCAACCAAGUUGUAGAUCCAUGGCGGAAUCAAUUUUAUUCGGGGCACUCAGUAACAUCUUUUCCAAGUUGAUGUGGCUUGCUGGGCAAAAGAUUGGCUUGAUUUUCUGGCAGAAAGGCGAACUGGAUAAGCUUCAAAAGACUCUCGACAUCAUAAAAGCCGUCAUUCUUGAUGCUGAGGAGAAGCAGGAGAGCAACCUUGUUGUGAAAAACUGGAUAAGUAGACUGGAAGAUAUUGUCUCUGAUGCAGAGGACUUACUGGACGAAUUCGACUAUGAGAUCCUGCGCCAGAAGGUGCGUCCACGGGGACAGGUACGCAAGAUCUUUCGAUCCUUCAGGAUGGGUCCUAGAGUUAAGGAGAUUAGAGAGAGGCUGGACGUGGUUGCAAGAGAGAUUAAAACGUUUGAUUUUAAUGUGAGAGUUGUAGAACUGGAUAAGAAACGUAAGAAUACUGACAGAGAGACUGCCUCAAAGGUGAGACCGGAAUUAGUAAUAGGGAGAGAGGAAGAUAAAGAGCACAUUAUAGAAUUGUUGAAGGAGCAAAAUCAUGGUGACAGCAACUUCAAUAUUAUUGCCAUUGUUGGGUUUGGAGGUUUAGGAAAGACCUCGCUUGCCCGGUUGGUGUAUAACGAUGCGCAAGUAGCAGAUUCCUUCAAAGGGAUAUGGGUGUGUGUUUCUGAAGAAUUUAAUGUUCUUAUAAUUUUCAAAAAAAUUUUGAAGUGUCUAGGAGAACACAAAGUGGAUGACUGGAAUCUAAAUGAAGUCCAAAAAGAAAUUGAACAAAAGUUAAAAGGGAAGAGAUAUUUACUUGUGUUGGAUGAUGUGUGGAACGAAGAUAUUUUAAAGUGGAAUGAUUUUUCACAGUAUAUGGUAUUUGGUGCUCCCGGAAGCAAAAUUAUUGUGACAACUCGUAGCACCAAAGUUGCAGCUACUAUGGGGGUACACAGUCCUUUCCUUUUAAAAGGUCUCAAUGAGGAACAAUCUCAGGAUUUGUUUGAGAAAGUGGCAUUUGAAGGACGUCAAAUCGAUCCAAAGCUUGGACAAAUUGGAAAAGUUGUUGCACAAAAAUGCAAAGGAGUUCCUCUUUCUAUUAAAUGUUUAGGAGGUUUGAUGAGACAAAAGCCUGAUGAAAAAUACUGGUUGUUUGUCCAAGAAAAUGAAAUUUGGAAUAAUGAUGAUGUUUUGUCGGUGUUAAGAUUGAGUUACAUUCAGCUACCAAGUAAUUUAAAACAAUGUUUUGCUUUUUGUUCGCUUUUCUCAAAAGACUCUAGGAUAUAUAAAGAUGAGUUGAUUCAUUUUUGGCGAGCACAAGGUUACAUUCAAUUAGGGAAUAAAAAUGAGAAUGUACAAGAUAUUGGUGAUGAAUACUUUAAUGAUUUGCUGUCAAGAUCAUUUUUUCAAGAGGAGAGGAAAGAUGCAAAUGGGAAUAUCAUCUAUUGUAAAAUGCAUGAUCUUAUUCAUGAUCUUGCAUUAUUCGUUGCUGGUCGUUAUUUUCAUUGGAUGAAAAAUAAAAGAGAAAAAAUUUCAAAAGGAGUCCGUCAUGUGUCAUUAGAAAAAUAUUUUACAGUUGUUUUCACUCGAUCGAAAGCAAAAGUGAUAAGGACUUUAUUUCUCCGAGCAGACAUUUUCAUGGACUUAUUUAAUCGAAAGGUAACUUUUUCGAUCUUCAAUUGUUUACGCAUGUUGAAUUUGAAUUUGAUGAACAUUAAUAUUUUACCAGAUUCAAUUGGUGAACUGAAGCAUUUGAGAUACCUUGAUCUUUCUAGGAAUACUAGGAUGAAAGUGCUCCCAGAUGCAAUAGUCAAAUUGCACCAUUUGCAAACUCUAUUACUCAAUGGCUGCAGCAGUCUUAAAAAGUUACCAAGGGAUAUACGCCAAUUGAUUAGUUUGGAAUAUCUCAAAAUUGAUUAUUGCAAAGACCUAUCCGGCUUGCCAAAAGGGUUAGGGGAAUUGACUUCCUUACAAAGAUUGGACAGAUUUGUUGUGAACUGUGUUGAAGACAAUUUAUCAACUGCAGCCACGUUGAAUGAGUUGAGUAACCUAGACCUUGGAAACUGCUUGAAAAUUGAUCAUUUACACAAUGUGAGGAAUGUGGAAUUAGAAUGUAAGGAGGCAAAUUUAAAGAAAAAGAAACGGCUUCAGUCUCUGCAAUUAUCUUGGGAAUCUUCCUCUCCAACAACAGUGGCUAGUGAAAAGGAUGAGUCAUUGUUAAAUAUUCUUGAGCCACACCCGAAUUUGAAAGGGCUGAAGGUAUCCGGUUAUGGAGGAGCAAGGUUUUCGAGUUGGCUAUCUUCAUUGACUAAUUUAGUCGAACUUGAUAUAAACAAAUUUUGGAAUUGUCGAGACCUGCCACCCUUGGAUCAUUUUUCAUCUCUCAAGUCUCUCAGUCUUUAUCGUUCCAAUGCUUUAAAACACCUGCCACCCUUGGAUCAUCUUUCAUCUCUCGAGUCUCUUUCUCUUGGGGAGUUAGAUGCUUUAGAAUAUGUGGCAGAUUCUUUUUCCUUGCCUUGCUCCACUUCAAGAGAACCAUUCUUCCCGUCCCUUAAGAAACUUUUGAUCCGUGACUGUCCCAAUCUCAAAGGAUGGUGGAAGACAACGAAUGAGAACCAAGGAUCAAUCGCUGAGCAGCCUUGCUUUCCUUGCCUUUUCCAGUUAGAAGUCAAAAAUUCCCCAAACUUAACCUCCAUGCCGCUGUUUCCAUCUCUCGAGCAUGAUUUGACUUUGUAUGAUACUAGUAUAAGGCCUUUGGAACAAACAUUGAAGAUGAAGAUGACCGAGGCUAGCAUGACAUCAGAAGAAGCAUCAUCUUCAUCAGGGAGCGCUUGUCAUUCAUAUUCUUCAACUACCUUUCCUCUCUCCAAUUUGAAGCGUCUGAGUCUUCAAGGCAUUAAGGAUUUAGAAGUUUUGCUAGAAGAGUUUCUACAAAAUCUCAGUUCUCUUGCGUGCUUAUGGUUGAGCAACUGCCCUAUAUUAGAAUCGUUAUUGCCGCAAAAGAUGAGCUGCCUCACCUCUUUACAAUAUUUGUGUGUUACAAAUUGCCCUAAUCUGAGGGCUUUGCCUGACUGGAUACUCAAUCUCACUUCCCUUAAAACAGUUGAAAUUCGGGGGUGCCAUGAAUUACAGUACAUGCCAGAAGGGACGCCUCAGCUUACAUCUUUAGAAAAAUUAUCUGUUUGGAACUGUCAUAAUUUGAGGGCUUUGCCAGACUGGAUACUCAAUCUCACUUCCCUUAAAACACUUGAAAUUUGGGAGUGCGGGUCAAUUUUGCAUCAAGCCUUAAAAACCCACAUUAAAAGUGGGCCGAUUCGAAUUUGCAGCNGUAGGCAAUUGCCCUAAUUUGAGGGCUUUACCUGACUGGAUACUCAAUCUCACUUCCCUUAAAACACUUGAAAUUAACGGGUGCCUUGAAUUACAGUACAUGCCAGAAGGGACGCAUUGGCUUGCAUCUUUAGAAGAAUUAAUUGUUUACUGCCAUAAUUUGAGGGCUUUGCCAGACUGGAUACUCAAUCUCACUUCCCUCAAAGACCUUUAUAUAUGCGAGUGCCUUCAAUCACCGUACUUGCAAGGAGGGAUGCAAAGCCUCACCUCUUUAGAACGAUUGAUGGUUCAUUAUUGCCCUUAUCUGAGUUCUUCCACACAUUCUCUCAAAGCACUUCUAAUUCGGGGGUGCCCUGAUUUAUACUCCUGGAGAUGGAGGUAUUUGUUUUCCACUAUAGAAGAAUUGAAUGUUCAAAAUUGCCCUAAUAUGGAGGAUUUGCUGAAUCGCAUUGCUAAGAUGAUCAUUUCCCUCAAAACACUUAAGAUUUGUAAGUGCCCUGAAUUACAAGACUUGCCACAAAGGAUGGAUGGCCUUACCUCUUUACAAGUAUUGUCAAUCAGUGAAUGUCCCCGGUUGUCGGAAAGAUGUGAAAAGGAUACCGGAGUCCUGUGGCCUCGCAUUGCUCGCAUCCCAUCUAUUAUAAUCGAUGGGCGACAGAUUCAAUGAUGAUCAUACCAUAUAGGUAAUCACAUUUUUCUUCACCUCUAUUUAUAUUUUCUCCCUUUACUUGAUAAUUCUUUUUUUUUUCUCCAUGGAUUUGGAUGACUCGUAAUUUUUUGCAUGCAUGUAAUCCAAGUCGACCAUGAAAAAGUGGAUUUAAUCCAUUCUCUGCUACUUCUUUCUAAGUGGACUAACAAUAUUGAUUUCUUUUUUCUUUUCUUACUUUCAAUUUUUUUUGUUAAGUUAAAUAUUACUAAUAUGAAAUGUGACCCAAACUUGAUGUCAAAACUCUGCCAGUAUGUCACAGCAAUUAGGAACUUUUUCCUUGUUUCAAUCUCUCAUUCUUCAAUUAUAAUCCUAAAUUUGAAGCAUUCAGGAUCUUACUAGCUCUUGAUGGAACCCUUGUGCAUAUAGCAUAUUUAUAGUCAAAGCAUUAAAUCUUAUACUCUUAUAUAGACAAAUUUAAAAAAAUUACAGCAGUAUGAAUGUACUCAGUUAGCAAAUUAUUCUGAUUUUUCACUUUGUUAUAUCUAAAUGUCUCUUUUCACCUUUUUCAAUGAUGUUAAUCUGUGUUUGGAGGAUAUUUUUUAGGUUGACCAAAAAUUUGGGUUUUCUGUAAAAGGUUGUCAUAAGCUUUUUGUGCAGUGUUGAUGUAAUUGUUCAGUUAUCUUAUCAGCAGAGUUAGAAUGCCGACAAGAGUCCUUAACUGAUUAGAUCAUAGACUUUUGAUCUGAUAAUAUCAACAAAAUCAAAACUUUUCCAAAAAAAAAAAAGCAUAAGCAUAAAAUGGGCUUAUGGACAGAUUAUUGUCAGUUGUUUCACUUCCCCUAUUUUUAUGCAUUGAUCAAUGCAAAAUCAUCUCUUAUACAAUGAGGCAACCUUGGAUGUUUGUGUCAUAUCUUUACUGAAGCAAAACCAAAAUUUAAUGUGAACACUGGUGAAAUAAGCUGAGAUUUUAUAGGCACUUGCUUUUGUAAGGAAUAUGUUAACAUUAUUUCUUUCUUUUUUUCUACGUGUUUAUAAUGGGAUGAUGACAUUUUUUCAUUGUUUGAAGCAGGAAGAUUGCAUCUUGCUAAUUUCCUUCCAUAGCAGACUGUUGUUGAAUCGAAACUAAGAGAAAUUUCUAUUGGUAAAAUUUACCACUUAUUUGGUUUGUUUUACCAAUUUCAUUUACUUUCUAUAAGGAAUCCAUUAACACCCAACUUCUUACUUCUUUCUGCAUGUCUUUAUUGGGAUUAUGGACUUUUUUUGAUAGAUUGAGAGAGUAAGAAUUGAUUUCAGGUUGCCAAUGCCAUUGUGAAAAAGAGUACUACAAUACAUGGAUUGGAAGCUUUACUCUCAACAGCGUCAUCACUAUCUAUAUUACAGUUUGAUGGCAAUACUAUGUGAGAGUUAAAUUUUACUUUUGAGUAUUUGAAUUCAAUAAAGGCUAGCUCAUGAAAAUAAUUUAACAGCUUGACCUCUGGUGUCUUUUUAGAUGACAACAAUUGCAUAGCAUGCAGCUCCUUCACCUUUUCUUCCCAAAAAGUGAGACGUGAUCUAACGAUCUUGAAUUUAAGGUAAAUUAGCUUAUCACUUAUUGCUCUAUAGAAUUUACUGUGCAUAGAAUGUUGAAUAUUUUUUCACUACUAUAUCGUUAUAAGAUUUUCAUUUUCCAUAGAAAAAUAAGAGGUGUCAUGACUUGCUCACCAACUCCCUUUCGAGGCAUUCUUGAAAUGUAGGUAUAUUCUCAAAGCAUAUCUUUUGCAAAAGUGAUGACUAUAUAUUAUAGUUUCUUUAGUUUUUGUUCUUGAUUUUAUGCAUAUCUUGUUCCUCAACGCUUGGUUAUAACAAUGGAUUUUUUAGACUAGUUAUCUAUGAAUGGAGGCAAACAACACUUGCCAAGUGGUGGCUUGAGUGACUGGGAGAAUAGUCUGGAGCUGAGCUGGUUGGAAAACCCCUUUGCUUCUUUUAAAAUCAAUGUCAAUAAUUCCAUAUUGGCCAUUCUUGGAGGUCUUUAAAUUGUGGCUUCAAUUCUAGUCUGUGGGCCUCUACUUAAUUAACCCAAACUAUUAAGGGGACCUAAAUACAAAUGUUCUUUCCAAUGUAUAUGGAGAAGACUUUUGGGAUACUGUUCUGGGAUUUACUAUUUGCUACACUUGGGUGCUGCAAAGUGUCAAAGAAUUGUCAAUCAAAGAAUGUCCCCAGUUAUCAGAAAGAUGUUAAAAGGAGACAGAAAUCCUGUGGCCUCACAUUGCUCUCAUCUUGACUAUUUAUAUUGAUGGCCAACAGUUCAAUGAUGAUCAUACAAUAUAGGUAACCGUAUUUUUCUUCACCUCUGUUUAUAUUUUCUCCCUUUAUCUGAUAAUUCCUUCUUCUUUUUUUUUAUUUUUCUUCUGGGAUUUGAAUGAUUCAUACUUUGUUCUUUACAUGUAAUCCAAGUUGGUACACUGAUUCGCCUAUAAUUUGUACAGAUAGCAUACUUGUUGUGAAAGCAUUAAAUUUUAUACUCUUGUACAGAUAAACGUACUUAAGUUACCUAAUUAUUCUGAUUUUUCAUUUUGUUAUAUCAAUUCCUAACUUCUUCUGUUUAACAUAAGUAUAAAAUGGAGUUAUGGACAGAUUAUUGUUAGUUGUUUCACUUCCCCUAUUUUUAUGCAUCGAUUAAUGCAAAAUAUCUCUUAUACAAUGAGGCAACAUUGGAUGUUUGCGUCGUAUCUUUUCAGAAGCAAAACCAAAAUUAAAUGGAAAAGGAUCGCAAGACAGAUUGCUUCUAUCACAGAGAUUCUAAGUAAUUGAAACACUGGUGAAAUAAGCUGAGAUGUGAGAGUGAGUAUCCCUAAAAUUUACAGCUACAAGUUUGUUAGAGGGCUUAUCUCCAGUCAAGACUCCUAAGCUGAAAGCUAGUAAUAAGAGAAACUAACGUGAAUGUCUGCUUGUACAUUUCCUGCUGUAUUUGUUGUGAUGAGGAGAUAUUGCUAUAGGUAAUGUUUCUGCCUCUUCUACUUGAUGUAGGCACUUGCUUUUGUAAAGAAUAUAUUAACAUCAGUUCUUUCUUUUUGUUUGUGUUUAUAAUGGGAUGAUGACAUUAUUUCAUUAUUUGAAGCAGGAUGAUUUCAUCUUGCUAAUUUCCUUCCAGAGCAGACAGUUUUUGAAUUCAAACCAAGAGAAAUAUCUAUUGGUAAAAUUUACCACUUAUUCAGUUUGUCUUACUAAUUUCAUUUGCUUUCUAUAAGGAAUCCAUUGACACCUAACUUCAUACUUCUUUUUGGAUGUCUUUAUUGGGAUUAUGGACUUUUCCUGAUAGUUUGAGAAAGAACAUACAGAUUUCAACUUGCCAAUGCCAUUGUGAAGUAUAGUUAAAUUUUACUCUCAACAGCAUCAUCACUAUCUAUGUGAGAGUUAAAUUUUGCUUUGAGUAUUUAAAUUCAAUAAAGGCUAACAGAUGAAAAUAAUUGAACAGCUUGACCUCUGGUUUCUUUUUUAGGUAACAAAGGCUACACAACAUGCAACUCUUUCACCUUCUCUUAUCAAGAAGUGAGCCUUGAUCUAACGAUCUUGAAUUCAAGGUUAAUUGGCUUUUCAUUUACUGCUAUAUUUUAUAUGAGGAAUGUGCCGUGUAUAGAGCCCUCAAUAUUUUUGCAUUGCUCUAGCAUUUAAGAUUUUCGUUUUCCAUAUUAAAAGAAGAGAUGCCAAUGACUUGCCCGGCAACUCCCUUCCAGCCAUUUUUGAAAUGCAAGUAUUCUCAAAGCAUUAUCUAUUGCAUACAUGAUUCUAUAUGUUGAAGUUUCUUUAGUUUUUGUUCUUAUUUUUUGGCAUAUCUUUAUCCUCAAUGCUUCUUUAUAACAAUGGUUUUUUUGACUAGUUAGUUGUGAAUGGAGUCAACCAACGCUUGCUAAGUAGUGGCUUGAGUGGUUGGGAGAAGUGCCUGGAGAGCUAAGCUGGUUGGAAAAACCCUUUGCUUCUUUCAAAUUCAAUGUGAAUGGUUCCAUCUUGGCCAUUCUUGGAGGUGUUUGAGCGGUGGCUUCAAUUCUAUUCUUUAGGCAUUUACUUAUUUAACCCAAACUGUUAAAGAGGACUUAAAUACAAAGGUUCUUUCAUAAUGUACAUAUGGAGAAGACUUUUUGGGCGUCUGAGUCUGAAGAACAUUAAGGAUUUAGAAGUUUUGCCAGAAGAGUUCCUACUGCUGUACUGCCUUAAAUUGGAAUUGCUACUGCCUUAAAAGCAUUGUCCGUAAGCAAUUGUCCUAAUCUGAGGGCUUUGCCAGACUGGAUACCUAAUAUCACUUCCCUUAAAACACUUGAAAUUUGGAAGUGCCUUAAAUUACAAUACAUGCCAGAAGGUACGCCUCGGCUUACAUCUUUAGAAGAAUUAUGUGUUUACUGCCAUAAUUUGAGGCUUUGCCAGACUGGAUACUCAAUCUCACUUCCCUCAAAGACCUUUAUGUAUGUGAGUGCCUUCAUUCACCGUACUUGCAAGAAAGGAUGCAAAGCCUUACCUCUUUAGAAUGAUUGAUGGUUGAAUAUUGCCCUAAUCUGAGUUCAUCCACACAUUCUCUCAAAGCACUUCUAAUUCGGGGGUGCUCUGAUUUAAGCUAGAGCAAAGUCUCUUUAUUGUUUAGUGUUGCUUCUAAACUAGAGCAACUAUUUCGGGGAUGAAGAGAAAUAAUAGUGCUCUGUACUGUCACUGAUUUAGGAGCAAACACGUAAGGUCAAUUUUGCAUUAGUUAGAAUUUCAAUUACUCAAAAGAAACAAGUGAAGCUCUGUGAAAUUAAAUGAUGUUUGGUCCCUUGUCUUGCACUUACGUCCAUGCAAGUCCAAUCCUCUUACCGUAACACUUCCCGGAAAGCCAACCAGGGUCCUUAACAGAGCAUCUGACACAGACUUCUUCCUUGAGAAUUCAGUCUCUAGUAAUGGCGGUAAGUGCCUUACUGUCCAACAACUAAAAAGUAAAAGUAGUGGACAUUUACGAAAAUUUGUCCAUGAUGAUUUAGCCAGGCAACAAUGAGGUAGCUCAUUACUCAUUACUAUAAGAAAAUUUACCAAGUAAUGCUUAAUUGCAAAAGAAUCAUAAAUAGGGAUCUAAUUGUUUGCUCUUAAUGAAAUAAUAAUUGUAAUAUUUACUUACAAUGAGAAUCAAGUGCUUUCCAAAUAAAUCAACCAAAUAGGUAAGAAAUAAAUACCUAAAAAUAAUUGAAAAAUGAUAAAAAUAAAGAGAUCAAUAAUUCAAAAGUGCAUCAAUGAUUUCACGUCCCAUUUGGAUAGGAGCUCAAAGAAAAAUAAUUAAAAGUGUGAACUUAAUUUCAUUUUGAAUAAUGGUAAAUUUUGUUUAGGGUUCUUUUAAAAAAAAAUUGUUUAGGGAAAAAUAAUGCUUCAUUUAAGUAAUUCAAUUUCUUGAAAAUCUUAUGGAGAAGACAUUAUAUUAUGUUUAAGGUCACAAACAUAAAACCAAUUUUACAGAAUUAAAAUUAUCUUUAAUGGAGUACCUCCCGUCCUUUAUCUUUUUCUUUGAGAGAGAAUUUAGUUAAUAAUACUUCUUCGAUGACAUUGCAAUCUCCAUUAAUGGAGGUAAUAAUGUUGUGUUCAAUUCAAUCAUGAAUAAAAAAUUAUGCUUAAUGAGGCUACAAAUGACCAAAGGUUUCCCCAUAACAAGGAAAAAACAAUUGACUGCACUUUUUUCAACAUUUUUUAGCUUAGUUUUUCUCAAUGCUGGUCAUUUUUUUAAUUGAAAUUAUAAAAACCAGGACAACAAGAACAAAAAAGAGACCAAGGAAAACCAAGACGCUAGCCAAGUAUGAUUACUACAUUUGGUUUUCUGCAACUUAUCUUUGCCUACAAAUCAUCAUGGAGGCAGAACCAAAUAAAGAUAUGAAUUAUUGGAAUGAUAGCGGGCUAGAUAGUUUUACUUGAAGAAUAAGAUGGUGCCUCAAUUCUUGGCCUUAGCUCCAAGACCGGCCUUGAUCUUCUGAACGGUAGUGACAUCAGUUUUAUAGCCUUUGGCUAGGACAUCUUCACCAAUGCCAGUGGCAAAAACAGUGGAUGGAAUAGAAACAGUUCCAGCAUCUGCACUGCCAAAGCAAGAAACGGCCAUGGCAGGUUUAUCAUAGCUGGGAUUGUAUUAGUAAUGAACCAGUCCCUUCGGAUACAAAACUAGGAUUGUAUUGGUAUAAACUGAGAAGUCUCUUUAUAGUUAGUGAUGCUCUGCCAAAACUAGAAAUAAUCCCAGUUGAAGGUGCUUCUAAACUGCAGCAACUAUUUGGGGUUACGAGAAAUAGCAGUGCUCUGCACUAUCACUGAUGUUUGGAUAAGAAUAAAACAAAUUAAAAAAAGAAUAGUCAGAGAUUUGAAGCAGAAUUUCAACAAUUGUGGCUAGUUGAAAAUUCCCAAUACAUUUACAUCAUGGCAAGUCCCAUCCUCUUGCCACAGCACUUCCUGGAAACCCAACCAGGGUCCUUAACAGAGGAUCUAAAUCUGACAGAGAUUAUCACAAUUACUGGGCCAUCUACUGGACUGAGAAAAGGUUACUUAAUUAGUGGCACUCCCUAAAUCUUCAUAACAAUAAGUUGGAGGUGUUAUAUUCUAUUCAUUCCCAUAAAUAACGCCAUUUCCACUCCAAGAAUCAACACUCAUCACUACACCAUAUAUAUGAAUUAGAAAAUUUUUUGUUCACUAAAAUUUGUCCAUGAUGAUUUAGCCGGUACCAUGUUUACAAAAAGCUUCUAAAUGUAACUCCUUUCUUGUUACUAGAAGACAAUCUAUAAAUAAAAUUUAUAAAUAGAAUUUUUUUUAAAUAGUUAAUUAACCACGUAAUGCUUAAUUACAAAAGAAUUUAUAAAUAGGAAUCUAAGUGUUUACUCUUAAGGAUAUUUACAAAAUAAUAAUAGUAAUUUUUAUUUACAAGAAAAAUCAAGUGUUUUUCAUGUAAACCAACCAAGUAGGUUAGAAAUAAAUACCCAAAAAUAAUUGAAAAGUGAUAAAAAUAAAGAGAUUAAUAAUUCAGAAUUGCAUCAAUGAUUUCAUAUCUCAUUUAAAUAGGAGCACAAAGAAAAAAAUUUAGAAGUGUGAACUUAAUUCCUUUUGUAUAGUGGUAAAUUUUUUUUAGGAAAAAUUUAUACUUCAUUAAAAUAAUUCAAUUUCCUGAAAAUCUUAUGGAGAAGACAUUAUUAUGUUUAAGGUCACAAACAUGAAGUCAAUUUUACAAGAGUUUGAAUUUUCUUUAAUAGAUCAAUAACUCCCUUCUUUUUUUUUCUUUGAGAGUCAAUGACAUAUUGCACUCUCCAUUAAUGGAGACAGAAAUAUUUUGUUCAAUUCAAUCAUGAAUAAAAAAACUCCGAGAAAGCUCCAAGAAUCUCUAUUUUACUUUAGUAAAGUCAGUUACCACAUUAGACAUUAUUCUUUUAAGACAAAAGACAAGUCCUAAUUCCAAUUCUUUGUUAACUUUGAAGUAGAGAUAGUAAGUUAAGUGACUAAUAACCAAAGAUUUCUCACAAAACUUUCCUAAACACUUUUUAGCUUAGUUUUCCUCAAUGCUGGUCACCUUUUCAAAUUGAAAUUUCUCGUAGAGAUGAUUGAUGUCAUUAUCUAUCUCCCUUUAAUAAUCUAAUGAUCAACACCUAUAGAAAAAAAAAAAAAGAAAAGCAAAAGUGAGACCAAUAAUUCUAUAAAGCAAAAGAUAUUUGGGUCUAUUGUUAUUUAAAUAAAAAAAACAAUUAAAGAAAGACUUGGAAGAAUACAAAAUCCUUGCUGCAAUUUUUUUUGAAUAAUAAAAUAAAAAUAGUUCAAAAGUGAAUCAAUAAUUCCAUGUUGCACUAGCAAAAGUUGUGGGGGUUGGGAUUACCUUUUGAAUAAUGGUAAAUUUUACAUUAUUAUGUUUAGGAUCACAAAUAUGAAGUCAAUUUUACAUUAAUUAGUUAAAAUGUCCUUAACAGAACAUAUCCAUCAUUAUUUUUUUAGAAAGAGAAUUAGUCAAAAUUACUUUUUCAAUAACAAUACACUCUCCAUUAAUAGUAGCAUUAAUAUUUUGUUCAAUUUAACCAUGAAUAAAAAUAUCUAGAAAAAUUUCGAGAAUCUCCCUUUUAAUUUGAUAAAUUCAGUUUCAGGAUUAAACUUAAUUCUUUCGAGUAAGAGUCGUAAAGCAAAAGAUGUUUGGUUUCAUUGUUAUUUGAAUAAAAGAAAAAAUGAUAGUAAAAAAAGAGACUAAAAAAUAAACCAAUAAUUCAAAAGUAAUCAUGAUUUUCAAAGUGUGAACCCACUAUCACAUGUUCUUUGGGGAAGAAGAGAACGGGGAAUAUUCAUUUUCAGAAGUUUCCUAUACACUAACAUCCUCGCAAGUCCCAUCCUCUUUCCAUAACACUUCCUGGAAACACAAGCAGGGUCCUUAACAGAACAUCUGAGACAGAAUCUUCAAAGUUUAUUAAUUUUCUAUACCUACGUAGUCUUUAUUACUUCAUCCUCAUACAGUUCCCAUUCAAGCAUCUUCUUCUAUCAUCUGCACUAUCCCAAGAGUUUGUUUGAUUUCUGCAUGCCUUGCUCUUCUUUUUACUCAAAAAGACCUACUCUUCCAUUUUAUUUUCCAUCAUUUUCCCACUUUUCUUUUAAUUCAUCUCCGUUAUUUAACUCUGAAAAAAAAAAAAAACAGUUCUCGUAAAUUACUUUUGUUUAAGCCCUUCUACUUUUCCUUUCCUUAAAACAAUUCUCCGGAAUUGGUGAAGUAAUUCUAUCCCAAUUGAGGUAAGCUUCAACAAAAGAUAUUAUAUUCUUCAUAUUUAAUUUUUUUUAUAAGCUCAAUUUCUCAUUCACUUAUGAGUUUGACUUCUUAUUAUAAAUUUUCAUUUUUUUCCAUUUUUACUGACAUUUAUGGAUAUUUUGGGAAAGUAUUAUUUUGAAUGAUAAUACUAUGCUUUUACUUUAAUAUGAAAAUAUAUUGUUUAAGUAAUAUACACAUGACCAGUGACUACAUUGCAGCAUUUUCAAUUUCCAAGUUUAUCGGUCAACAAUCCUUUCUCUUGUGAUCCACAUUUUCAUAAAGAUAAGGUACUUUGCCAACAUGUUGUAAUUGUUUUUGUCUUUCUGUAAAACUUUUUACUCAUCAAAAUUAAAAUUAGGUAGAUUUUUAUUUUAUGAUGGUUUCCAGUGAUCGUUAAUUAAAAUAUAUAACAUGUUUUAAUAAUUGAAGAUUUUGGAGUUUGAGAUAUUAAUAUUACUUGUUAUUAACAGUAAUUUUUUUUAUAAAUAAAAGCAAAAAGAAAAGAUGAGGCCCAAUAUUUCCAUAAGGUAAAAGAUUUGGGUCCUCGUCCUCCAUUAAGGACUUGAAAUUGAAAGAGAAAAAGAGAUGUAUAAUUUUGAAAAUAAAUAUUAAAAAAUAUUAAUAGCUAAUUAGAGAAAUAUCAUGGGGGUAGAAUCAAAUAAAAAUAUGAAUUAUUGCAAUGGUAGCCUCCGUCAAUGUGGCCUUGAUCUUCUGAACACACAAUCCAAAACAUAUUCCAGUAGAUAGAUUUUUAAGUCUAAGAUUAAUUAUGAACACACACGUUUGCAAUUUGCAUUGAAUAUUCCUACCAAAAAUAUUGAAAGAUAUUCUUAAGCUUCUUUUUAUUGUUUUUUUUUGGGUACAAUUAUUUGUUUUUUAUUUCUUAGAAAGUUAAGUGAGAAACAAAUGACAAAAAAGUGAAAUCCUAAUUAAUUAAAAAAGAGUAAACGAGUAAGGUAAAAAAAAUAAUAAAUGAUAAAAUUAUAUCAAACCUAAAAAGAUCCAAUUUAUUAUUUAGAAUAUUAUAUUAAACCUAAAAUAAAUAAAUGACCCAACUUUUUCAUUUGAAGCUCAGCAGAACAAGGGUGGAUGUGAGGUGGGUUGAGGGUGCCUGCUGCAGGGUACUCCAAAGUGGCAAAGGAGACACCAUGGCCAUUGAGGGCAGGGAACUCCAUCAUGCUAGCUUUGUAACCUAAUACUAUAACUUUUUCCAAGUCACUUUAGGUUUUAUAUAUUUUAACGAUUCUUUUUCCCUUUGGAUAGUACCUUGGACUGUUGUAAUUAUCACCAACAUCAAAUGUGAUUUUGAAUCAGGUAAAGAAGGCAAAGGGGGGAUGGUCCUACAUUUUUCUACUUUUUGUUUAUGAUCAGAAGAAACUGCUUGCAUUGAUAAUUCUCCAGCAGAUCGCUGUUGUUUGGACAGCAAGAGAAAAGGGCAGCUCACUGAGCAUGCCACUGUCAUGGGCCCCUCUUAUUUACUCUUUCAACCACAUUCAUUCAAAGUCUAUUCCUAAGCUGUCCUGUCACUCACCCAAUAAUUCAACUCUCCUUCAAUUGAACCAACUUUUUGCUUUGUGCACAUGUAUCCUUCUUUACUUACAACGUCAAGAAAUUUCUUAAACAAUAAAAACAAAACGAUAUUAAUUUAUCUAUAUUAUCAACAUUUAUCUUUAUAAACUUAAGUUUUUGACUACGAUGUUAAGUUUGCUUGCGCUCCUGUUAUCUGCUUUAGAUUCAUUCCAACCAAGUUGAAUAUCCAUGGCGGAAGUAAUUCCAUACGGGGCAGUCAGUAACAUCGUGUUGAGUUUCCUGGCAAGUCCCAUCCUCUUGCCGUAACACUUCCUGGAAAGCCAAGCAGGGUCCUUGAUAGAACAUCCGAGAGGGAAUCAGUCAAAGUUUAUUAAUUAUCUAUACCGACUCUCGUCCUAUUGUAGCUGGGACUCAAUUAAAGGAUAGAGAACAAAAUUAAUUAAUUAAAAUAUGAAGUUAAUUUUAUAUUAAUUAGUUAAAAUUUUCUUUAACAGAAUAUAUUCAUCAUUAUUUUCUAUAUAAAGAGAAUUAAUCAAAAAUACUUUUUUAAUGACAAUACAAACUUCAUUAAUGAUGACAUUAAUAUUAUAUUCAAUUUAACCAUGAAUCAAAAAUAUUCAAAAAAGUUUUGAGAAUCUUCCUUAUAAUUUGAUAAAUUCAAUUUUCCAAUUGUGGACCCAUUAUCACGUGUUCUUUGGGGAAGGAAAAGGAAGAGGUGGAGAAAGGGGAUUCAUUUUCAAAAGUUUCCUGGACACUGCGAUCCACUCAUGUCCCAUCCUCUUUCCAUAACACCUCCUGAAAACACAAGCAGAACAUCUGAGGCCGAAUCAUCAAAGUUUAAUAAUUUUCGAUACCUACUCUUAUUACUUCAUCCUCAUACAGUUCCCAUUCAAGCAUCUUCUUUUAUCAUCUGCACUAUCCCAAGAGUUAGUUUGAUUUCUACAUGCCUUGCUCUUCUUUUUACUCAACAAGUCCUACUCUUCCAUUUUACUUUCCUCCAUUUUCCCACUUUUCUUUUAACUCCGAGAACAAAAGCAUCUCUGUUGUUUAACUCUACAAAAAAAAAAAACAACAACAGUUCUCUUAGAUUAUUUUUGUUUGAUCCUUGUUAGCUACUCUUCCUUUCCUUAAUUUUGGUUUCCCUAUCUCCGGAUUUGGUGAAGUAAUUCCAUCCCAAUUGAGGUAAGCUUCAAUAAAAUAUAUUAUAUUCUUCAUAUUUAAUUUUUUUAUGCUCAAUUUCUCUUUCACUUAUGAAUUUGACUUUUUAUUAUAAUUUUUUAUUUAUUAUAAAUGUUCAUUUUUUUCCAUUUUUACGGACAUAUAUGGAUACUUUGGAAAAGCAUUGUAUAGAAUGAUGACACUAUGCUUUGACUUUAAUAUAAAAAAAUAUUUUUAAUUAAUAUACACAUGAUUAGUGACAAGAAUUUUUAUUUCUGCAGUAUUUUCGAUUUCCAAGUUGGUCAGUCAGCAAUCUAUUCUCUGGUGAUUCACAUUUUCAUAAAGGUAAAGUGCUUUACAAACAUUUUUUCUCUCUGCAAAGCUUUUUACUCUCUAAAAUUAAAACCAAGCAUAUUUUUAUUUUAUGAAAGUUUCAAGUGAUCUUUAAUUAAAAUAUAUAACACGUUUUAAUAACUUAAAAUUUUGAAGCUUGAAAUAUUAAUAUUACUUAUUAAUUAAUAACAAUAAUUUUUUUAUAUAAAAAAUGGAAAAGGGGAAGUCAGUAGUUUCCUAAGACAAACGAUUUGAGCACUUGUCUUCCGCUAAAAUUUUGAAAUUGAAUAAGAAAAGUAUUUAUAUUUAUGUACUAACCGUAUAUAGUUUUUAAAAUAAAUAUUAAAAAAAUAUUAAUAAUUAAUUAGAGAAAUAUCAUAGUGGCAAAAUCAAAUAAAAAUAUAAAUUAUUGCAAUGGUAGCCCAUUUUUGGUACUUCAAUUUUUGGCCUUGAUCUUCUGAACAAAACAUAUUCCAGUGGAUAGAUUUCCAAGUCUAAGAUUAACUAUGAACACACCUUCGCAAUUUGCAUUGCACAUUCCUACCAAAAAUAUUAAAAAAUAUUCUUAAGCUUCCUUUUAUAGUUUGAUUUUUUUUUUUACUUUUUUUUACAACCACUUUUUUAUUUCUUAAAAAGUUACGUGAGAAAUACAUGACAAAAAAGUGAAAUGACAAAUUAAUUAAAAAUGAGUAAAUGAUUAGGGUAAAAAUAAAUAAAUAAAUGAUAAAAUUGUAUUAAAACUAAAGAGAUCUAUUUCAUUAUUUAGAAUAUUAUAUAUAUAUAUAUAUAUAUACAUUUAAUUUAUCAAAACUUAUUAUGAUUUAUUCCAACAUGCUUAUCAGGUGAAGUCCGUUAAGUCUUUCAUUACCGUGUUAGUUUGCUUGCAUUUCCCUGUCAUCUGCUUUAGAUUCAUUUCAACCAAGUUGUAGAUCCAUGGCGGAAUCAAUUUUAUUCGGGGCGCUCGCUAACAUCCUUUCCAAGUUGACGUGGCUUGCUGGGCAAAAGAUUGGCCUGAUUUUCUGGCAGAAAAGCGAACUGGAUAAGCUUAGAAAGACUCUCGACAUCGUAAAAGCCGUCAUUCUUGAUGCUGAGAAGAAGCAGGAGAGCAACCAUGUCGUGGAACAGUGGAUAAUUCGACUGGAAGAUGUCGUCUCUGAUGCAGAGGACUUACUGGACGAAUUCGACUAUGAGAUCCUGCGCCAGAAGGUACGUCCUCGGGGACAGGUACGCAAGAUCUUUCGAUCCUUCAGGAUGGGUCCUAGAGUUAAGGAGAUUAGAGAGAGGCUGGACGUGGUUGCAAGAGAGAUUUCUAAGUUUGAUUUUAGUCGGAGAGUUGUAGAACUGGAUAAGAAACCUAAGAAUGCUGACAGGGAGACUGCCGCAAAGGUGAGACCGGAAUUAGUAAUAGGGAGAGAGAAAGAUAAAGAGCACAUUAUAGAAUUGUUAAAGGAGCAAAAUCAUGGUGACAACAUCUUCAAUAUUAUUGCCAUUGUUGGGUUUGGAGGUUUAGGAAAGACCUCGCUUGCCCGGUUGGUGUAUAACGAUGCACAAGUAGCAAAUUCCUUCAAAGGGAUAUGGGUGUGUGUUUCUGAGGAAUUUAAUGUUCUUAUAAUUUUCAAAAAAAUUUUGAAGUGUCUAGGAGAAGACAAAGUGGAUGACUGGAAUCUAAAUGAGGUGCAAAAAAAAAUUGAACAAAAGUUAGAAGGGAAGAGAUAUUUACUUGUGUUGGAUGAUGUGUGGAACGAAGACAUUUUAAAGUGGAAUGAUUUUUCACAGUAUCUAGUGUUUGGUGCAUCCGGAAGCAAAAUUAUUGUGACAACUCGUAGCACCAAAGUUGCAGCUACUAUGGGGGUACACAGUCCUUACCUUUUAAAAGGUCUCAAUGAGGAACAAUCUCAGGAUUUGUUUGAGAAAGUGGCAUUUGAAGGACGUCAAAUCGAUCCAAAGCUUGGACAAAUUGGAAACGUUGUUGCACAAAAAUGCAAAGGAGUUCCUCUUUCUAUUAAAUGUUUAGGAGGUUUGAUGAGACAAAAGCCUGAUGAAAAAUACUGGUUGUUUAUCCAAGAAAAUGAAAUUUGGAAUAAUGAUGUUGUUUUGUCGGUGUUAAGAUUGAGUUACAAUCAGCUACCAAGUAAUUUAAAACAAUGUUUUGCUUUUUGUUCGCUUUUCUCAAAAGACUCUACGAUAUAUAAAGAUGAGUUGAUUCAUUUUUGGCGAGCACAAGGUUACAUUCAAUUAGGGAAUAAAAAACAGAAUAUACAAGACAUUGGUGAUGAAUACUUUAAUGAUUUGCUGUCAAGAUCAUUUUUUCAAGAGGAGGAGGAAGAUAUGGAAGGGAAUAUUUUUUGCAAAAUGCAUGAUCUUAUUCAUGAUCUUGCAUUAUCAGUAACAGGUCAUCAUUUUCAUUGGAUGAAAGAUGAAAAAGAAGAAAUUCCAAAAGAAGUCCGUCACGUGUCAUUAGAAAAAUAUUUCAAAGAAGUUGAUUUGAUUUUGUCGAAAAUAAAGGGGAUAAGGACUCUGUUUUUUCAAACAAGUUUCUUCAAGGAUUUAUUCAUUCGAAAUGUAAUUUUUUCGAACUUCAAUUGUUUACGUAUGUUGAAUUUAAGUUGGAUGAGCAUUGAUAUUUUAUCAGAUUCAAUUGGUGAAUUGAAGCAUUUGAGAUACCUUGAUCUUUCUGUUAAUCAAAGGAUGAAAGUGCUCCCAGAUGCAAUAGUCAAAUUGCACCAUUUGCAAACUCUAUUACUCAAUGCUUGCAGCAGUCUGGAAAAGUUACCAAGGGAUAUACGCCAAUUGAUUAGUUUGGAAUAUCUCAAUAUUAAUUCUUGCAACCGACUAAAGUACUUGCCAAAAGGGUUAGGGGAAUUGACUUCUUUACAAAGAUUGGACAGAUUUGUUGUGAACUGUGUUGAAGACAAUUUAUCAACUGCAGCCACGUUGAAUGAGUUGAGUAACCUAGACCUUGGAAGCUGCUUAAAAAUUGAACACUUAGAAAAGGUGAGGAAUGUGGAAUUAGAAUGUAAGGAGGCAAAUUUAAAGAAAAAUAAACGACUUCAGUCUUUGCAAUUAUCUUGGGAAUCUUUCUCUCCAACAACAGUGGCUAGUGAAAAGGAUGAGUCAUUGUUAAAUAUUCUUGAGCCACACCCGAAUUUGAAAGGGCUGAAGGUAUCCGGUUAUGGAGGAGCAAGGUUUUCGAGUUGGCUAUCUUCAUUGACUAAUUUAGUCCAACUUGAUAUAAACAAAUUUUGGAAUUGUCGAGACCUGCCACCCUUGGAUCAUUUUUCAUCUCUCAAGUCUCUCAGUCUUUAUCGUUCCAAUGCUUUAAAACACCUGCCAUCCUUGGAUCAUCUUUCAUCUCUCGAGUCUCUUUCUCUUGACCAGUUAGAUGCUUUAGAAUACGUGGCAGAUUCUUUUUCCUUGCCUUGCUCCACUUCAAGAGAACCAUUCUUCCUGUCCCUUAAGAAACUUUCAAUCUAUAAUUGUCCCAAUCUCAAAGGAUGGUGGAAGACAAAGAAUGAGAACCAAGGAUCAAUCGCUGAGCUGCCUUGCUUUCCUUGCCUUUUCCGGUUAAAAGUCCAAAAUUCCGGAAACUUAACCUCCAUGCCGCUGUUUCCAUCUCUCGACCAAGAUUUGACUUUGGAAGGUACUAGUAUAAGGCCUUUUCAACAAACAUUGAAGAUGAAGAUGACCGAGGCUAGCAUGAGAUCAGAAGAAGCAUCAUCAUCAUCAGGGAGCACUUGUCAUUCUUAUUCUUCAACUGCCCUUCCUCUCUCCAAUUUGAAGCAUCUGACUCUUUUUAAGAUUAAGGAUUUAGAAGCUCUGCCAAAAGAGUUCCUACAAAAUCUCGCUUCUCUUACAUUCGUAAGAUUGAAAGAUUGCCCUAAAUUGGAAUCGCUGCCAUCGCAAAAGAUGAGCUGCCUCACCUCUUUACAAGACUUGCUGGUUGAAAAUUGCUCUAAUCUGAGGGCUUUGCCGGAUUGGAUACUCAAUCUCACUUCCCUUGAAACACUUCAAAUUUGGAACUGCCUUGAAUUACAGCACAUGCCAAGAGGGACGCAUCAGCUUACCUCUUUAAAAAAAUUAUCCGUUGAAAAUUGCCCUAAUUUGAGGGCUUUGCCGGAUUGGAUACUCAAACUCACUUCCCUUAAAACACUUCAAAUUUGGAAGUGCCUCGAAUUACAGUACAUGCCAGAAGGGACGCCUCGGCUUACAUCUUUAGAAAAAUUAUAUGUUGACUGCCAUAAUUUGAGGGCUUUUCCAGACUGGAUACUUAAUCUCACUUCCCUCAAAGACCUUUACAUAUGUGAGUGCCUUCAAUCACCGUACUUGCAAGAAGGGAUGCAAAGCCUCACCUCUUUAGAACGAUUGAUGGUUGAUUAUUGCCCUAAUCUCAGUUCUUCCACACAUUCUCUCAAAGCACUUCUAAUUCGGGGGUGCCCUGAUUUAAGCUUCUGGAGAACGAGGCAUUCCCUCUCCACUUUAGAAGAAUUGAAUGUUCAAAAUUGCCCUAAUCUGGAGGAUUUGCUGAAUCGCAUAUCAUUUUUUAUCCCUCCCCUCAAAACACUAAAGAUUUGUAAGUGCCCUCAAUUACAAGACUUGCCAGAAAGGAUAGAUGGCCUUACCUCUUUACAAGUUUUGUCAAUCUGUGAAUGUCCCCGGUUGUCGAAAAGAUGUGAAAAGGAGACCGGAGUCCUAUGGCCUCGCAUUGCUCGCAUCCCAUCUAUUAUAAUUGAUGGGCGACAGAUUCAAUGAUGAUCAUAGCAUAUAGGUAAUCACAUUUUUCUUCACCUCUAUUUAUAUUUUUUCCCUUUACUUAAUAAUUCCUUUUUUUUUCUCUCCUUGGAUUUGGAUGAUUCGUAAUUUGUUCUAUGCAUGUAAUCCAAGUCGACUAUGCAAAAGUGAAUUUAAUCCAUUCUCUGCUACUUCUUUCUAACUGGACUAACAAUAUUGAUUUCUUUUUUCUUUCCUUACUUUGAAUUUUUUUUUUGUUAAGUUAAAUAUUACUAAUGUGAAAUGUGACCAAAACUGGAUGUCAAAAGUCUGCCCGUAUGUCACAGCAAUUGGGAACUUUUUCCUUGUUUCAAUCUCUCAUUCUUCAAUUAUAAUCCUAAAUUUGAAGCAUUUAGGAUCUCACUAGCUCUUGAUGGAACCCUUGUGCAGAUAGCAUAUUUAUAGUCAAAGCAUUAAAUUUUAUACCCUUAUAUAGACAAAUUUAAAAAAAUUAUAGCAGUAUGAAUGUACUCAGUUAGCAAAUUAUUCUGAUUUUUAACUUUGUUAUAUCUAAAUGUCUCUUUGCACCUAUUUCAAUGAUGUUAAUCUGUGUUUGGAGGAUAUUGUUUAAGUUGACCAAAAGUUUAGGUUUUCUGUAAAAGGUUGUCAAAAGCUUUUUGUGCAGUGUUGAUGUAAUUAAUUGUUCAGUUAUCUUAUCAGUAGAGUUACAAUGCCAAAGAGAGUCUUUAACUGAUUAGAUUAUAGACUUUUGAUCUGACAAUAUCAAUAAAAUCAAAACUUUCCAAAGAAAAAAAAAAACAUAAGCAUAAAAUGGGGUUAUGGAUAGAUUAUUGUCAGUUGUUUCACUUCCCCUGUUUUUAUGCAUUGAUCAUUGCAAAAUCAUCUCUUAUGCAAUGAGGCAACAUUGGAUGUUUGUGUCAUAUCUUUACUGAAGCAAAACCAAAAUUUAAUGUGAACAUUCGUAACCAUAUUUUUCUUCGCCUAUGUUAUAUUUUCUCCCUUUAUCUGAUAAUUCCUUCUUUUUUUUUAUUUUUCUUCUUGGAUUUGAAUGAUUCAUACUUUGUUCUAUGCAUGUAAUCCAAGUUGGUACAUUGAUUCGCCUAUAAUUUGUACAGAUAGCAUACUUGUUGUGAAAGCAUUAAAUUUUAUACUCUUUUAACAGAUAAACGUACUUAUGUUACCUAAUUAUUCUGAUUUUUCAUUUUGUUAUAUCAAUUCCUAACUUCUUCGGUUUAACAUAAGUAUAAAAUGGAGUUAUGGACAGAUUAUUGUCAGUUGUUUCACUUCCCCUGUUUUUAUGCAUUGAUUAAUGCAAAUAUCUCUUAUACAAUGAGGCAACAUUGGAUGUUUGUGUCGUAUCUUUUCAGAAGUAAAACCAAAAUUAAAUGGAAAAGGAUCGCAAGACGGAUUGCUUCUAUCACAGAGAUUCUAAGUAAUUGAAACACUGGUGAAAUAAGCUGAGAUGUGAGAGUGACUAUCCCUGAAAAUUUGCAGCUACAAGUUUGUUAGAGGGCCUAUCUCCAGUCAAGACUCCUGAGCUGAAAGCUAGUAAUAAGAGAAACUAAUUUGAAUGUCUGCUUGUACAUUUCCUGCUGUAUUUGUUGCGAUGAGGAGAUAUUGCUAUAGGUAAUGUUUCUGCCUCUUCUUCUUGAUGUAGGCACUUGCUUUUGUAAAGAAUAUAUUAACAUCAGUUCUUUCUUUUUUGUACGUGUUUAGAAUGGGAUGAUUACAUUUUUUCAUUGUUUGAAGCAGGAUGAUUUUAUCUUGCUAAUGUCCUCCCAGAGCAGACUGUUGUUAAUUUGAAACCAAGAGAAAUUUCUAUUGGUAAAAUUUACCACUUAUUUGGUUUGUUUUACCAAUUUCAUUUACUUUCUAUAAGGAAUCCGUUAACACCCAACUUCUUCUUUCUGCAUGUCUUUGCUGGGAUUAUGGACUUUUUCUGAUAGAUUGAGAGAGUGCGUAUUGAUUUCAACUUACAAAUGCCAUUGUGAAGAACAGUGCUGCAAUCCAUGGAUUGGAAGCUUUACUCUUAACAGCGUCAUCACUGUCUAUGUUACAGUUUGAUGGAAAUUCUAUGUGAGUUAAAUUUACGUUGAGUAUUUGAAUUCAAUAAAGGCUAGCUCAUGAAAAUAAUUUAACAGGUUGACCUCUGGUGUACUUUUAGAUUACAACGAUUGCACAGCAUGCGACUCUUUCACCUUUCCUUCCCAAGAAGUGAGCCUUGGUCUAACGAACUUGAAUUUAAGGUAAAUUAGCUUAUCACUUAUUGCUCUAUAUUAUUUACUGUGCGUAGAAUGUUGAAUAUUUUUUCGCUGCUAUAACGUUAUAAGAUUUUCAUUUUCCAUAGAAAAAUAAGAGGUGUCAUGACUUGCUCACCAACUCCCUUUUGAGGCAUUCUUGAAAUGCAGGUAUAUUCAUUAAGCAUAUCUAUUGCAAAAGUGAUGACUAUAUAUUAUAGUUUCUUUAGUUUUUAUUCUUGAUUUUUUGCAUAUCUUUUUCCUCAAUGCUUGCUUAUAACAGUGGAUUUUUAGACUAGUUAUUUGUGAAUGAUGGCAAACAACACUUGCUAAGUAAUGGCUUGAGCGAUUGGGAGAAUAGUCUGGAGCUGAGCUGGUUGUGAUGUAGUCGAAAGGUUUAGGGCAAUUAGAACUCAACAAUUAGGGUUAGAAUAGGGUUGAUUGUGUUGGAACAAUAAAAAAGAUAAUUGGGUUUUCAAAGAAACCUCUUGAAUAAAUAUUCAAAAUAACAAAAGAUGAUAAUCAUAAUCUUCUACUUAAGAUACUUAUUUAUAAUAGUUAAGAUAAAUCUUAAUCAAAUAGUAAUUCUAAUCCUAAAUAAAGACUUAAAGUACUAAAAUUCUAAUAAAGAUAAGAAAAAGAAUCCUCAAUACUUUUGCAUUGCUCUAACAUUUAAGAUUUUCGUUUUCCAUAGAAAAAGAAGAGGUGCCAAUGACUUGUUCGCCAACUCCCUUCCAGUCAUUUUUGAAAUGUAGGUAUUCUCAAAGCAGUAUCUAUUGCAUACAUGAUUCUAUAUGUUAAAGUUUCUUUACUUUCUGUUCUUAUUUUUUUGCAUAUCUUGUCAAUGCUUCUUUAUAAAAAUGGUUUUUCUUGACUAGUUACCUGUGAAUGGAGUCUCGCAACAUUUGCUAAUUAGUGGCUCAAGUGAUUGGGAGAAGUGCCUGGAGAGCUAAGCUGGUUGGAAAACCCGUUUGCUUCUUUCAAAAAUCAAUGUCAAUGGUUCCAUCUUGGCGAUUCUUGGAGGUUUUUGAGCAGUGGCUUCGAUUCUAGUCUUUAGGGCUUUACUUAAUUAACCCAAACUGUUAAAGAGGACCUAAAUACAAAGGUUCUUUCAUAAUGGACAUAUGGAGAAGACUUUUGGGAUACUAUUCUAGGAUUUACAAUUUGCUAAAUUUGGGUGCUGCAGCUACUGUAACCUCCUGCAUCAUAGUAAAAUCUCUUUCACCCUUUGACUGUGGAUGUAGGCUAUUAAGUCGAACCACGUAAUUUGUCGCGUGUUUUUUUAUACUAAAUUGUUCCCUUGCUAAUUAUGAUCAAAUUCAGUUUGGUUUCGCAUUUAUAUUUUUUAUUACAUUAUCUAUCAAAAGUAUUGCUUUUUCGACAAGAUGAUGUUAGGGAGUUACCUUAAAAUCUCGUCAAUCCUCUCGCAAUGACUAUAGGUUAAGAUAAAUCAUGUAAAUUUUUGUAUUUUUGUUAUACGUGAUUAUUUGCUUUGUUAUUUACUAUCAAAUAUGGAUUGCUUCAUUUCUGUAUUUAUAAUUUUCAUUAUAUUAUUACAAAAGAUAUUGAUUUAUCCCAAAGUGUAUCAAGUGAAAAUAUAGCAAACCUUUCAAUUUUAAUUGAUUAAGAAAAGUUAUAAAAUUGAAGUUACUCAUUUCCAAAAUAGAUUAAUUUUUGGAUAAAUGUCACUACAACUUUGCAGAUGGUGUUCAUUAAAAAUACUUUUUACUUAAAAUUUUCCAUUAGUCAUCAAAACACGAAAAGUAGAUAGUACUCAAUCACACGCUUAAUUUAUAUGACUUGACAUAAGGUAUAAAUCCAUAAAUAAAAUUUCAUAUAAACAGUAAUUUAUUAGCACAGCAAUGAAAACAUAUAAAAACAGUAAUUCAUCCUUCAAGCAAGAUCAAAUCCAUCAAUUUUUACAGAUUCUAAAUUUUCAUGGAUAUAAGUUUUUGAUGGAAUAAAGGGCAAAUCUCUGUUUGCUGUAUUCAGAUGUACUGGAAAAUGAAAAGCAUUACCUGCUGCUGCCUUGCUAUGAUUUUAUUUCUACUGAAACAUGAUGACCAGCAUUGAUCUUCUGAAUGGUAGUAACAUGAGUUUUAAAGCCUUUGGCUAGGACAUCAUCAUCAAUGCCAGUGGCAAAAACAGUGGAUGGAAUACAAACUGUUCCAGCAUUUUACACUGCCAAAGGCAGAAACAGCCAUGGCAGGUUGAUCAGAGCUAGGAUUGUAUUGGUAACAAACCAGUGCUUUCAGAAACCAAAUUAGAAAUAAACUGAGAAGUCUCUUUAUUGUUUGUGGUGCUUCUAAACUAGAGCAACUAUUUCGGCGAUGAAGAGAAAUAAUAGUGUCCUGUACUGUCACUGAUUUAGGAGCAAACACGUAAGGUCAAUUUUGCAUUAGUUAAAAUUUCAUUUAUUUAAAAGAAACAAGUGAAGCUCCGUGAAAUUAAAUGAUGUUUGGUCCCUUGUCUUGCACUUACGUCCAUGCAAGUCCCAUCCUCUUGCCGUAACACUUCCUGGAAAGCCAACCAGGGUCCUUAACAGAGCAUCUGACAGAGACUUGGUCAAAAUACUUCUUCCUUGAGAAUUCAGUCUCUAUUAAUGGUGGUAAGUGCCUUACUGUCAAACAACUAAAAGGUAAAAGUAGUGGACAUUUACGAAAAUUUGUCCACGAUGAUUUAGCCAGGCAACAAUGAGGUAGCUCAUUACUCAUUACUAUAAGAAAAUUUACCGAGUAAUGCUUAAUUGCAAAAGAAUCAAAAUAGGGAUCUAAUUGUUUGCCCUUAAUGAAAUAAUAAUAGUAAUUUUUACUUACAAUGAGAAUCAAAUGCUUUCCAUGUAAAUCAACAAAAUAGGUAAGAAAUAAAUACAUAAAAAUAAUUGAAAAAUGAUAAAAAUAAAGAGAUCAAUAAUUCAAAAGUGCAUCAAUGAUUUCAUGUCCCAUUUGGAUAGGAGCACAACGAAAAAUAAAAUUAAAAGUGUUAACUUAAUUUCAUUUUGAAUAAUGGUAAAUUUUGUUUAGGGUUCUUUUAAAAAAAAAUUGUUUAGGGAAAAAUAAUGCUUCAUUUAAGUAAUUCAAUUUCUUGAAAAUCUUAUGGAGAAGACAUUAUUAUGUUUAAGGUCACAAACAUAAAACCAAUUUUACAGAAUUAAAAUUAUCUUUAAUGGAGUACCUCCCGUCCUUUAUCUUUUUCUUUGAGAGAGAAUUUAGUUAAUAAUACUUCUUCGAUGACAUUGCAAUCUCCAUUAAUGGAGGUAAUAAUAUUGUGUUCAAUUCAAUCAUGAAUAAAAUAUUAUGCUUAAUGAGGCUACAAAUGACCAAAGGUUUCCCCAUAACAAGGAAAACACAAUUGACUGCACUUUCUUCAACAUUUUUUAGCUUAGUUUUUCUCAAUGCUGGUCAUUUUUUUAAUUGAAAUUAUAAAAACCAGGACAACAAGAACAAAAAAGAGAACAAGGAAAACCAAGACACAAGCCAAGAUGAUCACUACAUUUGGUUUUCUGCAACUUAUCUUUGCCUACAAAACAUCAUGGAGGCAGAACCAAAUAAAGAUAUGAAUUAUUGGAAUAGAAACAGUUCAUCAAUUGCCUACAUUUGGAAAUUGAAGGCAGGCAGAGUCCUUAACAGAACAUCUGAGAGAGAAUCAGUCAAAGUUUAUUAAUUUUCUAUACCUACUCUUGUCCUAUUGUAGCUGGUUAUUAUCAAAGAAAAUAGAAUAAAAUUAGUGCGGACACUCACAUGGGACGACUUUGACCCAACUUGCCAAUGUUUUCCCAUUUUUCUUCCUAGAGUUCCCAUUUACGCAUCUUCUUCUAUCUCUCCACUAUCCCCAGAGUUUGUUUGAUUUCUGCCUUGCUCUUCUUUGAACUCAACAAAACCUACUCUUCCAUUUUAUUUUCCUUCAUUUUCCCACAGUUCUUUUAGCUCAAAGAAGAAAAGCAUCUCCGUUCUUUAACACUGCCAAAAAAAAAAAAAAAAAGAGAACUGUUUUGUUUGAUCCUUGUUAACUACUUUUCCUUUUCUUAAUUCUGGUUUCCGGAUCUCUGGAGUUGGUGAAGUAAUUUCAUCUCAAUUAAGGUAAGUUUCAAUAAAAAAUAUUAGAUUCUCCAUAUUUAAUUUUUUUAUGUGCUCAAUUUCUCUUAUCAUUUUUGAAUUUCACUUCUUAUUUUUUAAAUUGGAAAAUAAAAUUAAUUAAUUUGUACUUUACUUCUUUUCUUCUUAAUCCAAUGAAUAUUUAAUAAUAUACUAUGUGUCGCAUUUUCAUAUGAAAUAGUUUUAAUAUUAUGACUUUAAAAUAUGUAAACUAUAUGAAUAAACAUAUACGGGAAUUUCAUUCUAAAUUUUUUAAUUAUUAUAAAUAUUCAUAUAUUUUUUUCAUUUUUACAGACAUUUAUGGAUAUUUUGAGAAAGUAUUUUACAGAAUGAUAAUACUAUGCUUUUACUUUAAUAUGAAAAAAUAUUUUUAAUUAAUAUACACAUGACGAGUGAUAAGAAUUUUUACAUCUGCAGCUUUUUAAUUUUCAAGUUGGUAGAUCAACAAUCCCUUCUCUUGUGAUCCACAUUUUCAUAAAGGUAAAGUACUUUUGUAAUUAUUUUUUCUCUCUGUAAAACUGUUUAUUUGUUAAAAUUAAAAUCAGAAAGAUUUUUAUUUUAUGAAAGUUUCAAGUGAUCUUUAAUCAAAAUAUACAACAUGUUUUAAUAAUUUAAAAUUUUAGAGUUUGAGAUAUUAAUAUUACUUUACUAGCAGUAGAAUUUUUUUAUUAAAAAAAAUAAAAGGUGAGGCCAACAGUUCCAAAAGACAAAAGAUUUUGGGCCCUGGUCUUCCUCUACGGAUUUGAAAUUGAAUAACAAAAAAAGAUUUAUAUUUGAUGUACCGAUUCUAAUAGUUUUUGUACAUAGUCAGUUUAUCAAAUGAUACUAUAUCAUUAACAAACAAAUAUAAAAAUUGGUAUAGUUUUUAAAAUAAAUAUUAAAAAAAUUUAAUAACUAAUGAAAGAAAUAUCAUGGACGCAGAAUCAAAUAAAAAUAUGAAUCAAAUAUCAUUGCACGUGCCUACCAAAAAUUUUAAAAAAUAUUCUUAAGCUUCCUUUCAUCGUUUUUUUUUUUUUUUACUUUUUUUUACAACUAAUUUUUUUAUUUAUUAAUAAGUUAAGUGAGAAAUAAAUGAUAGAAAAGUAAAAUCAUAAUUAAUUAAAAAAUGAGUAAAUGGCAAAGGUAAAAGAGUAAAUAAAUGGUAAAACUAUAUUAAAACUAAAAAGAUCCAUUUCAUUAUUUAGAAUAUUACUUUAUCAAAAACUUAUUUUGAUUUAUUCAAACAUGCUACAGAUAUGAAAACUUAUUUUGUUUUCAUAAUUUAAGAUUUUGGAGUUUAGAUAUUAUAAUAUUACUUGUUACAUACAGUAAUUCUUGUUAACUAAAUUUCACUGUCUCUUUCAUUAUCGUGUUACUUUGCUCGCAUUUCACUGUUAUCUGAUUUAGAUUCAUUUCAACCAAUUGGUAGAUCCAUGGCGGAGUCAAUUUUAUAUGGGGCGGUCAGUAACAUCUUGUCCAAGUUCGUGUUAAAUGCUGGGAAAGAUCUUGGCUUGAUUUUUGGGCUGAAAAAGGAGCUAGAGAAGCUUCAAGGGACUCUCAGCACCAUAAACGCUGUCCUUCUUGAUGCUGAGGAGAAGCAGGAGAGCAGCCAUGCCAUGAAGAACUGGAUAAGUCGACUGGAAGACGUUGUAUACGAUGCAGACGACCUACUGGACGAAUUCGACUAUGCAAUCCUCCGCCAGAAGGUGCUUGCUCGGAGACAGGUGCGCAAGUUCUUUUCAUCCUCAAACCCUCUGGUAUUUGGUCUUAAGAUGGGUCCUAGAAUUAAGGAGAUUAUAGAGAGGCUUGACUCAAUUGCAGCUGAUAUUUCUAAGUUUAACUUGAGUCCGAGAGUUGCAACAGAUAUGAAAGCUAAGUAUACUAACAGGAAGACUGCCUCAAAGGUGAGACCAGAAAUGAUAGGGAGAGAGAAAGAUAAAGAGCACGUUAUAAAAUCAUUGCUUCAGAAGCAUCAUCAUGGUGACAGCAUCUCUAAUAUUGUUGCCAUUGUUGGGUUUGGAGGUUUGGGAAAGACUACGCUCGCCCAGUCGGUUUAUAACGAUGUAGAAAUAAAAAAUCUCUUUAAUCCACGAAUAUGGGUGUGUGUUUCUGAAGAAUUUGAUGUCUGUAUAAUUUUCAAGAAAAUCUUGGAGUCGCUGGGAGAUAGUAAAAUAGAUGACUUGGAUCUAGAUAUUUACUUGAAGAGGCUUGAAGAAAAUUUAAGAGGGAAGAGAUAUUUACUUGUGUUGGAUGACGUAUGGAAUGAAAACAAUUUAAAGUGGGAUAAUUUUUCAAAGCAUCUAGUGUUUGGUGCUCCAGAAAGCAAAAUUCUUGUGACAACUCGUAGUAAGAAUGUUGCAUCUAUUAUGGGGCUCAACAGUCCUCAUGUUUUAAAAGGUCUCAAUGAGGAUCAAUCUUGGACUUUGUUUGAGCAAGUGGCAUUUGAAGGACAAGGCCAGAUGGAUCCAAAGCUUAAAGUAAUUGGAAAAGAUGUUGCACAAAAAUGCAAAGGAGUUCCUCUCGUUAUCAAAUGUCUAGGAGGUUUGAUGAGACAAAAUCCUAAUGAAAGAUACUGGUCGUUUGUCCAAGAAAAUGAAAUAUGGAAGUUACUUAAAGAAGAUGAUGGUGUUAUCCCGGUGUUAAAAUUGAGUUACAUUCACCUACCAAGUCAUUUAAAACAAUGUUUUGCUUUUUGUUCAAUUCUCCGAAAGGACUACAACAUACCUAAAGACAGGUUGAUCCUAAUAUGGCGAGCACAAGGUUACAUUCAAUCACAGAUCAGAAAUGAGAAUAUACAAGACAUUGGUGAUGAAUACUUUAAUGAUUUAUUGUCAAGGUCAUUUUUUCAAGAAGAGGUGAAAGAUGAGAAUGGGAAUAUUAUUCGUUGUAAAAUGCAUGAUCUUAUCCAUGAUCUUGCAUUAUCAGUUGCAAAAAGUAGUUUUUCUUCAAUGAAAGAUGACAAAGAAAAACUUCCAAAAGGUGUCCGUCAUGUGAUAUUAGAAUGGGAACAUACAAAUAUCCAAAAAGAAGUUUUCACACAUUUGUCGAAAGUAAAAGGGAUAAGGACUCUACAUUUUCGGUCAGACAUUUCAAGGGAAUUAUUCAUUCGAUGUGCAAAUUUUUCAAAAUUCAAUUGUUUACGCAUAUUGAAUUUGAGUUUCAGGAACUUUAGAAUAUUGCCAAACUCAAUUGGUAAAUUGAAGCACUUGAGAUAUCUUAAUCUUUCUGGUAAUUAUGAGAUGGAAGUGCUUCCAGAAGCAAUAGCCAAAUUGCACCAUUUGCAAACUUUAUUACUCUAUUAUUGCAGUAAUCUUAAAAAGUUACCAAAGCAUAUACAACAAUUGAUUAGUUUGGAAUAUCUCGAGCUUGAUCUUUGUGAAAAACUAACGUGCUUGCCAGAAGGGUUAAGGGAAUUGACAUCCCUACGAAGAUUGGAUAGAUUUAUUGUAAACACUGUUGAAAAGAGUUUCUCAACUGCAGCCACGUUGAAUGAAUUGAGAGACCUAAAUGACCUUGAAAACCACUUGGGAAUUGAAAACUUGGAUAUGGUGAGGAAUGUGGAAUUAGAAUCAAUGGAGGCAAUUUUAAGGGAGAAGAAACGGCUUCAGUCUUUGCGAUUACAGUGGGGACCCAAUAUAAGGGGAGACAAUAAAAAGAAUGAGUUGUUGCUGGAUAAUCUUGAGCCACAUCCAAAUUUGAAGGAGCUCACUGUGUUCGGGUAUGAAGGGGCAAGGUUUUCGACGUGGCUAUCUUACUUGAAUAAUUUAAUCAAACUUAAAAUAGAACAUUGUUGGAGGGUUCAACACGUAGCAACAUUGCCUCCCUUGGAUCAUCUUUCAUCUCUCAAGUCUCUUACUCUUGAUAAUUUGCAUCUUUUAAAACACGUGGCGGAUCAUGAUGGGAAGGAAUAUGACCGUUCUUUGCCAACAGCAUCAUUCUUCACAUCGCUUAAGGAACUUAAGAUCCGAAACUGUCCCAAUCUCAAAGGAUGGUGGAGGACAAAGAAUGAGAACCAAGGUUCAACUGUUGAGCUGUCGUGGUUUCCUUGCCUUUCCAAGUUAGAAAUCAAAAAUUGCCCGAACUUAACCAGCAUGCCGUUGUUUCCAUCUCUCGACCAAGAUUUGACUUUGGAAGGUACUAGCAUAAGGCCUUUGCAAGAAACAUUGAAGAUGAAGAUGACCAAGGCUAGCAUGACAUCAGAAGGAGCAUCAUCAUCAUCAUCAGAGAUUACUUGUCUUUCUUACUCUUCAACUACCCUUCCUCUCUCCAAUUUGAAGUGUCUGACUCUUAUUGACAUUAAUGAUCUAGAAGCUCUGCCAGAAGAGUUCCUACUCAAUCUCACUUCUCUCAAAACGCUUAGCUUUUCUAAUUGCCCUGAAUUACAGUACUUGCCAGAAGGGACGCAUCAGCUUACCUCUUUACAAGAAUUGUGUGUUAAAAAUUGCCCCAAUCUGAGGGCUUUGCCGGACUGGGUUCUUAAUCUCACUUCUCUCGAAACACUCGAAAUUCAGAGUUGCUCUGAAUUACAUCACUUGCCAGAAGGGACUCAUCGACCUACCUCUUUACAAGAAUUACAUGUUGGAGAUUGCCUUAAUUUAAAAGCUUUGCCAAAUUGGAUCCCUAAUCUCACUUCCCUGAAAACAAUUGACAUACGGGGUUGUGAUAAAUUACAGUACCUGCCAGAAGGGAUACAACACCUUACCUCCUUACGAAGUUUGUCAAUCAUCGGAUGUCCCCAGUUAUCGGAAAGAUGUAAAAAGGAGACCGGAAUCCACUGGCCUCACAUUGCUCACAUCCCUUAUAUUUAUAUUGAAGGCAAUUGAUUAAAGAUGAUGAUGCAGUCUAGGUAACCAUAUUUUUCUUCACCUCUGUUCAUAUUUUCUCCCUUUAUCUGAUAAUUCCUUGUUUCUUUUAUUUUCUUGGAGUUGGCUGAUUUAUACUCUGUUCUAUGCAUGUAAUCCAUGUCGGUAAAAUAAUUCGUCAAUGCAAAAGUGGAUUUAAUUAAGACUCUGCUAUUUCUUUCUAAUUACGUGGACUGACAAUACUAUUUGUUUUUCUGUUCUUACUUUAAAUUUUCCUUUCUUAAGUAAAAUAUUACUAAUACGUUGAGUGAAAGGACUUUGAACUGAACAUAACUUGAAGUCAAGGCUUUGCUAGUAUUUCACAGCAAUUGGGAACUUUUUCCUUGUUUGAAUCCCUCAUUCUUUAAUUAUAAUCUUAAAGUUUAAGCAUUUAGGAUCUCACUAGCUCUUGAUGGAACCCUUGUACAGGUUGCAUACUUAUUGUCAAAGCAUUAAAUUCUAUAUUCUUGCACAGACAAAUUUUAGAAAAAAAAUACAGCAGUAUGAAUGUACUAACGUUAUCUAAUUAUUCUGAUUUUUCACUUUUUCAUAUCAAUUCCUAACAAUCUUUUAAAUGUUUCCUUUCACCUUUUUCAGUGAUGCUAAUCUGUAUCCGGAGGAGAUUGAUGUGAUUCAGAUAUUCUCAGCAGUUUUUACUUAUUAUGUUAACAUAAGUACAAAAUGGAGUUCAUGAAUAGAUUAUUGUAAGUAGUUUCACUUUCCCUGAUUUUUAUGCAUUAAUCAACGCAAAAUCAUCUCUUAUACAAUGAGACUACGUUAGAUGUUCAUGCCAUAUCUUUUCAGAAACUAAACCAAAAUUAAAUAGACAAGGAUCGUCAGACAGAUUGCUUCUAUCAAAGAGAUUCUAAAUAAUUGAAACACUGGUGAAAUGAGCUGAUGAGGUGUGAGAGUGAGAGUCCUUUUUACGGAUUUAUAUAUUUCUUCUUUUUUCCAUCUUCUCUUCGAGGAAGUGGCUAAUACUAUAACCUCUUCCUUUCAACUAGCAGAUGGAAUUAAGUAUUAACCUUAGAAUAUUGUUUUUUCUAGAGUAUCUCUGGGGAUUUGCAACUACAAGUUUGUUAGAGGGCCUAUCUUUACAAGAAUCUUGAGCAGAAAGAUAGUAAUAGUAGAAAAUAAUGUGAAAGUCUGCUUGUACAUUUCCUGCUGUAUCCGUUGUGAUGACGAGAUAUUGCUAUCGGUAAUGUUUCCUCCUCUUCUUGUUGUAGGAACAUGCUUUCGUAAGGAAUAUACUAACAUCAUUUGUUUCUUUUUUCUUCGUGUUUAUAAUGGGAUGGUAAACAAUUUUUCAUUGUUUGAAGGUGGACGAUUUGAUCUGCCUAAUUUCCUUCCAGAGCAGAAUAGGUGUUGAAUUGAAACCAGGAAAAACUUUUAAUGGUAAAAUUUUCCAUUUAUUCCGUUUGUCGUACCAAUUUCAUUUGCUUUCAGUAGGGAAACCAUUAAUUAACACCCAACUUCACACUUCUUUCUGCAUGUUUUUACUGGGAUUAUGGACUUUUUCUGAUAGUUUGAGAGAGUACAUAUGGAUUUCAACUUGCCAAUGCCAUUGUGAAGUAGAGUCCUAGAAUCGAUGGAUUGGAAGCUUUACUCUCAACAGUGUCAUCACUAUCUAUGUGAGAGUUAAAUUUUGCUUUGAGUAUUUAAAUUCAACAAAGGCUAACUGAUGAAAACAAUUGAACAGCUUGACCUCUGGUUUCUUUUUUGGGUAACGACGACUGCACAACAUGCAACUCUUUCACCUUCUCUUAUCAAGAAGUGAGCCUUGAUCUAACGAUCUUGAAUUCAAGGUUAAUUGGCUUUUCAUUUAUUGCUAUAUUAUAUAUGAGGAAUGUGCUGUUUAUAGAAUCCUCAAUAUUUUUGCAUUGCUCCAACAUUUAAGAUUUUUGUUUUCCAUACAAAAAGAAGAGAUGCCAAUGACAUGCCCGCCAACUCCCUUCCAGCCAUUUUUGAAAUGCAGCUAUUCUCAAGGCAUUAUCUAUUGCAGACAUGAUUCUAUAUGUUAUAGUUUCUUUAGUUUUUGUUCUUAUUUUUUUGCAUAUCUUUAUCCUCAAUGCUUCUUUAUAACAAUGGUUUUUUUGACUAGUUAGCUAUGAAUGGAGUCAACCAACCCUUGCUAAGUAGUUGCUCGAGUGAUUGGGAGAAGUGCCUGGAGAGCUAAGCUGAUUGGCUUUGAUUGGAGGUCUUUGAGCAAUGGCUUCGAUUCUAGUCUUUAGGCCCUUACUUAAUUAACCCAAACUUUUAAGGGGACCUCUUUCAUAAUGUACAUAUGAAGAAGACUUUUGGGAUGUCAUUCUGGGAUUUACUAUUUGCUACAUUUGGGUUCUGUAGCUAUUGUAACCUCCUGCUUCAUAGUAAAAUCUCUUCCACCCUUCAACCGUGGAUGUAGGCUGUUAAGCUGAACCACGUAAUUUCUUGUGUGUUUUAUUAUGUUGGAUUGUUUGUUUGCUAUUUAUCAUCAAAUUUGAUUUGAUUUCACAUCUAUACUUUUUGCUAUGUUAUUUGUCAAAGUAAUUGCUUUUUCGACAAGAUAAUCUAAAAGAAUUUCCUUAAAAUGUAGUCAAUUCUCUUGUAAUGAAUAUAAAUUAAGAUAAAUCAUGUAAAUUUUUUCUAUUUUUGCUAUACAUGAUUGUUUACUUUGUUAUUUACCAUUAAAUUUGAGUUGCUUUGUUUUCCAUUUUUAUAUAUUUCACGAUGAUAUUGUAAAUGUUAUUGGUUUAUCCCAAAAUGUAUCAAGUGAAACUAUCAUAAAUGUUUCAAUUUUAAUAGAUUAAGAAAAGUUAUAAAAUUGAAGCUACACAUUUUCAAAACGGAUUAAUUUUUCGAUAAAACACAAAAUGUAAAUAAUACUCGAUCAUACUCUUUAUUAUAUAACUUGACAUAAGCCAAAGAUCCAUAAAUAUAAUUUUAUAUAAACAGUGAUUUAUUAGCAAAGCCAUAAAAAUAAAUAAAAACAGUAAUUUAUCCCUUCAAGCAAAGAUCAAAUCUGUGGAAUUUUACAUAUUCAUAUCUCCCUUUUGUAUUUCGAAAUUUUCAUGGAUCUAAGCAUUUGACAGAAAAAAGGCUAAUCUCUAUUUGCUGUAUUAAUCGAAUGUACUGGAAAACGAAAACCAUUACCUGCUGCAGCCUUGCUAUGAUUUUAUUUCUAUUCAUAUCAAAAUGUAUCUGCUGCCUUGAUCAAUGGUAGCAACAUGAGUUUAGUAUUGGUAUAAACAGUGGAUGGAAUAAAAACAGUUCCUUUCGGGUACAAAACUAUGGUUAUAUUGGCAUAAACUGAGAAGGUGAAGGUGCCAAAACUAAUGCUUAAUUGCAAAAGAAUCAUAAAUAGGGAUCUAAUUGUUUGCCCUUAAUGAAAUAAUAAUAGUAAUUUUUACUUACAAUGAGAAUCAAAUGCUUUCCAUGUAAAUCAACAAAAUAGGUAAGAAAUAAAUACAUAAAAAUAAUUGAAAAAUGAUAAAAAUAAAGAGAUCAAUAAUUCAAAAGUUCAUCAACGAUUUCAUAUCCCAUUUGGGUAGGAGCACAAAGAAAAAAAAAUUAAAAGUGUGAACUUAAUUUCAUUUUGAAUAAUGGUAAAUUUUGGUUAGGGUUCUUUUCAAAAAAAAAAAAAAAAAAUUCUGGGAAAAAUUAUGCUUCAUAUAAGUAAUUCAAUUUCUUGAAAAUCUUAUGGAGAAGAUAUUAUAUUAUGUUUAAGGUCACAAACAUAAAGCCAAUUUUACAGAAUUAAAAUUAUCUUCAAUAGAGUACCUCUGUCCUUUAUCUUUUUCUUUGAGAGAGAAUUUAGUUAAUAAUACUUCUUUGAUGACAUUGUAAUCUCCAUUAAUGGAGGUAAUAAUAUUGUGUUCAAUUUAAUCAUGAAUAAAAUAUUAUGCUUAAUGAGGCUACAAAUGACCAAAGUUUUCCCCAUCACAAGGAAAAAACAAUUGACUGCACUUUUUUCAACAUUUUUUAGCUUAGUUUUUGCAAAAUAUUUGGUUUUCUGCAACUUACCGUUGCCUACAAAACAUCAUGGAGGCAAGCUUUUGAUUUGCAUGGAAGUUGUGAAAUGAAAGGAUCUCUAACAAUGUUUUGAUUAUAGCUGGAAAACAAUAAAUAAAAACAAACUUUCUCAAUGUAUGGAAAUAGCUUUCUCAAUGGGACGACGUCGAGCCAAGUUGCUAAUAUAUUUCCAAAUGUCCUACCCCUACUCUUAUUAAUAACCAAUUCAUUAUUAAUCACCAAGUUGCCAAUAUAUUUCCAUUGUUCCUAAUUUAAAUAUUAUUGUUCCAAAUUUCCUAUACCUAGUCUCGUCGUAUUGUAGCUGGUUAUUAUCAAAGAAAAGAGAAUAAUAUUUGUUUAUUAAUUAGUUGGGAAACUCACAAGUCACAUGGGACGUCUUUGACCCAAGUUGUCAAUAUAUUUUCGUUUUUCCUAUACGUACUCUUAUUACUUUGUCGUCAUAGAGUUUCCAUUUGAGCAUCUUCUGCUAUCAUCUCUACUAUCCCAAGAGUUUGUUUGUUUUGUGCCUUGCUCUUCUUUUAACUCAACAAAAGCUACUCUUCCAUUUUAUUUUCCUUCAUUUUCCCACUUUUCUUUUAACUCAAAGAACAAAAGCAUCUCUGUUGUUUAACUCUGCAAAGUCAUGUAAAUAGUUCCAUCUUGGCCAUUCUCGGAGGUCUUUGAGCAGUGGCUUCAAUUCUAAUCUUUAGCCCUUUACUUAAUUAACCCAAACCGUUAAAGGGACCUAAACACAAAGGUUCUUUCAUAAUGUACAUAUGGAGAAGACUUUCGAGAUACUGUUCUGGGAUUUACUAUUUGCUACACUUGGGUGCUAACCUCAUCUUCCUACAUUGUUGUAAAAUCUCUUCUACUCUUUAUCUUAGUGGAUGUAAACAAUUAAGUUGAACUACGGUAAUUCUUGUGUAUUUGAUUAUGUUGGAUCCUUUGCUUGCUAGUUAUCAUCAAAUUUGGUUUUUUUUUAUAUAUUUUAUAGUCUUUACUAGGUUUUUUCUUUUUUUUUUCAAUUGGAGGAGGGGAUUUGAACCCUUCUCUUUAGACAAGAGAUCAUUUUUUAUAUUUUAUAGUCUUUACUAGGUUUUUUCUUUUUUUUCAAUUGGAGGAGGGGAUUUGAACCAUUCUCUUUAGACAAGAGAUCAUGCAACAACCAAUGAGCCAAAUGCUUAACUGCUUAUAGUUUUGACUAAGUUAUUUGUCAAAGGUAAAACUAUUAGGUGGAACCUAUUUUCAUAUUUUAGCUAACAAAUAUUUUAAAAUAACUUAUUAAAUUUACUAUAUUAAAUAAUAUUUUCAAUCAAUAUAUUGAAAAUCUUAUAUUGAAAUAGUAUCUUGACAGGUAUUUUUAAGACAAUAGUUAAUAAAAUAUAUUAUUUAUUUAUUUAUUUGGAAGAUAAAACUCUAAUUGUUUUUUUUUAAGGAAUUCUAAUUGUUAGUAUUUCAACCUUGACUCAAUCCAAAACUUUGGCACUUUCACUCAUUGUUUGCCACUACCUAGAUUUCCAAGUCUAAGAUUAAUUAUGAACACACACCUUUGCAAUUUGCAUUGCACAUUCCUACCAAAAUUUAAUUCGUUUAUAUAUAAACUAAAAUGAUCCAUUUCGUUAUUUAGAAUAUUUUACAUAUAUAUAUUUAAUUUAUCAAAAACUUAUUUUAUUUUAUUCAAACAUGCUUUUAUUUUUUAUUUUUAAAAAUAAAAAUAUAUAGUAAAAGUAACAAGUGAAUAGAGUCUUAUAAAUUCGUUUAUAACUAAGAAGAUACAAAAAUCAAUCUAGCUAUAGUUGUUGAUUAUUGGUGAUCAAUAAAAAUUCCGUUCCUAGCAGAAAAAAGACAAAUUUCCUUGGGAAUUAAGUUUAAAAUCCAAUUUCUUGGACUCUUUUGAAAAUCAGCAUUGGUCAGUAGCCUUUGUCUGUAUGUUUCUUGACCGAGAAAUCAAUUCAUGAUUAACUCAAGAGAAGGCGCAAAAUGCUGUUAGUUUCCAGCUAUUUCGAUGUUAUCAUUUACAAAGAGAAGUUCAACAUCAUAUUCUAUAUGAUAAAAUUCCUUCGGCAACAAGAACUUUGUANUGUUAGGAUAGUCUUGAAUUGUGAUUUAAUUAGGAUUGUUUAAUUCUAAUUAAAUUAGUAUACCUUACAAAAUAGUCUUUAAAUCUAGUUAGAUUAGAAUAACAAUUCCUAAUUCUAUUAGGAUAAGAUUCCUAAUUAAAUUAGGAUAAGGUUAUUGUAUUUGAUACUAUAAAAGGACCCUAUGGGUUAAAGAAUAAUUAUCACCUAGAUUUAGAGAGAGUGAUUUAGGUGUACGUGGGAUAAGGGUUAUGAGUUUGAGACUGUUCUUGUAAUCUCCUGAUUUUUCUCUUAGUGAAUUUUUCUCUGUUGUUGUGCCCGUGGACGUAGGUCAUCAAAAGACCGAACCACGUAAAUUCUUGUGUUCUUGUGGGUGUGCUUGAUUUCUUUCUUUCUUUAUUCUAUUGAUUGGGUUAGAUCUUGGGUAAUUCUUUAAAGACAAUUCCGUAAUUUCUCAACAAACUGGUAUCAAAGCUUCAAGGUCUUGGGUCAAUCUGAAUCUCGCUAUGGCAACUUCGUCGACCAAGUAUGAGAUUGAAAAGUUUAAUGGAAGAAACGAUUUCAACCUGUGGUGUGUUAAGAUGUGCGCAUUGCUAGUGCAACAAGGACUGUUGAAGGCACUGAAGGGAAAAGAGCAUCUUCCCUCAAAUUUAUCUGAUGGUGAGAAAGAUGACCUUAUGGAAAAAGCACAUAGUGCUAUUCUCCUAGCUUUGUCUGAUGAUGUGCUAAGAGAAGUCAUGGAUGAAGAAUCUGCUGUUGCAGUAUGUGGCUUAAACUCAAGAGUAUUUAUAUGAUCAAAAUCUUGACGAAUCGGCUUUAUAUGAAACAAUGAUUGUAUACUCUCAAGAUGAGUGAAGGUACAUCUGUUAAUACCCACAUUGAUGAAUUUAAUAGAGUUAUUCUUGAUUUAAAGAAUAUCGAUAUUAAAAUUGAGGAUGAAGACUUAGCCCUAAUUCUUUUAUGUUCUUUGUCUCCAUCAUAUGAAAACUUCAUGGAUACUAUGCUAUACGGUCGAAACACUCUCACUUUCGAGGAUGUAAGGGCAUCUUUAAAUUCCAAGGAAUUAAAGAAGAAAGUUGGUGAUAUUCGGAAUGAAAAUCAAGCAGAAGGUUUGGUUGUAAAUAGAGGUAAAGGUAAAGAGAAAGGCUUAGAUAGAAAAGGUAAAUCUAGGUCCAAAUCUAGAUCAAGAGGAAAGACUUAUUGGAACUGUGGUAAAAAAGGUCACUUUCGUCAAGACUGUACUAAAUUCAAGGGUGAUGAAAAGAUCAAUAAGUCUAAAAAUACUACAAAUGUAGUUGAAGAUGAUUUUGAUACUUUUGAUGAAGCUGAUAGUGUUCUUGUAGUUACUAAUGGUAACUUGAAGGAUACAUGGAUCUUAGAUUUGGCCUGUUGCUUCCACAUAUAUCCUAGGCGUGAGUGGUUUACAACUUAUCAAUCUGUUGAUUGGGCACUGUACAAUUAGGAGAUGAUUUCUCUCUCUCAGUUGUUGGGAUUGGCAUAAUUCGAAUCAAGAUGUUUGAUGGUAUAGUAAGGGCACUUGAGGUGAAACAUGUACCUAAAAUGAAAAAGAAUUUGAUAUCCUUGAGUUUGUUAGAUAAGAAGGGUUGCAAAUAUAGUGACCAAGAUGGUGUCUUGAAGGUAUCUAAAGGAGCCUUAACUAUCAUGAAAGGUAAGUUAUCCGGUGGCCUUUAUUGUUUAGUGGGAAGUACGAUUAUUGGAACUGCUUCUGUAGUCUCAUCCCAUGAUCCUGAUGAUGAUGUUAUACAUUUAUGGCAUAUGAGAUUAGGUCAUAUGAGUGAGAAAGGAAUGACAGAAUUAAGUAAACGUGGUUUUACUGUGUGGUUAAAAGACUGGGAAGAUAGAUUUAUGUGAACAUUGCAUCUAUGGCAAACAACACCGAGUGAAAUUUAGCAUUGCUACACAUCGAACCAAGAGUACAGUAGACUACAUCCACUCAAAUUUAUGGGGUCCUUCUCCUGUGGCAUCAAAAGGUGGAUCAUUAUACAUGUUAACAUUUAUUGAUGAUUUUUCAAGAAAAGUAUGGACGUAUUUUUUGAAGGCUAAAAGUGAAGUGUUUACCACCUUUUUGCAAUGGAAGGCAUUGAUCGAGAAGCAGACAGGGAAAAGGAUCAAGCGCUUUCGAACAGAUAACGGUUUGGAAUUUUGCAAAGGUGAGUUUGAUCUAUUCUGCAAGAAUGAGGGAAUCAUUAGACAUCACACUGUCAUCAAAACACCAUAACAAAACGGUAUUGCAGAACGGAUGAAUAGAACACUUGUUGAAAGAGCAAGAUGCAUGCUUUCUAAUGCUGGUUUAUCUAAAGUAUUCUGGACAGAAGCUAUCAACAUGGCUUGCUACUUGGCAAAUCGGUCUCCAUCAACUGUAAUUGAAUUAAAGACUCCUGAGGAAGUUUGGUCAGGUAAACCCGCUGAUUACUCUAUAUUGAGAAUAUUUGGUUGUCCUACUUAUGCUCGUGUAAAUGAUGGUAAGCUUGAACUGAGGGCAAAGAAGUGCAUAUUCCUAGGCUAUGCAUCUGGGGUAAAAGGUUAUCGACUAUGGUGUACUGAUCCGAAAUCCCCCAAGUUUAUGGUAAGUUGAGAUGUUACCUUUGACGAGUCUGCAUUACUUCAUGGGAUAAAGUCUAGAAUUGCAAUCUCAUCAGACCAAGAAGUGGACAAGCAGGUGGAGCUUGAAAUCAAUGCUCUUGGGACAAUGCAAGAUGACAGUGAAAUCCAAAAUGAAUCACAAGAGGAACAAGAAUCAGUAUCUCAUAUACAACAACGAAGCAUUGCUACAGACAGAUCUAGAAGGAUUUCAAAAGCUCCUCAGAAGUUUGAUGAUUUUGUUACUUGUGUGGAGCGUGAUUUUGAUUCUUAUGUUUUAUCUGUGGCGGAAGAAGUAGAGACUAAUGAGCCUUACUCUUAUCGUGAGGCAAUUACUUGUAUCGAGUCUUCUCAAUGGCUAACUGCUAUGAAUGAGGAGAUUGAGUCUUUACACCGAAAUCAAACAUGGGAGCUUGUGAAACCACCUAAAGGCCAAAAAGUUGUGGGAUGCAAAUGGGUCUUCAAGAAAAAGGAAGGGAUCCUAGGGGUUGAAAAUGCUAGAUUUAAAGCACGACUUGUGGCAAAGGGGUAUGCACAAAGAGAGGGAAUUGACUAUAAUGAAGUAUUCUCUCCUGUCGUGAGGCAUAGUUCAAUCCGCGUGUUGCUUGCUAUAGUGGCAUAUUUUAACUUUGAGUUGGAGCAACUUGAUGUCAAAACAGCGUUUUUACAUGGUGAGCUUGAAGAGCGGAUCUACAUGCAACAACCUGAGGGAUUCGUUGUUCCAGGUAUGGAAGAUUGUGUAUGUUUACUUAAAAAGUCAUUAUAUGGCUUAAAACAAUCUCCUAGGCAAUGGUAUAAAAGGUUUGAUAUGUUCAUGGAGGCACAUGGGUACACUAGAAGUGUACAUGAUGGUUGUGUCUACUAUAAAAGGCUUCCAGAUGAUUUGCGUUUAUCUAUUUGUUGUUGUAUGUGGAUGACAUGCUUAUUGCCGCCAAAAGUAUGUCAGACAUUGAUGUUUUAAAGGAGCAGCUUAGUGGUGAGUUUGAGAUGAAAGACUUAGGUGAUGCAAAGAAAAUAUUAGGUAUGGAAAUUGUCAGAGAUAGACGAGCGUCGAGAUUAUGUUUGUCACAAAAGAAAUACAUUCAAAAGGUACUAGAACGUUUUGGAAUCCAAGAUGCUAAGUCUGUGACUACUCCAUUGGGACUACACCUAAAACUUUCAACUGGUUUAUCACCACAAACGGAGGAUGAGAAGGAGUACAUGACUCGUGUUUCUUAUGCUAAUGCAGUGGGUAGCAUUAUGUAUGCUAUGGUAUGUACUAGGCCUGAUAUUUCACAUGUUGUUAGUAUGGUUAGUAGAUUCAUGGAUAAACCAGGAAAAGGACAUUGGCAAGCUGUGAAGUGGAUCUUUCGAUAUUUAAAAGGCAAUAUACUAAGCCAAUAUCUAUAGUGCCUUUUAAAUAUCGAAAGAUCCACUUCACAGCUUGCCAAUGUCCUUUUCCUGGUUUAUCCAUGAAUCUACUAACCAUACUAACAGCAUGUGAAAUAUCAGGCCUAGUACAUACCAUAGCAUACAUAAUGCUACCCACUGCAUUAGCAUAAGAAACACGAGUCAUGUACUCCUUCUCAUCCUCCGUUUGUGGUGGUUAUAAACCAGUUGAAAGUUUUAGGUGUAGUCCCAAUGGGGUAGUCACAGACUUAGCAUCUUGUAUUCCAAAAUGUUCUAGUACCUUUUGAAUGUAUUUCUUUUGUGACAAACAUAAUCUCGACGCUCGUCUAUCUCUGACAAUUUCCAUACCUAAUAUUUUCUUUGCAUCACCUAAGUCUUUCAUCUCAAACUCACCACUAAGCUGCUCCUUUAAAACAUCAAUGUCUGACAUACUUUUGGCGGCAAUAAGCAUGUCAUCCACAUACAACAACAAAUAGAUAAACGAAUCAUCUGGAAGCCUUUUAUAAUAGACACAACCAUCAUGUACACUUUUAGUGUACCCUUGUGCCUCCAUGAACAUAUCAAACCUUUUAUACCAUUGCCUAGGAGAUUGUUUUAAGCCAUGUAAUGACUUUUUAAGUAAGCAUACACAAUCUUCCAUACCUGGAACAACGAAUCCCUCAGGUUGUUGCAUGUAGAUCCGCUCUUCAAGCUCACCAUGUAAAAACGCUGUUUUGACAUCAAGUUGCUCCAACUCAAAGUUAAAAUAUGCCACUAUAGCAAGCAACACGCGGAUUGAACUAUGCCUCACGACAGGAGAGAAUACUUCAUUAUAGUCAAUUCCCUCUCUUUGUGCAUACCCCUUUGCCACAAGUCGUGCUUUAAAUCUAGCAUUUUCAACCCCUAGGAUCCCUUCCUUUUUCUUGAAGACCCAUUUGCAUCCCACAACUUUUUGGCCUUUAGGUGGUUUCACAAGCUCCCAUGUUUGAUUUCNNNNNNNNNNNNNNNNNNNNNNNNNNNNNNNNNNNNNNNNNNNNNNNNNNNNNNNNNNNNNNNNNNNNNNNNNNNNNNNNNNNNNNNNNNNNNNNNNNNNNNNNNNNNNNNNNNNNNNNNNNNNNNNNNNNNNNNNNNNNNNNNNNNNNNNNNNNNNNNNNNNNNNNNNNNNNNNNNNNNNNNNNNNNNNNNNNNNNNNNNNNNNNNNNNNNNNNNNNNNNNNNNNNNNNNNNNNNNNNNNNNNNNNNNNNNNUGUUAGGAUAGUCUUGAAUUGUGAUUUAAUUAAGAUUGUUUAAAUCUAAUUAAAUUAGUAUACCUUAUAAAAUAGUCUUUAAAUCUAGUUAGACUGGAAUAACAAUUCCUAAUUCUAUUAGGAUAAGAUUCCUAAUUAUAUUAGGAUAAGGUUAUUGUAUUUGGCACUAUAAAAGGACCCUAUGAGUUAAAGAAUAAUCAUCACCUAGAUUUAGAGAGAGUGAUUUAGGUGUACGUGGGAUAAGAGUUAUGAGUUUGAGACUGUUUUUGUAAUCUCCUGAUUUUUCUCUUAGUGAAUUUUUCUCUGUUACUGUGCCUGUGGACGUAGGUCAUCAAAAGACCGAACCACGUAAAUUCUUGUGUUUUUGUGGGUGUGCUUGAUUUCUUUCUUUCUUUAUUCUAUUGAUUGGAUUAGAUCUUGGGUAAUUCUUUAGAGACAAUUCCACAAUUUCUCAACAACCUAUUUUCAUAUUUUAGCUAACAAAUAUUUUAAAAUAACUUAUUAAAUUUACUACAUUAAAUAAUAUUUUCAAUCAAUAUAUUGAAAAUCUUAUAUUGAAAUAGUAUCUUGACAUGUAUUUUUAAGACAAUAGUUAAUAAAAUAUAUUAUUUAUUUAUUUAUUUGGAAGAUAAAACUCUAAUUGUUUUUUUUUUAAGAAUUCUAAUUGUUAGUAUUUCAACCUUGACUCAAUCCAAAACUUUGGCACUUUCACUCAUUGUUUGCCACUACCUAGAUUUCCAAGUCUAAGAUUAAUUAUGAACACACACCUUUGCAAUUUGCAUUGCACAUUCCUACCAAAAUUUAAUUAGUUUAUAUAUAAACUAAAAUGAUCCAUUUCGUUAUUUAGAAUAUUUUACAUAUAUAUAUAUAUUUAAUUUAUCAAAAACUUAUUUUAUUUUAUUCAAACAUGCUUUUAUUUUUUAUUUUUAAAAAUAAAAAUAAAUAGUAAAAGUAACAAGCAAAUAGAGUCUUAUAAAUUCGUUUAUAACUAAGAAGAUAUAAAAAUCAAUCUAGCUGUAGUUGUUGAUUAUUGGUGAUCAAUAAAAAUUCCGUUCCUAGCAGAAAAAGGACCAAUUUCCUUGGGAAUUAAGUUUAAAAUUCAAUUUCUUGGACUCUUUUGAAAAUCAACAUUGGUCAGUAGCCUUUGUCUGUAUGUUUCUUGACUGAGAAAUCAAUUCAUGAUUAACUCAAGAGAAGGCGCAAAAUGCUGUUAGUUUCCAGCUAUUUCGAUGUUAUCAUUUACAAAGAGAAGUUCAACAUCAUAUUCUAUAUGAUAAAAUUCCUUCGGCAACAAGAACUUUGUACUUUCCAUUAGCCCCUCCUGUUUCAUGGCCUGUUUUACGUGGAUACCUAUGCUAUAAUUAAUAAUUUCUUACCAAUCCAAACUUGAUUCAAUCUGAUUUGAUUUAAAAAACUCAACUACUUAAAAUCAUGUAAACUUCAAAUUAUCUUAAUAUACUUCUAACUCGAAUGAUCCAAAAAAAUUAACUCGAAAAGAAAUGUAUUUUUUGUCCCAACAUCAAUUUUCAUAUUUAAUAUAGUAUAUCAUAUUUAAGAUUAUUGGAUUAAUUAACAACCCUGAUCACAAUUGAUAACUAGUCUCGUCGUAUUGUAGCUGGUUAUAAUCAAAGAAAAGAGAAUAAUAUUGGUUUAUUAAUUAGUGGGGAAAUCUUUGAGCCAAGUUGCGAAUGUAUUUCCAUUUACUCUUGUUACUUUGUCGUCAUAGAGUUUCCAUUUGAGCAUCUUCUUCUAUCAUUGCUACUAUCCCAAGAGUUUGUUUGAUUUCUGCCUUGCUCUUCUUUUAACUCAACAAAGCCUACGUUUCCAUUUUUUUUUUCCUUCAUUUUCCCACUUUUCUUUUAACUCAAAGAACAAAAGCAUCUCUUUUGUUCAACUCUGCAAAAAAAAAAAAAAGUUGAUCUCUUAAAUUACUUUUGUUUGAUCCUUGUUUGCUACUUUUCUUUUUCUUAAUUUUGGUUUCCCGAUCUCUGGAGUUGGUGAAGUAAUUCCAUCCCAAUUGAGGUAAGCUUCAAUAUAACAUAUUAUAUUCUCCAUAUUUAAUUUUUUUAUGUGCUCAAUUUCUCUUAUCAUUUAUGAAUUUGACUUCUCAUUUUCUAAGUUGGCAAAUAAAAUUAAUUGAUUUGUAGUACUUAAUUUACUUCUUUACAUCUUAACCCUAUGAAUAUUUAGUAAUAUACUAUGUGUAGCAUUUUAGUGUGAAAUAGUUUUAAUAUUAUGACUUUUAAAUAUGUAAAAAUAUAUCAAUAAACCUACGCUGAAAUUUCAUUCUAAAUUUUUUAAUUUAUUUUAAAUAUUCAUAUUUUUUCUAUUUUUACCAACAUUUAUGGAUAUUUUGGGAACGCAUUUUAUAGAAUGAUGAUAUUAUGUUUUUACUUUAAUAUAAAAAUAUAUUUUUAAUUAAUAUGCACUUGAUUAGCGAUAAGAAUUUCUACAUCUGCAGCAUUUUCAAUUUCCAAGUUGGUUGGUCAUCCACAUUUUCAUAAAGGUAAUUGUUUAAUUUAUGAAAAUAUGAAAUAUAAACAUGUUAUAUUUAUAUCUCCAAAGUUAAAAUGUGGAUGAGAAGGGUCAUCCACAUUUUCAAGGUUAAUCUCAGUUGUGGUACUUGCAAAUAUUUUGUAAUUGUUUUUUUUCUCUGUAAAACUUUUUACUCAUUAAAAUUAAAAUCAAACAAAUUUUUAUUUUAUGAAAGUUUCAAGUGAUUUUUAAUUAAAAUAUAUAACAUGUUUUAAUAAUUUAAGAUUUUGAAGUUUGAGAUAUAAAUAUUACUUAUUAAAAAAAAUUUAUACAGAAAUAUGGAAAAGGCGAAGUUAGUAGUUUCCUAAGGCAAAAGAUUUGAGCUCUCGUCUUCCACUAAAAAUUUGAAAUUGAAUAAGAAAAAGUAUUUAUAUUUAUGUACUAAUUGUAUAUUGUUUUUAAAAUAAAUAUUUAAAAAUAUUAAUAAUGAAUUAGAGAAAUAUCAUGCAGGCAAAAUCAAAUAAAAAUAUAAAUUAUUGCAAUGGUAGCCCAUUUUUGGUUCUUCAAUUUUUGGCCUUGAUCUUUUGAAAAAACAUAUUCCAGUUGAUAGAUUUCCAAGUCUAAGAUUAACUAUGAACACACCUUUGCAAUUUGCAUUGCACAUUCCUACCAAAAAUAUUAAAAAAUAUUCUUAAUAUUUUUUUACUUAAUAUUAAAAAAUAUUAAAAGUUAAGUGAGAAAUAAAUGACAAAAAAGUGAAAUGAUAAUUAAUUAAAAAAGAGAAAAUGACUAGGGUAAAAAUAAAUGAAUAAAUGGUAAAAUUAUAUUAAAACUAAAGAGAUCUAUUUCAUUAUUUAGAAUAUUAUAUAUAUACAUUUAAUUUAUCAAAAACUUAUUUUGAUUUAUUAAAACAUGCUUAUCAGGUGAAGUCCACUAAGUCUUUCACUACCGCGUCAGUUUGCUUACAUUUCCCUGUUAUCUGCUUUAGAUUCAUUUCAACCAAGUUGUAGAUCCAUGGCGGAAUCAAUUUUAUACGGGGCGCUCAGUAACAUCUUUUCCAAGUUGAUGUGGCUUGCUGGGCAUGAGAUUGGCUUGAUUUUCUGCCAGAAAAGCGAACUGGAUAAGCUUCAAAAGACUCUCGACAUCGUAAAAGCCGUCAUUCUUGAUGCUGAGGAGAAGCAGGCGAGCGACCUUGUCGUGAAAAACUGGAUAAGUCGACUGGAAGAUGUCGUCUCUGAUGCAGAGGACUUACUGGACGAAUUCGACUAUGAGAUCCUACGCCAGAAGGUGCGUCCUCGGGGACAGGUACGCAAGAUCUUUCGAUCCUUCAGGAUGGGUCCUAGAGUUAAGGAGAUUAAAGAGAGGCUGGACGUGGUGGCAAGAGAGAUUAAAACGUUUGAUUUUAAUGUGAGAGUUGUAGAACUGAAUAAGAAACCUAAGAAUACUGACAGAGAGACUGCCUCAAAGGUGAGAUCGGAAUUAGUAAUAGGGAGAGAGGAAGAUAAAGAGCACAUUAUAGAAUUGUUGAAGGAGCAGAAUCAUGGUGACAGCAUCUUCAAUAUUAUUGCCAUUGUUGGGUUUGGAGGUUUAGGAAAGACCUCGCUUGCCCGGUUGGUGUAUAACGAUGCAGAAGUAGCAGAUUCCUUCGAAAGGAUGUGGGUGUGUGUUUCUGAAGAAUUUAAUGUUCUUAUAAUUUUCAAAAAAAUUUUGAAGUGUCUAGGAGAACACAAAGUGGAUGACUGGAAUCUAGAUGAAGUACAAAAUGGAAUUGAACAAAAGUUAGAAGGGAAGAGAUAUUUACUUGUGUUGGAUGAUGUGUGGAAUGAAGACAUUUUACAGUGGAAUGAAUUUUCACAGUAUAUGGUAUUUGGUGCUCCUGAAAGUAAAAUUAUUGUGACAACUCGUAGCAUCAAAGUUGCAGCUACUAUGGGGGUGCACAGUCCUUACCUUUUAAAAGGUCUCAAUGAGGAACAAUCUCAGGAUUUGUUUGAGAAAGUGGCAUUUGAAGGACGUCAAAUCGAUCCAAAGCUUGGACAAAUUGGAAACGUUGUUGCACAAAAAUGCAAAGGAGUUCCUCUUUCUAUUAAAUGUUUAGGAGGUUUGAUGAGACAAAAGCCUGAUGAAAAAUACUGGUUGUUUGUCCAAGAAAAUGAAUUUUGGAAUAAUGAUGAUGUUUUGUCGGUGUUAAAAUUGAGUUAUAUUCAGCUACCAAGUAAUUUAAAGCAAUGUUUUGCUUUUUGUUCGCUUUUCUCAAAAGACUCUAGGAUAUAUAAAGAUGAGUUGAUUCAUUUUUGGCGAGCACAAGGUUACAUUCAAUUAGAGAAUAAAAAUGAGAAUAUACAAGAUAUUAGUGAUGAAUACUUUAAUGAUUUGCUGUCAAGAUCAUUUUUUCAAGAGGAGGAGAAAGAUGCAUAUGGGAAUAUCAUCUAUUGUAAAAUGCAUGAUCUUAUUCAUGAUCUUGCAUUAUCAGUUGCUGGUCGAUAUUUUCAUUGGAUGAAAGAUGAAAAAGAAGAAAUUUCAAAAGGAGUCCGUCAUGUGUCAUUAGAAAAAUAUUCUAAAGAAGUUGUUUUGACUGGAUCAGAAACAAAAGUGAUAAGGACUAUGUUUUUCCGAGCAGACAUUUUCACGGACUUAUUUAUUCGAAAUGUAACUUAUUCGAGCUUCAAUUGUUUACGUAUGUUGAAUUUAAGUUGGAUGAACAUUAAUAUUUUACCAGAUUCAAUUGGUAAAUUGAAGCAUUUGAGAUACCUUGAUCUUUCUAGUAAUCAAAGGAUGAAAGUGCUCCCAGAUGCAAUAGUCAAAUUGCACCAUUUGCAAACUCUAUUACUCAAUGCUUGCAGCAGUCUGGAAAAGUUACCAAGGGAUAUACGCCAAUUGAUUAGUUUGGAAUAUCUCAAUAUUAAUUCUUGCAACCGACUAAAGUACUUGCCAAAAGGGUUAGGGGAAUUGACUUCCUUACAAAGAUUGGACAGAUUUGUUGUGAACUGUGUUGAAGACAAUUUAUCAACUGCAGCCACGUUGAAUGAGUUGAGUAACCUAGACCUUGGAAAUAGCUUCAAAAUUGAACACUUAGAAAAGGUGAGGAAUGUGGAAUUAGAAUGUAAGGAGGCAAAUUUAAAGAAAAAGAAACGGCUUCAGUCUUUGCAUUUAUCUUGGGAAUCUUUCUCUCCAACAACAGUGGCUAGUGAAAAGGAUGAGUCAUUGUUAAAUAUUCUUGAGCCACACCCGAAUUUGAAAGGGCUGGAGCUAUCCGGUUAUGGAGGAGCAAGGUUUUCAAGUUGGCUAUCUUCAUUGACUAAUUUAGUCAAACUUAAUAUAUACAGAUUUUGGAAUUGUCGAGACCUGCCACCCUUGGAUCAUUUUUCAUCUCUCAAGUCUCUCUUUCUUUACGGUUCCAAUGCUUUAAAACACCUGCCACCCUUGGAUCAUCUUUCAUCUCUAGGGUCUCUUUCUCUUUCGCGGUUAGAUGCUUUAGAAUACGUGGCAGAUUCUUUUUCCUUGCCUUGCUCGACUUCAAGAGAACCAUUCUUCCCGUCCCUUAAGAAACUUUUGAUCCAUGACUGUCCCAAUCUCAAAGGAUGGUGGAAGACAAAGAAUGAGAACCAACGAUCAAUCGCUGAGCUGCCUUGCUUUCCUUGCCUUUCCGAGUUAGAUAUCCUCAGGUGUCCAAACUUAGCCUCCAUGCCGCUGUUUCCAUCUCUCGAUCAAGAUUUGAUGUUGCAUGAUACUAGCAUAAGGCCUUUACAACAAACAUUGAAGAUGAUGAAGAUGACCGAGGCUAGCAUGACAUUAGAAGAAGCAUCAUCUUCAUCGGGGAGCGCUUGUCAUUCAUAUUCUUCAACUACCCUUCCUCUCUCCCAUUUGAAGAGUCUGAUGCUUACAGACAUUAAGGAUUUAGAAGUUCUGCUAGAAGAGU